GUUGUUGUUGUUGCUGACCUUUUCUCACUAAAGAAUGUCCCUCCAGCACAUUCCCUCACUGGUUGUGUUAUUUUUGUUGGUGCCAUCUUAUGUUACUGGUUCCUAGUGCACAUUAUGGACAUGUGCCAUCUUAUGAACAUGGGUAAUGAUACUAAGCUACUGGUUGUGUUAUUUUGGUUGGUACAUCUUAUGAACCUGUGGUGUAAUGAUACUGCGGAGCCUAACUUAUUGAAAUCCUGGAGAAUUAUAUUAUUAUGAUCAUUAUAUUUCUUGUGUUGGCUGACUGCCAAAUUGUGCAAUAUUUUUCUUUUUGAGAUAUUGUUGGUUGUUGUUGGUCACCGUUCAAUAAGGGCUGGACUGAAAAUACUAAAUUGUGUGAGUGGGCUGGACCGUUUUAAGGCCCUUUUUUGACAAAUAAAUCAAAAUGUUUUUGUUGGGUAGAUAAAAGGGCUGGCCCAAUUAAUGAUGGAUUAAAUAAAUGAGUUGCACGACUCAACCCAAGAACUAAUCUGUUGGGCUUGGCCCAUGCUUGUGGCCCAAGAGUAAAUCCAAAAGUAGGCUGAAUUAUUGGGCUCAGCCCAUUAAAACAACUGAUUUGGAUCGAUCCUACAUGGCAUCCACGUCAUUGCAUGUGCUACGUUGGCUCAGCCAUAUCAGAUCCUACGUGGUCUAGGCUCAUUAGAGCAUGGUUAAUAGUAUAGCCAGCUGCUAGCUAUAAGCCAGUGUCAUGUCAUUUACAGUCUAUCUUAUAGUCAACAUGUACAAUAGUAGAUCAAAAGAGUGUACUACUCUUUUAUUAUGUGGCCCACCUUUCAUUCUCACAAAGUGCCUAGGAGCACGUGCUAGAGCUGGCUCUUCAUGAAGAGGUCGCUUACCUUCUCUCUCCCCUCUUUUCUUUCCUCCAACUAAGCAGAAAUAUACUAGUUUAUUCCUUGCUCAACUCUAUUGUACUUACUUGCUCUUAGUAAUGACCAUAAUUUUGGUCAAAGAUUUAACGACAAAUUUUUUGGUCAACUGUUGACCUUUGAAUUUGGUCAAAAAAGGUCAAUAAACAAAAGCAUUGUUCGUUCUUGACGGCCAACUAUUGACCUUCCGAAUUUGGUAAAAAAAAGGUCAAUAAACAAAAGCAAUGACAAAUUAACGACCAAAAUGGGGAGUCAUAAUUGAUCGUAUUUCUUGUAGUGGAAUAACAGGGGGUGUGGGUGAGUAGAGGGAUGCCCUGGCCAGCGGUGGGAGUAGUAGGGGGUGGUGAGGCCUGCACGGCAGCACAGCCGGCCACGGAAGGCGGAAGCAGGCGGUCCCGCCGGCGCUGGAGUUGGCGGCUGGAGCAAGAAGAUCAGAGAUUGAAGAAACAUAACGGCCGUUGGAUUGACAUCCAAUGGUUACGUCUGCUAGAAUCGUUUGUUGACGUAUAUAAUAACUAAAAAAAUCUUGCAUACACAUCAACUUAAUAGGCCCACAAGUCAGACCAUUCCCUUUUUUAAAUAAUUUAUAUAUAGCUCAUUGCAACUUCUUAUGCAAUUUAUUGCAGUCCAUUUUUUUGGCUGGCUAGGGCCAGGGUUAAAAAUUUAAAGGAAAUUUCACAUAUUUCUGUGGGUUCCAAACUAUUUGUAAUACCGAAAUGUCGAGCCAGAUUUAAAGUACUUUGAAGAUAUAUUUAAAUUAGGUUAAAGCCCAGUGAAAUAGGAAUCUGAAAAUGUGAAAAAUUCAGAAAUUAUAAAGUAAUUGCCAAUUUGUCAUCUGUUUUUAUAUUUACAACCCAUUUCAUAUUACUUUCAAGAUUUGUAGGCGUUUUGAAAGAGUUGCAGCAAAUCAGGGCAUAGAAAAAUAAAUAGGCCUGGAUUGGGUAUUCUUUAGAAAAAAUAAUCUGGGCUCAUUUUCACAAAGAGAAAUAGCUGGGCUGGUCAAAUGGUGAACAUAAAAUAUAAGCCUGGGCUAGACGGGCCACAUCCCAGUUCAAACCCUGAUCCGUCUCAACAAUAACAAAAAAAUACUGCUCGACCAGCUACUUCCCAGGUGUCAGCUAAUCUUGUGUUGUUCUCUUGUCUAUUGACUAUAUAUGCUCACAAUGUCGUGGGUCCCAGAUGUUAGGAAAACACUAGGAGAAAGCAUUUUAUUUUUCCAUACGCUGACAUGGUGGGCCUCUACUGUCAUCCUCUCCACGUACUUCUGCCAAUUCCUUUUGUUUGUUGACCAUGUUGACAACGCGAGAGGGCGGCGCCACGGCGAGCACACCAAAGCACGCGGAGGACGAUGGCGAGGCCUCGGACGUCGGCGUUAACGAUUUAGGAGACGGUGGGGCGGCGAUGCGUGCACUUAGGCGUAGCCAGCCGUGGGAGGUGGAAGCAGGCGGCCCCGCCGGCGCUGGUUUGGUUUUGGCGGCUGGAUGAAGACUGGACUGAAGAAACACGACAGACUGUAAAAGCAGCAGGAGUACUUAACAACCUUAACUGAAACAAGCAGGGGCACUUAACAACCAUAGCUGAAAGUAGUAGGAGCACUUAUACAGGUUCAAUUGUAAAAAGUACACCUCGAACAGUGCUACUUUGUCUACAGUUAACCAAGGUGAGGCCGCAAAGCCCCAGGACAAGGUCCAGGCGCCACCCCAUGCAUCCAUAACCUUUUGAAAGCGGCUUCAUCUCGCAAUGUCGUCAAUAAACAUGAUAUUCGCUUUAGAGCCAUGGAAAAGCAGGAACAUAAUCUUCUGUCCUAUUCUCCAAAAUGGACGGGCCUUCAUUAUUUGAGACCACCCAUGAAUAAGUAUCUUUUCACCUCCAAGGGGAAUGGAGUAGGUCGACAUAAACAUCAUGUUGUGACCAAGCGCAAGUCUGACCCGACCACGGUCAGGCAUCUGUAUAGGAACAAUAGAACUGGGCAGUUUUUGUUUCAAGAAGAUCACAACUGUAAAACUGUGUAUAAGCAAUAGUUUAUGAACAACAUAUAUAACAGAAAACAGCUCGUACCAUAAGUUUCUCUACAUAGUUGGACCUGUUCAACAAGUGCAGCAGUGACACUCAUAUCCCACGUGGCCUUCCACCAUUGAAACGCCCCACAAGGACCUCAAGACGAUCAAUAAAGUGUAGGAACUUGUGGAUGUCGUCCCAGUCAACUUCAGUGCCAUCAAUAACAGCCGAGUUCUUACAGAGUAACAAACAAGCAGCCUGCUUAACAAACGAGCAUCCGAGUUCUUAUAGAAUAACAAACGAGCAACCUGCUUAAUAAGAAAAUAUUAGUUAGAAGUAGCAUCUUCGUGAGAGAUUCGUUGCUACUUCUAAAGUUAAAUUGUGAUUAGUUAGAUAGAAUAGGUGGAUUAAGAAAUAAUCGAGGCAACAAGCAAGAACUAGAUACAAAACUAACAUGGAUGAACAAUUAGAACGACGUCGGGGUGGAAGAUCGCAGUGAAGAUGAGACCAGGUUCUGCUAUUUCCAUCAACAUCCGUGCGCCAACUUUCAGUCUGUAACACUUGAGAAAGUUUAUCCAAGUUCGGCCAUAAAAAAAGCAGCGAUCUUCUUGGUUCAUGAACCCAACUUAGAACUUAUAUCCAUGGCUUGUCUUCACUGUGACCAUUAAACUGAUGUAUUCAGUUAUGGCAAGGCCGAGCAUCUUGAGUACAUGUGUUCUGGCAGAGCAAAUAAUGCACUGCAAGAAAAAUAAUAUGAGAACACAAUGUAUUCCCUAUCCAAAUGUAGAAAUAAUUUCCUCCUUCACGUCAGUGUUGACCAUCGUACUAGUAGUACCAUUUAUCCAAAUAUAGCAAUCCAAAAUUCCAAAUUAGUCGACAACAUGUUCAGAAAACACCCACCCUCUCGGAUAAAAAAGACGAUUCUAGGAACACACUGUGUGCGUUUUAAAAUCAUGUGUUAGGAUGAGAAGGAAUAAGUGUGGCGUCUCGCUGAGGGCGCAGAAACCUAUAGGGCCCUCGCACUUUGGGUACUGCAAAUGAAACACACUAGAUUCAAUAGGAAGAAAAAUGCAUCAACGGCGGCGGCUGCCAUCCUAGGAUUACCCGCGACCAAGGGACUUGGAUUUAUCGGGGAUGGAUGAAGAAUUCGUACCUGGUUCUCCAUGAGAAAAACCUAUGCAAUCGCCGAGAGGGGUUUUUCUCUGAACAAGCAGAUGAGGGAGAAGGGGAUUCAGGCCCAGUGAAAUAUUGCCGCUUCAUUCGUCCAACUUACUGCUAAAGCUGGAAGGGGGGGGGGGGUUGGCGGCUCAUUCGGCAUACUGCGGCGCUACGACCGGGGUGUGUCUACCGUGCAGUUGUGCACUCUAAUUUGGUGCAUAUGGCAUGUGGACCCCAUUGCCGGAUGCCCCACAUAUCAGCGAAAGGAAGUAGAAAGACAGGAGUAACUAGUUACACAUAAGUAUAUUUUUGACAGAGAGAUACUCCCUCUGUAAAGAAAUAUACAAAACUUUUAUAUCACAACUUUAUACAUAAGAAAAAUCAAGGGGAAUAUAUAUAACAUAUAUAAUUAUAAAAAAUAGAGUUGUUUUUAACACAGUAUAGACGAGUUGGUGAUGAUGGUGUGCCUGCCAUCCUGCAAGAUAGGCCGUCCGAUUUAUAUCUGAUGGAUAGGAAGGAAACUAUGGCAAUUUUGCAAAAAGGUACCCACACACCUCUCCACAUUUGCAAAUAAGGCCUUCCCUCGUUCACCCUUUUCUCUCACAAGAUAAAAUACUCAUACAAAUGCAUCUUGAUGUUACAUGCAACGCACGGGCAUUAUGGGGGUUCAGUUGAGAAUAUAAUACUCAGACAGGCUCACAGUUCUGGACUUUGGGCCGCAGGCCCACCCUGCAUGUUUGGGGGCCCAUGUGUUCUACCUCAGUGCUUUUCAUAUUGCCAGCGAUCGGUACGGCGCUGGUUUUAGAUGUUGUCGCAAGGCGAAUACACAAAAUUGAAUAAAGCACGACAGCUGUUGGAAUGAAAUCGAACGACAGUUCCUAACCAGCAAUGAGAGUUGCAAUUCUAUCAACAAUAUACCGUGUGAUAAGUAAUACUGUCGUACUACUUAUAGACAUAGGACACUUGUUUCACCAUGCCAGAUUAUUACAUCAAAAUCUCUCAGAGGAUAGAUCAGUUCGGCAGUUGCGUGCUGCUACUGAAGAAUUUCAAAGUUGAUUUGGACCAGCUCUCCUUGCCGAGAAAGUUUGAUUUUGACAUCAUCCCCUACCGCAAGAUAUGAUUUAGAUUUGAACCUUAACCAUCCUUUAGCAUCAAUCAUCAUGCGACCAUCCUUUGUACUUACGGUAUAUUGAGCAGGUUCAUUCACACCAAGGCUGCGCAUGGUAAGAGAAACUUGGCCGCGGUCGCCUGGAUUGUUGAACGACUCCCUCGUUGCUCUAGGAAUUCUCUGUUUGCAAACAAGAACACAUACCAAAACAGUUAGAUCAACACAGUGAAUCAUGUGAAACAACAUGGAAAGAAAAAAUAACGAAGCACUUGGGCAGCCAAUGCUUACCAAGAAGGUGGACAUGUCGGUUUUUGUAAGGACUUUGGUAUAUGAAGUGUGAAUUGCAGCCCAGUAUGUUGCCGGUGCAACUGCUCGUUCGGUUGUCGCUGCACGGGUCGGAGCAGAUGCAAGUGCAAGUGUUGGUGCAGGUGCCGAAGCCGCCGCUGCUGCCGGAGAUGGUGCUCCUUGUAGAGCUGGUGCCGGUGUCGGAGCAGGUGCCGCUGUCGAUGCCCGAUCCUUCAGUAGAUCAGCCUGAUCCGCUGAUGCGGUCAGUGCCCAAUCCUCAGCUGGAUCAGACUGAGCUGCUGCUACUGUCAGUGCUAGAGCAACUGCCGGUGCUCGAUCCAUUGCUGAAGGUGGUACCGAUGUGCGAGACAGUAGCGAUCGUGUCUGGUCUGCUAUGAUCAGCUUUCUAACUUGACUAGGCUCCGUGGUUGUGAUCCAGUUUUUUCUUCAUUUCUUUUAAACGCGAGAAGGACUAAUUGUGGCGUUUUUGUUAAACCAAACUGCAGUUCACCAUAGGGAUUCAACUUGUACUCAGACAACAGACUGAUCCAAUUUUUUCAGUAAUAUAAGUGAUGGACAGUGCCUUCGUUACCGACACGACAUAAGAAGUGAAACUUGCAAAAAUAGCCAUUGUAGAGCAAACCAAACGGUUUAUUUUGUGAUGAAUGUCACAUGGCAAAACCUGCAUCGUAAAAUUGCAGGAAAAGAAUGAAAACAUGACAUUAAAUCAAUACGAUUUAGACAGUAAAUCAAUAAAAUUUACUUGAUGUGACACGAGUGAAUCCUUACCAGGAAAUCACUAUGUUAAAGUACUAAACAAAAGAUUGAUCGUCCAACUAUGGGCAGCAUGCAGGGCCCCCGGCUACUCCCACAAGUAGGACAGUCCAAAGGUCAUGACAAAUCGUAUGAACCGAACAUCCAUGGGACUGGAAAUCCUGGUGGGCACGAUAAACCCUGCAAUGCAUACAGAUAUGGGAGUGUAACCAUAAUUGAUAAACCGUCCUCACAAAAAUGAUUGUUCUUUUCGCUGGAGAAAGAGAACACUUCUUUUCUUCUUUUUUGAUUCAACAAAUGUUACUUCAAAAUAUACAGAUUGAAUUGAGUGGACAGACAUUAACAUAGACUAUUCUCAGCACUGACCACACACCAAAAGCGGCAGUACUAAACAAUACAGGGUUCACAAACACAAAUCAAGUACUGAACAAUAGUACUUACUACACACAAGCAAAUUUGCACUAAUUAAACUCUGUAGGCUAUUUCUUGCCACCGACCUACGGGAUGAACCCCGCAUAACUGACUAGGCCAUGGACUUCGUGAGAGAUGUCUACCUGCACCAUCACCAUCUCGUCAACCUUGGAGAACCUAUCAGAGUGGUCUUUCCACUCAUAAACAUGAUGAUGAAGACAUUUCGUAUCAGAUUUGUUGGGAAGCUUUACAAGAACCAUACCCUUCGUAAUCGAAGGCACAACCAGGAAAUUGUUGUGGUCAAGUACAGCCUCGAGAACACGCCUGACAAGAAUGCUACAGGAAAACACUAGUUCAGGACAUGUGGCGACAAGGACACAACAACUGGAUAGUUUAGCAGUAGAACUCAUCCUUAGGUCUUCCAGUUCAUACGACAUGACUUUGAGAACUUCAUCUCCACCGCGGACCUGGUUCUAAUUCAAACAGAAACCAUAUCUUAUUACUACCUCUGUUCAGAAAUAUAACAUGAUUUUUGAUAUUAUACUCCAUAUAUGACUACAUAUACGCACAUAAAUGAGUGAACAAAGACACUAGAACAAGUCUUCAAAGGCAUGAGAGCAGAGGGAUUACUUGCAAUAUCCAUAACACAAGUUACUAAGGUAAAUGUACCCUCUUCAAAGGCAGCAUUGAUGUUCAUAAAGUACUCCCUCUGUCCCAAAAUUCUUGUCUUAGAUUUGUCUAGAUACAGAUGUAUCAAGUCACAUUUUAGUAUUAGAUACAUCUGUAUCUAGACAAAUCUAAGACAAGAAUUUUGGGACAGAGGGAGUAGUUGAAAGAAAUCUAUAAGAAAUCAGUGUCAACCUCUCGCAUGUUUUGGUCAAAAGAGGAAUUUAGAACCGUCAUUUGGCACACAAAAAUCACAUGCAAGAUCACCGAGAAAGUUGUACUACUAGUACUAGUACUGCGUGUUAGAUGAAAAAACAAGAUCAAGAUCGAGAAAAAGAUCGUCAAGAAGAGAUAUUACCUGGACUUGCUUACUAAGGGAUCCCGGAGAGGGGGCUUGUACAGGGCGAUGUCUUUGAGCUUGUCUGCGGUAGUCUCGGCGGGGUGCUUGCGCUUCUUCGUACCAUGAGCCUCGAUGGUUUUGGCCAGAGCCAUAGACAUCACGUCGGCCGGUGCUCCAGUGUCCAUCCAGGAGAGGAAGCUGAGAGAGAAGACUGAAAUGAGGAACGAGAUGAGAGAGAAGCGAAGCAAGUGGGGGUUUUCUUCAAGAGAGGAAGUUGGGAGAGGAGAGUGAAAUGAUGGUUGCUUCGUCCGUCCAACUUACUGCUGGAAAGGAGGGGGUUUUGUGAUUUGAUGGCUCAUUCAACCGGGGUAAUCUACCGUCACUCUACUACAGAGUAAUUUAGUGCAUGGCUGGUGGACCCCGAUGCUAGCUGUCCCACACGUCGGUGAAAGUGAGUAAUUUAGUGCAUGGCUGGAGGAGGAUUCACACGGUAGAGCGUGUCCACUGUUUUUCUGAAGAAAAAAAUGAUUACAGCAAGCGUUUCCACUCUUACGACGGAGGAGUGCGAAACACGGCAGCCACUUGAACAUACACAGUGCUCCUACUACUAGGCGGUUCAUACGUCAGUACUACAUAAUCUUGUUGCUAGUGUAGUAAGAUAUGACGAUAACAAAUGAUGUUGUGCAAAUGUCAACUAUAUGAAUAGUAAUGUAGUAACAUAGUACCACUUUUUCGACUGUCCGGUCAAGAAUGAAUGGUGAGAUCAAUGUUAACAGAACUAGGUAUAUAGCACACGGAGAGUAUGGUGCUACAGUACUCCAUGAAAAAUGAACCAUAUGAAGCACGAAUCAGUGUUAGGCAGGGUGUAUGAAGGGUGCACGGGAUGGGAGCAAAAGUUCCCUUCUUGACCCACUUUUGGCUGUUUGGCAGAGUGCAUGAAGGGUGCAUGAGUCCACACUAGUAGGUUAACACAAAUACAGGAAGAGGGAAAAACUAUAUUGAGAUGAGAAUGCAACCAAACACACCCGCACGCUUUGUGCUACAGUGACUGAUCUGCACCAUCUGAAUUUGAUCCAAUGAUCAUGUUUCACCGAGACAUGGACAUGCCCAUGCAGAGGGAGCCUAAACAACACCGAAGUCCCUCUACUUCUCGAGGCGCACGACGUUGGUGAUGUAGGGUGCAACCGCCCGCAGAGACCGCUCCCGGUCGACGGGAGCCAGCUCGUCAAAGACGGCGUCCAAUGGCACGAAUGGAUUCCAGUGACAGAGCCCUAAAAGGAUUCGCCCGGCAACAGUGACGGCAGCCCACAACCCCUCCUUGUCCAGCUCCGCCCCCACCAUCGCGCAGAGACAGCUUAGCUCCUCGGAGAUAUAGGUGAAGAAGGAGACCAGGUUAGGAAGCCGCAGCUCGUUGAAGUCGACUGGGUGGUCAAACGGGUUUAGACCGAUGGCUGGCAUGGUCGCGCUAGCACGACAGUAGGCAUCGCGCAGCCGCAACACAUGCAUGGCAACUUGGUUCACCAAGUGGCUGAGGCGAUCCUGGACCUCGUCACGAUCGGCCCGCUCGCGCUCCAGCCGGCUCCCCUGAUGGCCUAUAGUAUCUUCCGCUUUCUACAGCAACGCCGCCGACGCCUUGAGCAUCUUUGUGGUGGAUGCCUGCCGGUUUCGAAGCUCCAUGAACUCCCGCACAUAACGGAGGAGCAUGGGAUUCCUCUCCUCCUUGAGCUCAGAGAGCUCCAUGUCCUUGGCCCUGAGCUCCGCAUCCUUGGCCUGGAGCUCCUAUGUCAGGCGCAUCACCUCGGACUCCGUGAUCUUCUGCGCCGCCAUGGCACCAGGUAGAAGCAAUGGGGAGAGGAAGCAAAGGGGGCGAAACUGCUAAAAGGCAAUGCAAUCUAUGGGAAGGCGGAGGGAGCCAGCCGAGGAGCGAGGAAUCUUUUGGUUUUCACCAUGGUAAAACACCAGUCGACAACUUCUCACAUCAGGGAGCAGUGGGUUUUACAGGCAGAGUCGUCGUGACUAAUUGCUGCCGCGCCUGCUCCCAUCAAUCAAAAAACUAAAAAUCAUGCCGCGCCUACUCCCAUCAAUCAAAAAAUUAAAAAUCCUGCCGCACCCAAUCACUAGAGCAAUACCGCGGUAGAUAUUUAAAUUUACCUUCCGGCAAGUAGAUAAAAAAAGGGGUGAAAAAAUAAAUGUGGCGGCGGCCUAGCUAAUCAGUCGAACUAGACCAACUAGCUAGCCACCGUGCUUCACUGAUGUACUCGGCGGGAAAGGUGAUCUUUCGUGAUUUGACGACUCAUUUACUUGCUUCGGCGCUACGACCGAGGAGGACCCAAAAAACAGGCGGUAGGGCGUCCCACGUCAGGAAGAAUAUAUGCAUGCACCACGCGGAAGGACCACGAAACCGCGCGGUAGGGUGUGCCACGUCUCGGCAUUGAGGAAAAAUGUACGUGUAAAAAUAUACUGUAUCAAACGUAGUACCUAUGGUUCGACCUCGGGACCCAGCCAGUCGGUCAAAAACACCCCACUAGCCACACAAAUUUAUCAUGCUAACGUGGCACGAGGAUAGGUGUGGUUAGCUCCAUCUCGACCAGCCACAACGUCUCUUGUUCUAGGUGAUUCUUCUAUUUUCCAAGCUUUUUUUUAGUUAUAAUAAUACCACUGCAAGCUAGCGCCGCUCUUCGUGUGUGCCCAUGCAAAGGUUAGACGCUGGAGAGGAGAGAGAGAUCGCAGACCUGGGACCCACUAGUAAGUGAGUCAACGGUCUUGCACGUGUUGACGAGGCACUCCCUCUACUCUACUCAACGUAAUACUGUAUAAAAUCAAGUUAUGGGACAAAGCCAACAACCAUUGUUGUUUCAGGCUAUCGACUUACACUUUGUAGUCCAGGUUUCCAGUUUGAAUCUCAUCUUUCAUAUUUGUUAGUUUUAGGUCCAAAUUUGAUUAAUGACAAGUGGGACCCCCGUGUGUUGUUCCAAUAUUUCAGUGCAGGAUGGUUUUUUUGAACAAACAGUUUGCACGGUUAGACAAGUAACGACACGAGUUACACGUAUUUUGCAAGUUUACGAACAAAAAUGACAGCGGCAUAGAAUAUCACAUCCACCCCGCAGCUUGGAUGCUAUGGUGAUACGAGUUUUUACAUCGUUGGAAGUGAGAUCCAAUGGCUUGGGAGUAGUCUUUGUAAUUAUGCACAAUUUCCAAACUCUCCAAAUGUUUUUUUGCAAAUAAAACAUUCAGGCCUCGUGUGUGCCGCUGCAUCAUGGAUCCAAUGGCUCCCCGUUGCUCAUAUUAGGUGCUCCCCAUAGCUUAAUUACCCGCUACGCUGAUAUGAGCAUCUAGGUCAUAUGAUCAGUGAUCAGAUGGCACAUGUGUAGUACUCAUACUUUCUACGCAAUUCCUAAACACUCUCAGCUGUAUAUUGCAAAAACAUUCAAACCUCUUAUUGUGGGCCGUUAGAUCUCCAUGAACUCGUAUCACCAUAGAAUUUACGAUGCGGGAGAACCUCAUAUUCUCCCAAGCGAGAAAACAUAAGGUGCUCUCGCUGCUUGGAUGCUACGGUGAUAUGAGCUUCGAGGUUGUUUGAUCUGAGAUCAAGUGGCAUCUGAGUAGUCUUUGUGCUUGUAAGCAGUGGCCGAACUCUUUGGGGUCUUUUCUGCAAAAAACCAUUCGAACCACCGAGGAGUUGUUGGGUCACAAAUACAACGGCUCCGAAGAGCUUGUAUCACCAAAGCAUCUAGGGUGUCGUAGCACAUGAUAUUCUUACAUACAGGAGAAUAUGAUGUCCUCCUUCAUCUUAGAUGCUACAGUGAUACGAGCUUCGAGGUCGUUGGAUAUGGGAUCCAAGGGCAUCUGAGUAGUUUUUGUACAAAUUGUGUGCAAUUCUCAAACUCAUCAAGGUUUCCUGUAAAAAAUAUUAAGAGACCAUGUGAGCUGCUAUAUCUCAAAUCUACAAGCUCCAAGCAACUCGUAUCGGCAUAUAGCAUCUAAGGUAUGGGGGCACAUUAUAUUCUCCCGGGGAGGAGGGGUGGGGGUGCAUAACGAAUCGGUGUUUGGGAGGGUGGGGACAAAUAUAAUAUAAACAACCCUAAACAGAGCUUCACAAUUUUAUCUAAGGUCGAGGGGUUGACCCCCGACAAUCAUAGCUCCGCCUAAACACAACAUUUGCAUGUACUGUAGUACUAGACUUAAUAUUCAUGUUUCAGUUUCCUGUUCAUUUUAAAUAUUGAAUUGAGGACCAUGCAUGUAUUACAUUUUACUCCCUUCAUUCCUAAAUAUUAGUCGUUUUAGAGAUUUCAAAUGGACUGGCACAUACGGAUGUAUAUAGACAUAUUUUAGAGUGUAGAUUCAUUCAUUUUGCUCCGUAUGUAGUCACUUGUUGAAAUCUCUAAAAGACUAAUAUUUAGGAACAGAAGGAGUAUUUGAAUUCGUGUCAUACAUGCAUGGUUUGGGAAAAUAGAUGCACUAUACUUAUUGGAUUGUUGUUGUGUUCGUGUGUGUGUGUGUGGGCGCGCGCGCGCAUGUGUGUGGUCAUAUGCUUGAUACAUACAAAGUUUUCUCACCUCCAUAUUGUUCAUCUUUUAAAUUUGAAUUUGCAAUGAAAAACUUACUAGGGAUACCAUGAAAUGUGAAAUCCACGUUGAGAUCACUAUAUCACAAACUCACUCUAAUUCAAGAACUCGUCAUAAAUCAAUUACCACAUUGAGAUUAGUAUUUGCAAGGAAAAUACGGACAUUGUAAUACACAUAUAUUCGUUCGGCAAUUUAAAAGAUUCCUUUCGUAUUCUCGAAUGGUAGGACCCAACCGCGUGCCAGCCAGACCUUGGCUCGUGUUGAUCCUAAAAAAACCGGCUCAUGUCCUUCUGGUGUCGUGCAUUGUAUGCACAUUAGGUAACCCAACCAGUCGAGCCUCCGCGUUUCGAGUCGAAAUAUUUGGCGGCCAGAAUUCCAGCCCUAGGAAAUUCCCCUCAUGUCGCCGGUCCAUAAUGACUACCGAUUAACAACGGAGGGAUGCUUUAGUAACUAGACAACAUUACCUACCGUGCCGAGCACGGUUCAAUUCCCUCGGUCGCCGCUCGCCAAGGUCACCCGUCAACUGCAUUGCCUAGUACUACUACUACUACACCAGGAUGAGCACAUAAUUGAGCCCGUUUGUUCGUGCCUAGUACUUGAGUUAAUAUUUCAGGCAUUUCAAUGGUACAGAGGGAUUAUCCUUUUACUCUGCAUAUAUAACUUGUCUGAAGUCUAACUAAGCAAAAUGUUUGACCAAAUCCUUUCUUAAGAAAUACAACAGGACAAAUGUACGACUUGAAAAUUUAUUGCAUGAUGUAGGUUAUGAUAUUGUUAUGAAUCCUGGAUUUAAAUUUCAGAAAAUCCAAAAGUGACCAGAAAUUCUUGAAACUAAGCAUGGUCACGUGAUAUGGCACAAAUAUUCCUUCAUAAUUUUUUUCUUCAACUUGAAAGAAGCUGCUUAUGACAAGUUGCAGAAAUGAAGAGCCAAGGUAUUUUGGAACAAAGACCUAUCAUGUUAAGGAGAACGCUUUCACUAUUGAAACCGUGGGCGUUUACGUGCCGCCACGAGUCUCGCUUCUCAUCGGCAGGUGCCGUCCAAGCAAGCGUGUGAGUCGAUGGGAGGCAUGCGAGCAGAGCGCUACACCGACUGAUAGGGAGGCGUGCGAGCAGACCGCUGUGCAGGCUCACCGGGAGGCAAGCCCUUUGACCUGGCUCCGCCGCCCACCUUUGUCCCAACUGAUCCCACUUUUAAUGUCGCCGGCCCCGCAGUUUAAAAUCAACCCUGCACUAUCCAGUAUCGCUACAGUCUUCUUUCUUCCUCUCCAAUUCUCCUGUCAUCUACCUCCAACCAGCCUGUCCUAAACGUACGCCAUGCCGCAUCACGUUGGUCUGCCCUUAGUCUUCUAGUUUCUUGAGGAAGACACUUAGCCAUAGUCUCAAGAACACAAGGCGCUUUGGGACGAGCUUGAACUGGCCUUGUGGGAAGACGCUGCGCCUGUCCCCGCUCCCGUUCCGGCUCCCGUCGCCCCGACUGAGCCAUCACCCAUCCCCAUGGCAUUGAUGGGCUAGGAGCCGCAUGCCGAGCUUGAUGCCACGAGGUUCCACGAGGUCCCCACUGAGUUUCAUGCUCCCGUGCACCUGCCAGCGCAUGCGCCUACGCGUGCACUGAUGCGCACACCCAUGGCGGUGCCCGUGCACCUGCCAACGCAUGCGCCUGCACGUGCAUUGAUGUGCGCGCCCGUGCUGGUGCGGGUGCACAUGAAUGUCUCCGGUGCGCCAUUGCCAGCGCCUGUCCCCGUGCGGGUGCCAGUGCCCCCCUCAUCAGCAUGCAUGGACGCCGUCGACCGCUUCCUUGCACCAACGCCAGUCGCCUCCUCCCGCCAGUUGACUCGCUCCGAAGUCCAGAACAUUUUGGCCUUCCUUGAAGCUAGGCCAAUGUCCAGGAGUACGCCAACAACGGUGCAAGACGCCGCUGUUGCCGUCGGUCAGUGGCCUGACGACACACAGAGCACGGCAGAGGAGCCGCUUCCCACCGCAAGACACCCCCGCCGUCGCCGCAUAAUCUAAAUUUGCCAUGAAAAACAUUCAGAUUGCCAUGCUUAAAAUCCAAACAUUUAUCAUUUCCGUUUAUUUUAGAUCGGUCACCGUAUAAUUUAAAGUCGGAGUCAGACUGAACAAAAUCUAUGGUUUGAUCGAUUGAAUGUUCUGCUAGAGCCGUAUCAAAUUAAAUAUAAAACGUCAUCAAGCCACAUGUAUUCCUUAUCAUCCAACGACCUAGACUGCUUCAAUGUUAAGCGCUCAACACAUUUAGCGUGUAGUUAAUUUCAUCCCAAAAAUAGAGCUAAUCACAUAAUAACACGCAAAUAAUAUCCUACUUAAUAUCCACAUGCACUUAAUAUACUUCUAAAUUAAUGUGCAUUGCACGUACACACUGACUAGUGCUGCUAGUACGUGAAACUGGUGCCGUAACUUGUGAACGCGUCCAUAUAUGGUCAACAGCAACAUCUCGCGAGUUCUUCGUGUUUGCCCGUGCGUCUAAACACAGAAGGGGAGGAGAGAGAGAGAGAGCACACAUGUAACCCACCAGUAAGUGAAGGCAAAUAGUACGUGCUAACGAGCCGGUCCCACUAAUAUACUAAAAACAAUAUAACAUGUUAUCCAUUAAAUAGGCUGUGGUAAUAUAAAGAUAUUAUGUGAACAAGGGGGGUACAACAAACAUUGUUGUUCUAUGUAUGUUGCCUAUUGACGUGCGGCUUGAAGGGCCUGGUCGCAUGUUCGAUCCUCGUCCUUUAUUUUUUAAUUUGUAUAUGAGUCCAAAUUUGUUUCAUGACAGGUGGGCUCCACGGUGUGUAGUUUGUAGCACUUUAAUUUGUGGGUCAAAAAUUUUUCCAUUCCAAGUGGACUAUCGGUGUGUAGUUUUGUAGCUUAUUUGUAAUAAUUAAAGAGAACAAUAGAGUUUUGCCAAUAAUACUAUGGUACGACGUUGAAGGCGAGAAAGGACGUGCUAGAGAGCGAUGACCGAGCCAGAGGGAAAUAAACUGGGGGAGGUGCGGGGAUUGCAACGGUGUUUGGAGUAGUUGUGGGCCGAAUGCUAAGAAAAUAUAAUCUAAAUCGACCGAAAUAAAUGCCUACACAAAUUAUCCAAGGUUGGAGUGCCCCUCGCAAUGUAAAUUGCUCCGGCUUUGCGAGGGAUGGAGAGGUACCUUCAAUGUGUGGAAGAUACGCCGUGAGAAAGCGAGGUCAAUCGAGAGACAUAUAGAUAGAGAGACAAAGUGAGUGUGGUCUGACAUUCAUUGAACAAAUAUAUAUGCUCUGGAAAGAUAUUGUUCGAUUGAGCUUUUGGCAAGGGUGAGGGCUGUAAGAUAGAGCUUGAGAGAUGAUCCAGUCACAGACAUGUAGAUAUAUUUUGUGCGUGGGAGGAAGCAAGGUCAAUCGAUCACAUAUAUAAAGGGAGAGAGAUUGAGCGAGUGUGGGUCGUCGUGCGAUCGAAAGAGUAAGAUGGGUUGGAGAGAGUGACCUAGAUAGACAAUGUGCGCGAGAGAGUAUACAAUGUGAAUAGGUCAAAUUGGGCUCAAACAUGGUGAUAUCGCUUUUGACCGAGAAAGAGUGAGGUCAAUCGAGACAUAUAAAGAGAGAGAGAGAGGGAUAUAUAUAUAUAGAGAGAGAGAGAGCGAGAGAGAGAUUGAGCGAGCGUGGCCCACCAUGAGGUCGAAAGAGUGGGGGCGUCUUGGAUGGACUGACCUAGAUAAACAAUCUGCAUGAGAGAGUAUAGAGUGUGUCGAUCAAGGCCCGAACAGGGAGAUAUAUCAUUUGUGUGUGAAAGAAAAUGAGGUUAACCGAGACUUAGAUAAAGAGAGCGAGAUUGAGCGAGUGUGGCCCGUCGUGCGGAAAGAGUGAGACAGUCUCGAGGGAGUGACUUAGAUAGACAACGUGCGUGCGUGCGCACGAGAGGUUAGGGGGCUAGAUAGGCAAUGCAUGUAUCUAGCGCGAGAGGGUGGGAGGGAGAGGGAGAGAGAGAGAGAUCAACAUGGGGUGUAAUAGCGGGUGUGUGUGAGGUAAAUACAUUUGGUAACAGAGUGGAAAAACGGGGUUUUGUAGUUGAGAGAGUUAGAGAUCGAAACAUGGAGAGAAAGAAUGAACGUGUGUUGGAAACUGAUAGCUUCCUAAGGUGGUUAGGAGAGGAAGAUUGACCGAUACAGGAAGUAUGUAGCAUGUGUGCCGAGGGGGAGGGCUAAAAACAACAUUUGAAUGUAGAUAGUAUGAGACUUAAUAUCGAUGUUUCAAUUUGGUGUACAUUGUAAGAUUUGAACGAGGACCAUGCAUAUGGGUAAUUAUUUCGAAUUCGCGCUAUACUAGGUUUCGAAAAGUUGACAUUGACUCGAUUUGUUGUGCUAUUUUGUAGGUCAUAUGUUUGAGUCCAUCCAAAAGUUUUCUCAUUACCAUGGUGUUCAUCAUAUACAUAUGAAUUUGUAUUAAAAAAGUAGUGUGGAUAUAGUGAAAUGCGAAAUCCACGUUAGAAUUGGAGAUCGCUAUGUGACACACACACUCUAAUUCAAAUAACUAAUUAUGUGACACACACUCUAAUCCACGUUAGCGUGGAUACCGUUUUGAUUUUUGUUCCAAAUAACUCCUCAUUAAUUAAUUUAUAGUAUCUCGUUUCGAAUGACUAAUUAUUUGCAAGGUAAACACGGGCAUGGUAAUACAUAUAGAUUCAUUUCCAAAUGAAAGAAGAUUCUUUGCAUUCUCAAAUGUAGGCGGACCAGGCAGACCAAGGUUGUGUCGUGGUGGUCACGUGUGUCGGACGGAUGCUUAGCACCCAGCCACCCACCGCCUCCCCCCUCCCCCCCCAAAAAGGACGAUGAAAAAAUAAGUUCGCGCUUCCAUGUUUCGGAUUGAAAUAUGUAGCGGCCCCAAUUCUAGCCCUGCAAAAUCUCCUCUCUCCACCGUCCCCAUCCAUGCCCAGAUUGCUCAAAUCCCUAAUUCGCCGCCAACCCAAGCAAAGUUCGAAUCACCCCUCGUCUUGUCUCUUUCCCCGCCUCUGUGCCAGACGACAACGACGAAGACGACGGUCGUGCUUCACCAUCGCACCAGAGCUACCUCAUUUACGCCCUUGUCCACCGCACCGGGUGGUCCACCGACAACGUCGGCCACCGCAACUGACGUGCCCCACAGACACCGAGUUCCACUACGUCAGGUGCGGUUCACCGACACCGUCUCCCACCUCAUUGGGGCUACUUCACCGAGCACAUCAUCGCACCCCCGCCCCCCGAGGCCGUUGGGGUUUCACCAACGGUCUUGUCUACCGCAUCGUAGCACUCUGCUGCCACUCAAGAUCUGCAUCCGUGUGCGGCCAGCCAACACCAGCACAUCACCCUCAAUGGCUCUGAAGUGACCUGCACUCUAGCUAGGCAAGCAUGCCCAAACGCCGGCCUGAACUAGGUAUCCACACGUCACUCCCGUGUGCACUGUUCUGAUGAUGUUUGGAUAUCCUUUCACUCCUCUCUUAGCUUACACGCAUAUGCAACUCUGACUUUAACUCUUAUUUAUUCUGGAGAUAUCAUCUGAAACAAGCAAAAUAUUUUUUAGCGAAGCAUGAUGGCGCUACGGGAUCUGGUACACAUCUUGCACACCCGUAUAACCUUGUAAGUAUCUGUCCUCCGGUACAAUAGCAAGGUCAAUUCCUCUUAUUUGAUCAACCAUUCACUGUGUCAAAAAUGUAGAGGGGGAUGCAAGGAGCACAAGGCCUGCACAUCCAAGCAAGUGGUAACAUGGACUUGUACAUGGAACAUCCCAAGUGCAAGCAGAGCUGCAGUGAGCCUGUACGGCGAGCUAGCGCAAGUCCCUGCAUUUCAUUGAACUCGUACUAGAAUUCGUGUAUGAUUUGUGUGCAGUGACGGAUCCAUGAAUUCAAGUUACCAGGGGCAAACAUUUAACUUAAAAAAUACAAAGGCACUUGCACUCCGGAAAUCAACAUAACUUGAGAAAUGUGAAGCUACAUGCACUUUGAAAACUAGCUAAUGAUCCAAAGUAGUUCAGAUUAUAAACACUAAAUGAUGCAAGCACCAAACAACACAAAAUGCAACAUGGUGUACAAGGACUACAAACAUGGUCUGUACCUGCUUGAAUUAUUCGUUCUCUGGCUGAAAUUAUCGAAGUGUAAUUGCACCUAUAACCAGUGCACAAACUGCAUAUCAAUAUAUCUAUCCUGCCCAAGUAUGCCAAUAGUUUCAAACAACAGAUUAGAAAAGUAUUUAUGCUACGUUGUCAUGAUAUGGGAACUUUCUGGUAGAUGGCCUUGACGUUUCCUCAAGCCAUGAAAAUGCACUAUAAUUUGCUUGUCAUCAAUGCCUGCAAAUCUCUAUGUCUCUCUCAACAUAGCAGAUCAUCAUUAGACACUAAAUCCUUCAAUGGGAGUUUGCAAAAUGCUUGCAUUAGAUCCCUCAUUAGACACUAUAUGUUCAUCACCAGGAGCAUGUAAAAUGUUUGCAUCAAAUCCUUCAUUAGCAGUCUGUUCAUUAGACACUUCAGGCUCAAGAACAACAUGAGCUUGUAUGUUUGCACCAGAAACUUGAUUAGAUACAUCAGAUUCAGUCAGUUCAGUAUUGAUUGGGGGAGUUAUAAAAUAAGCAGAAAUUGGUUUCAUUUUCUCAUAGAUUCCCUACAUACAAGCAGUUUUACAACACUGUCAUGUUUAACUAUUGGCCAGAAAUUGAACAGUUGAAUUAGAUAUAAUCAAAGAUGUGAUGUACCUACUCGUUGCGCAUGCUACUCUUGCAAGGUGCGACUGUCCAUUUGUGCAAGCUCGAUGCCAUGCCCUUGCUGCCGCUGCUGCCUCCCACACAGGCUACACCCAGGGUUGGAUCUUGAUCUUCUUGUCCUUCCGUUCACUUGAAGCCCGGCGACCUCCCUCCAACGAGGGCGCGAGGAAGUGCCGUGUCAGUCUGUCCAGCGGCGGCUAGGUUAGGUGCGAACCAGACUGGAGGCUGGAGCGAACGAAUUGGGAUUUUUCCUGCUGUUGAUCGAUAUGGGAGGCGCUCGUUUGGGCCGCAAGCCUGCUAUAGGGCCUGCCUUGCACUUAUGUUAUUGGCUCAUCCAAAUUGAAACAUUUUUCUUCAUUUUAUACAUUUCUUGCUUGUGCGUUGGGACAAACAAAACUAGCCUGGGCCAACCUGGAUGAGUCAAACUAGGUGCACACUUUCCAGCCACCAGAGGUGGCCGCCCAUACCAGCCCCUAUGGUGGCGUCGCCCCUUUUUGCAUGUAUGAUUGGGGUAGUGAAAAAUAUUCCAGUGGCGCUUUUGAUUUACCCACAGAAUGGUUGAAUUGCUUGUUUCUAUGAACUGAGUUUGCUAAUAAUGGGAAGGAUGCCAGUCUUUUCAUCCUACUGUAGAUUGCUUAGAUCUCGAUAUGCCAAAAGUAAUCGCAUGAAAUAUAUAGUAAAAGCUAGUGUGAUGUGUGUGGCUACAACUAGUCUGACUACACGUCCUCAUAUAAAAUAUCAAGGAUGCACCAUCUUACCAGAUUAACCAUUCGACUUACCAAUACAGUAUGGAAGAAAGAAGUAUUGGGGCUGCGUAUCCAAGCAAUUGAUGCCAUGGACUCCUUCGUAUAACCUUGUAAGAGAAAAAGAAGUUGCAGUGUGCCUGUACAAAGAGCUAGCGUAAGUUCAGUUACCUGCUUCUCAGAAUUUUAAUUAGUCACUUAUUGCAAAACUGUUCAAUUAUGUUGCUUGGCUUAAUUUAGUUUGCUACUGAUUACAUAAGGCCACAACCUGUUAAUCCUAUUAUAGACUACGCCUAUCUAUGUGUUUGAUACUUACUGUUAAGAAUUACCUGAUUGCCUGAACUUAAAUAACUACUUGUUUGUUUAACUGCUUUGUUGCUGCAACAACGGGUUACAAUGAUGUUAAUAACUACUUUUCAGCAUCCAAUUGAAACUCUUUAAUUCCUUGUUUGUUUAACUGGUUUGCUGUUAUAACUCCUAGUUGAGAUGUUUUGCUAACUUCAACUUUUCUGAAUCCAAUCAGAACUUUAAUGGCAAAACAGGUUAGCCCAAGAUCAAAGAGCGAGGUCCCCAUGGACGUUGUAUCAUCCCACAGCAGUGGCACCGGCCCAAUCGUGCAUUAUGAAUUGCCAACUGCUGAUGCUCUAGAGGCUAAACUAGUGGUAGAAAGAGAUUCUGCUUCUGCACUUAGAGAUGAAGUUGACAUGUUGAGGAAGCAAACAUCACAAUCACAAGCAGUACUGAAGACGACCAUUAAAUAUUUGGUGGAUUUCAAAAUGAAGCAAGCUGAGACUGACCGCAUUGUUAAGGUCCUGAAGGAAAAAAUGGAAAUUAAAUUCUCAUUUGGUAAAUAAUAGGUGAAAUGUUCUUUCCAUCGUUGAAUAACCUUUGUGUUGUUUGUUCACGUAAUCAAUCAAACCAUUUGUUUUAGAGAUCAUGUAAUAAUUGUCUUUUUUGGUUUGUAAUUUUAUUUGAGCACAAGUCUGUAUUAAUUGAUAAGACUCGGAGACAUUUCAUUUUGAUUGCUGUGCUAGACCUACAAAUAUGCCAAUCGGGCUGAAUGUGCAUUCAGCAAUAAUAGUAGUAUAGAUGGACCAUAAGUGGCACGCAUCGGAAAGGGCCAAGAUGCUGUAGUAGCUUGGCUAAAAAAAGGAUGCUGUUGUAGCAAAAAAAGUAUAGCGGCCUGGCUUAUGUAUGUUAGUUGAUAUUAUUGAUCCAUAUACUCUAUAAGUGUUUAUAUGUCUGUUAGUUCUGUACAUUCUUGGUUGAUUGAGUCAGUAUUUGAAUCUUGAUACAUCGCUUGUGUACAUAUCUAAAUGGGAGUACACAUUAUGCUGCGUGUGACAUUUCAGUUGGACAUGAAGUGUUCCAAAUAUUCGAAUUCACCUUAAACUGGAUUCUAGCUUCUGAAUUUGAGUAUCGGCAUUGUAAACCAUAUUCAUAUAUGACAGUGGAAUACAUCUUUGUCGUCCUUUUGAAGAUAUAUAAAAACACAUAGAAUGAUUUAUAAAGAUUCGUAUAGGAAUACAAAAUGGAUUCGAAUUUAGUUGCCAGGGUAAACGUGGAUGCUUAUUGUACCAAAAUUCGAAAGAAGCGGCAAAAUGUCCACUCCCACGUCGGCUGCUCGAAGCCAAGUGUUUGGGAGAUGGAAAUCAAUGUCUACCCAUUACACGGACAAUCCAUCGGCCCGAUUUCCACUGCUCUAAAUAGGGGUAGGUUAGUAACUUCAAUUAGACGUGACACGACCGUCUCUGAGCCCAUUCUGACACGGUGGGCGCCAAACAUGGGCGAAAAAACACACUUGAUUCAAGCUCGUCUGAAAGACAUCUGUUUCUGCCUCCAUUUCCCCAUUCAUACACGGUGGGCGGCAAAACAAACUCGACUCGGCCGAAAUCGAUGUAGGCAAAUAUUUUCAAUAGGGGCAGGUUUGUAACUUCACUCAGAUGUGACACAACCGCCCUACCUGUCAGCCCCGUUCAUACACCAUGGGCGCCAACCAUGGGCGCCAACUACCCUCUCCUCGCCCAAAAUUGCUCUGGGCAAAUAUUGGUGAGAUGCGAGAUUACCGUCCUAUCCCCAACCGACGAGAUGUCCAAAUUUUAAACGGGGGCUAAGUUCGUAACUUUCCCAUAUUUCAGACAGGCGCGUCCCAAAAACAUGGUUCCCCAUACCUCUCCCUCCAUUUUCCCAUUCAUACACCGUCCGUGCUAGAACACCAUCCCCACACGAGCCUCCUCCAUCCGCCACCCCAUCCAUUGCCGCCGUCCUCCACCCCAUCCAUCGCCGCCGUCCUCCACCACAUCCAUCGCCACCGUCCUCCACCAUGCCGGAGCGCCUACCAAGACUGCGUCGUCCACUGCUAGAGAUGGAUGUUUCUCAUCCACGGUGAAGGACCAAGAGCCUUACAUCGCGUCCUCUCGCUUCAUCGGCGCCGUCGUCCUCUUUGCCGGGGCCGCUCACACGACAUUCUCUUCCACCACAAUGGGACUUAUCCCCCGAUGCACCCAUCUACAAUCGCAGAUCUGCUUCAACGCCACUGACAGCCAGCGCACCCCCGAUGCCUACACGACGCCGCAAGAGAGGUGGUACUUCAUAUCUCCUCAACUUUUUGAUCUCAACCAGAAAAUAGAUCGUAACUUGGUUACUCUACUUUCUUUUCAGCUCUUGGAAUUUAGUUCUUAGUUUGAAGCAAACAAUGGAUGCUAAAUAUCAUUUUGCCGGUUUGCAGCUUCAAAUCUGCCAUGGCACAAUCAUAAUACUAUUUAAUUGAUCAUGCUAGGGUUUAAUUGACCAGGUUGGUUCCGUGGUAGUUUCUUUAAUAGAAAUGGGAGGGGAAACUCUCUUUUGCUAAAAAAUGCUUAGAGUUUCCCCCUUUUAUGAUCACUAUAUGAUCAGAAUACAUGCUUCGUGUCAUAAUAGCACUGCUCCACCCAUCAAGCUAAACACGCUUAGUUGUUCAAAUACGAAUCUGAUAUUAUUAAAAUAGAGUCAUUUAAUGGGUCAACUAAAUGUUCCUAAAUUAGUUUAAAAAAUGCAUGUUCGCCGCUCAGGUGUGUAUCUCUACAGGGUGCCCACGGUGGGCAGGCCCACCCUGGGAUUUGGGUCAUCCUAGGCCCCGAUUCCCCUCUGUUCUGCUGCGUGCUUCCGAUCUCUACUCGCCCCCAGCCGCCUGCCUCGCCGGCGACUUGCCGUCCCCGGACGGCAUGACUCUAGGAGGAGACGCCAUACUAACAGGAGGUCAGGAGCCGCUCGCCCAACAGCGUCACCGCUGCCCGGGCGCGCCACCGUGCCUACCUUCCCAGUCCGUUCAGGGCUCAGGCGUGCAGCACCCACUAAGCCAAACCGAUUUAUCCUGAGAUACGUCCUCAACACUUAGCAGCCACUCCUCAUCACCCGUUUUCUAAUUGAUUCAUUACUCAUUAGGCAGGACUGCCAUUAGGGUUUGUUGUGUGUUGAGUGCUACCUACACUUAAUGGUUCAGAUGUAUUUGAGUAAUCUUUAGUACCUAUAAAGUUCACAUGGUUUUCAAAAUUCCGGCCCUAGGAACAGACACUAGUCAUUUUGGAUUGUUGGUCGUAGUGACAUUGACCCAGAUUACUACUACAAGCCAGGUUUGUUGACAAUUUUACUUGUCUUUCUUACUCAUUCGAUAUAAUAUCCAAUUAUUCACGUCGAUUAGUUGCAAACAAUAAGUGUUAGACAAACUUCUUGAUUCAGAUUUUGGACGGUCUCUUACUGCAGUUACAAUUCUGCAUACUUGUCCUAGUAAGCUCACAAGUAAAUGAUUGAUUCACUACAUCUAUGCUUGCCUUGUCAUAUUUGUUGUCAAUAUUCCUUUAGGGUGGACCACCCUGUUUCAAAGUACUGGAACCCUAGACAUGAGUGAAUAGUAUUUCUCUAUGUGAUCUCUUCCAUCAUGUGUGGGCAACCAACACUUCAUUGUAUAGAAAGAAAGUGUCAUUUCUAGCUUUUACCUAGGCUUCAAUAUUUUACAUGGAAUACAAUCUGCCUACUUGCUUUGUGUCGCACUACCAACACUCCACCCUUGAAGCUAAACAUUAUGCCACUCAUAAUUCCUUAGUUUAUUUGUUCAAAUACGAAUUUCAUAUGAUUCUAAUGUUCCUACUUCAGUUUUGAAAUGUGUGUCCGCCUGUUAUAGAGACAUAAGGGGUUUGUAUUUCUGUGUGUGGUCUGGUCAGCACGGUUGGGGGGUGAACUUUGCAUAUGCAGGGGUUUAUAGAGAGACACUCUCCGAGUUGAAUCCGCAAUGCAUUCCAUAGAUAAUCCGACUACUUUUUAUGUUUUCAUAAAUCUCAGAUUCUGAACAACAUCAUAAUGAUUAUGAGCUUGCACGCAUGAAAAGAAUAAAGCAAAAAAAAUGCCAUGGCUCUCAAACUUGGCAUUAAGGGACUUAAAUCAAGUCUGGAUGCAAUGCAAUGCAAACACUCCCCACCUAUAGAUUCAUGCUCAGAAUAUGAUCCUAACAGUGAUUCUGAGCUAGAGGGAGACCUAAGUCAAUGUAGCUCGCUAGUGGAGGAGUCAGAGGCAGAUGCCCUAUCUUAUUCACCCAUCAAGGUGCUUGCUCUAACUUUCCAAGGUUAUAUUGGUCACACAACUCUUGCAACUAAUGCUUUGCAUUGCUUCUAGUUUGUUGAACUGCCAUUAGCUUAGUUUACACAUCGUGUAUGUGAAUAUGCCCUGCCUAUCCAUGUUCAGUACAUAUUCCAUCUGUCAUCAUACCAUAUUUAUCCAUUCAAAUGCUAUUCUUGUGUAUCAAACGUUCAAAAGGAAGAGGACGAUUGCUGAUCGUGGAGGAGCACAAGCAAAGUAUUUGGAAAAGGUAGUGGCACCUGAUAAAUCAAAUAGCCCAUUAGGUGUAGUUGCAAUAUCACCUGACCCACAAAACACCCCAACUCUAGCAGACUCUAGCCCUACUACACUGGUCAUUUCUAAUGCCCCAACUCAGCAGACCCCAACUGCAGCAAACAGUAUGAUCAUGCUAGUUGACAUAGCACCAUCUCUACGACACAAAACCCCCAUUCCAGCAAAGAGUACACCAAAUCCAGUUGCCAAAUCCCUUUUCGAACCAGAGAGAGCCCCAAUUGCAGCAAAUAGGACCCCUGUUCCAUUUCUUCCCAGUUUAGAAGACGAAGCUUAUGUUGUUGUCAGGAACUUUGUGCGCAUCUUUCCUUCAUGGAAAGAUUAUACCGCAGACACAGAACAAUUUACAGUCUUCCUCCGCAACUUACGCAUAAGUAAUGUACUAAUGUUAUUCAUGGUCAUUAUUGCAUAUGUUUUUGCUGACAGAAGACACAAGAUAUCAUUCUUUUAAAUAGGCGAGGACCAAACUGGACUGUGAAGACGAGCAAGGGUUGGUUGCGCUUUUCAAGCACUCAUUGAUGAAGUAUCAUUCCUACCUGAGGCAAGUGCACUUCGAUGGCAAGCCUCUAAACGAAAUUUCUAUAAAGUCUUCGGUGCUACAUUUAUUUGACAGUGACUGGAAUAAUCUUGUUACACAUUGGUCUCGGCUGCAGCGUAAGGUACUGUCUAUGAUAUCACAUCACAAUUUGAACUACAUUUCUGCAUUUGCCUUAACGUCUCACUUGUACGAAAACUGUUAGCAGAAGAACAUUCAUUCUCAAGGGACCACAGAAUCUCACAACUAUACUGCACACUGCAUUGCUCAUGUGAGUACCUCUUGCUCUGUAUGACCAUACUUACUUUUAUAGUUGUUUGAUUAUGUAGCAUCACUGCACAUGUUAGCCUCGUUAUCAUCCAUUUGGUGGACAUUAUAAGAUCCACAUGGACUCUUACAUAAAUUUAGAAUCAACCCAAUGCUUUGAAGAGGUUUAGCUCUAUAGUCCUCUUGUAAGGACUGAACAUCGUCUAUCACUGUACUUACAUUAACAGCUACUCCCUCCGUCCCAUAAUAUAAGAAAGUUUUGUAUAGUACACCAGUGUUCAAAACACUCUUGUAUUAUGGUAAGAUAGAUUGGUUCAUUGUGUAGCAUUCUGCAUCUUAUCUCCCUCGCCCACCAUUUACUAAAAAAGAUCAGAUCUAUAUUUAAUCUUACCAAAAAGUAGAAUACAGAGACAAUGCCAGUGCAGAAGUGUAGCCCAUUGCUCUUGUCAGUACAUUUUGUCCUAUAAUGCUUGUACUUCCAGGGAUUGGUAGUUGAUUAUGUAGCAUCAAUAUGCAUCUUAUCUUCAUUAUCCUUUAUACCUUCCAGUAUUAUCAUAUCUAUAAUUACUCUCUACAAAAUGUAGAGUACAGGCAAUGCUUAUGAAGAAGAUUAUGUGCUGAAAUUUUUGAGUUAUCCUUCCCUUGACAUGGAGAAGGCAUUAUAAAGCCGAUGUUAACUGUUAAUGUAAGUCAGUCCUUUUAAAGCCUUUAUCCUCAACUGCUGUUUAAUUUGCUCAUACUCCCUAUCGUUUACUGCUGUUUAGUUUGCUGUUUCUAUCAAAAUGCAUGUUCGCAAGAACCGUAAGUUCUAAGUUUUACUUGUAAAACCAAAUUAUUUAUUCAUACCAUGCACAUUACUCAAUACUCCCUAUAUGUAUGCUUGUUUUUGUGGAUCUGUAAUCCAGUGUGUGGUGAAGCAACCCACAUUUGCACCUUGUCAUCUCCUGUUUUAUCUUACUGAUGUGGCUGAUGAUAUGAACAACAUGCCAUGCACAUUAACCAAAAUAGAUACAAUGAUUUUCUUUGCCCUUCAUCUAUGCUUGUUAUGUUGACAUGGUAAUCUAGUAGUGUGGUGAAGCUCCCCGCAUUAUGAACAAUGCCAAAUUAUGCUAUUAAUAUUUUGAACUUACUCUUUAUUUUCUAAUUUGAAAUUGGAUGGAAUUCACAGCACAGUUAUCAUCUUUGUUUAUACACGUGCAAAACAUGUCAUCUCUCUACUUUGUUUCAGGGUGAUAUGCCUGAUGGUAUGCACAAGUAUGCUGAAGGCUGUGAGACAAACCCAACAUAUAUUGUAGCAAAGAAAGCAAAACAUCUUGAAGAUAGCGAGACAACCCCAAAGUCUUGUCUUGAUGCAGUGUUCAAGUUACUUGAGACUAGUAGUCAGACAAGCUCACAAAAUUCGUUGUCUGAAUCAGUUUGACUUCUUCAGUCCCAAGUUCUAGCAGAAAGGCAUUCUGCAACUCAACUUCGACUUGAAGUCCUAUCUCUAAGAAAGAUUGCGGAGAACACCAAUGAGAACCUCAUCGCUAAACAACUACACCUGGAAGCUAUGACUGACAUGCUAGGCCGGUCUCACAGCCUUGCUCAGCAGCUUGCGCAGCAGUUCCCGUGCAAGGCUAACCUUUCUUGAACUAUCUUGGAAGUGGUCUCGGUUCAGUAUUAUUUUGUUACGCUGCAAUGGUGCCCAGUUUUUGUAAUCUGCUUCUUCAUUGCGCUUUAUGAUCACUGGUGGCGAACUUUGAUGCCCAGUGGAUGUAAUAUACCAUAAAUCCUUUAUUGAAUAGUGUAGGUUUAUUUUUAGUUACUAUGCCAUAAUUUCUUUAUUGUAUAGAGUAGGUUUGUUCUUAAUUCCUACUAGUUACUGCCAUCAUCCGCUAUCUGAAAAAAAUCUAAUGUAGUCGACCGGGCCGAAACAUUCGCCUCUAACAGGCCUGGUUUUUAGUGGGCCACAUUGGGCCGGCCUGCAUCUUUCUUGGGCCCGAACGAUUGGGGCCUUCACACUUUGCGCCAGGCCCACAACUUACAUCAGCCUAUAUUUUAGUUGGGCCUUUUGUGGACCCAGCGCUUAGUUUGGCCCAGGUAGUGUUGGGCCAUUAACAGGCUGAAUAUUGUACUGGCCUAUUACGGCCUAGAUGAAACCAUGGGCCUUUAGCAGGCCGAAAUGCAUGUUGGGCCUCAAUUUUCACUAGUCGUCGACGGGCCUUCAGCAGGCUGAAAUGUAGACCGGGCCUUUUUGGGCCCAGUUAUAUCACGGGCCGUUACUAGGCCGAAACAUAUCUCGGGCCUUAGUUGGCCCACUGAUAUCAUGGGCCUUUAAGAGGCCGAAAUCUUAGUACAGGCAUCAACGUGCCGAAUUAUACGACAGGCCUUUAAUGGGCCCAAAGUCACAUUGGGCUUAACUGUUGCCACCUUUAUCACGGGCCGUUAGUGGGCCCAAUGUCCCGUCGGACCAUGUAUGGCCCAUGGGCCGCAUGGGCCAUUCCUAGGCCGAAAGUCACACCGGGCUGAAAUGGGCCCAUGUCUACAUCGGACCUCUAACAGGCCGAAAGUCACUGGGCUAUAAUUGGGCCCAAACAUUCGGCGAACAAUUAAUGGGCCAUAUCUGGCUUCAGGCCGUAAAUGGGCCUUUAUUAAACAAGCCGUUAUUGGGCUGGCCCACUAGUACCUGAGUAAGUACUACGGGCCUUUGACUAGGCCGACCUUUUUAACCUAUAUGGGUCUCUGUUGGGCCCCGCCAUGUGUCGACAUAUCAUAGGCAUGUCUCCUCCAAUGGACGGGCGACAUCUGGCCCACUGACGAGCUGACAGGUGUUCCCUUCGGCCAAUCCGAAUUUUACACGUGGAAAUUUCCCAUUGGUCCCGGCUAUUAACACGUUAUCAGAUCCAAAAUCGGACCUGAUAGCUUAACAGCGUUCCGUUAUGGUGGAUGCCAUGUGUCGGUCACCCUUGACGAAAUCACUUCUGUGACGCGCGAUUUAUCUUCGUGGAAGUGGACACUUCCGUGAUGAUAAUUUUAAUAAUGUCAUGGAACACUUCUACGACAGCACAGGUAUGACUAUCUUGAUUCUGUCAUAAAAUCGUCAUGGAUGUACAUGCAUGAGAAAAAACGUGACCUACUGUGACAAACACGUAUCAUGACAGAAGUGUAUUUUUUUUUGUAGUGUAAGCUGUGAAGAUGAGUAAAGACUUAAAACCCAACCACGACAGAAGAUAGAGACAGAAUGGAAGUGAUUCCCUAUGCCUCAGUCAUAGGUUCUAUAAAGUAUGCCAUGCUAUGUACCAGCUUUUUUGUGUGCCUUUCCAUGAGUUUGGAAAGGGGGUACAACAGUCAUCCAGGAGUGGGUCACUUAACAGCGGUCAAAAUUAUCCUUAGGUACCUAAAGAGGACUAAGGAAAUGUUUCUCGGUUAUGGAGGUGAUAAAAGUUUGUUAUAAAGGUUACGUUGAUGCAAGCUUUAACACUGAUCCAGAUGACUCUAAGUCUCAAUCUGGAUAUGUAUUGAAAGUGGGAGCAAUUAGCUAGAGUAGCUCCAUGCAGAGCAUUGUAGACAUAGAAAUUUGCAAAAUACAUAUGGCUCUAAAUGUGUCAGACCCAUUGACUAAACUUCUUUCACAAGCAAAACAUGAUCACACCUUAGUACUCUUUGGGUGUUAAUCACAUGGUGAUGUGAACUAGAUUAUUGACUCUAGUAAACUCUUUGGGUGUUGGUCACAUAGCAAUGUGAACUAUGGGUGUUAAUCACAUGGCGAUGUGAACUAGAUUAUUGACUCUAGUGCAAGUGGGAGACUGAAGGAAAUAUGCCCUCGUGGCAAUAAUAAAGUUGUCAUUUUAUAUUUCCUUAAUAACGAUAAAGGUUUAUUAUUCAUGCUAGAAUUGUAUUGAUAGGAAACUUAAAUACAUGUGUGAAUAAAUAAACAAAUACCGUGUCCCUAGUGAGCCUCUACUAGACUAGCUCACUGAUAAAAAAUGGUUAAGGUUCCCUAACCAUAGACAUGUGUUUUCAUUUGAUAACGGGAUCACAUCAUUAGCAGAAUGAUGUGAUGGACAAGACCCAUCCGUUAGCUUAGCAUGUUGAUCAUUCAGUUUAUUGCUAUUGCUUUCUUGAUGACAAAUACAUAUUCCUUCGACUAUGAGAUUAUGCAACUCCCGGAUACCGGAGGAAUACCUUGUGUUCUAUCAAACGUCACAACGUAACUGGGUGAUCAUAAAGAUGCUCUACAGCUAUCUCUAAAGGUGUUAGUUGAGUUGGCAUAGAUCAAGAAUAGGAUUUGUCACUCUGAGUAUCGGAGAGGUAUCUCUGGGCCCUCUCAGUAAUACACAUCAUAAGAAGCCUUGCAAGCAAAUGACUAAUGUGUUAGUUACGAGAUGAUGUAUUACAGAACAAGUAAAGAGACUUUCUGGUGACGAGAUUGAACUAGGUAUGAAGAUACCGACGAUUGAAUCUCGGGCUAGUAGCAUACCAAUAGACCAAGGGAAUUACGUAUGUUGUCAUAACGGUUCAACCAAUAAAGAUCUUCAUAGAAUAUGUAGGAGCCAAUUUGGGCAUCCAAGUUCCACUAUUGGUUAUUGACCGAAGAGGUGUCUCGGUCAUGUCUACAUAGUUCUCGAACCCGUAGGGUCCGCAUGCUUAAUGUUCGUUGACGAUAUAGUGUUGGAUGAGAUCACGGACAUGAAGAGGAGUCUCAAAAUGGUCAAGAGGUAAAGAUUGGUAUAUAUGACGAUGGUAUUUGGACACCAGAAGUGUUUCGGGUUGUACUAGGUACUUAUCGGGUCAUGGGAUGACCCCGGUAGGUUAUUGGGCCUUAUGGGCCAAAAGGGGAAGAGCACAGCAGCCCACAAGGGGCUGGUGCUCCCUCUACCCCCUGCCCACGCACCAAAGGAGGGAGGGAAGGAAAGGGGAGGCGCCCUAAGGCAGCUAUCUCCCUUUCCUUUCCCCCUCAUGUUCAAAUAAGGAAGGGGGGGCUAGGCAGGUGCCCUAGGGCAGCCGCCGGCCACUUGGGGUGCCCUAGGGGCUGCCCCUCCACCCCACCUAUAUAUAUAUGAGGGAGGGGCGCCACACAACCCAUGACAUUAUGUUGGAAAUAUGCCCUAGAGGAAAUAAUAAAUGGAUUAUUAUUAUAUUUCCUUGUUCAUGAUAAUUGUCUUUUAUUCAUGCUAUAAUUGUAUUAUCCGGAAAUCGUAAUACACGUGUGAAUACAUAGACCACAAUACGUCCCUAGUAAGCCUCUAGUUGACUAGCUCGUUGGUCAACAGAUAGUCAUGGUUUCCGGACUAUGGACAUUAGAUGUCAUUGACAACGGGAUCACGUCAUUAGGAGAAUGACGUGAUGGACAAGACCCAAUCCUAAGCAUAGCACAAGAUCGUGUAGUUCAUUUUGCUAGAGCUUUUCCAAUGUCAAGUAUCUCUUCCUUAGACCAUGAGAUCGUGUAACUCCCGGAUACCGUAGAAGUGCUUUGGGUGUACCAAACGUCACAACGUAACUGGGUGACUAUAAAGGUGCACUAUAGGUAUCUCCAAAAGUGUCUGUUGGGUUGACACGGAUCGAGACUGGGAUUUGUCACUCCGGAUUACGGAGAGGUAUCACUGGGCCCACUCGGUAGUGCAUCAUCAUAAUGAGCUCAAAGUGACCAAGUGUCUGGUCACGGGAUCAUGCAUUACGGUACGAGUAAAGUGACUUGCCGGUAACGAGACUGAACGAGGUAUUGGGAUACCAACGAUCGAGUCUCGGGCAAGUAACAUACCGUCUGACAAAGGGAAUAGUAUACAGGGUUGUUUGAAUCUUCGAAAUCGUGGUUCAUCUGAUGAGAUCAUCGAGGAGCAUGUGGGAGCCAACAUGGGUAUCCAGAUCCCGCUGUUGGUUAUUGACCGGAGAACCGUCUCGGUCAUGUCUGCAUGUCUCCCAAACCCGUAGGGUCUACACACUUAAGGUUCGGUGACGCUAGGGUUAUAAGGAAGACUUGUAUGUGAUUACCGAAUGUUGUUCGGAGUCCCGGAUGAGAUCCCGGACGUCACGAGGAGUUCCGGAAGGGUCCGGAGGUGAAGAUUUAUAUAUGGGAAGUUGUCAUACGGACACCGGAAAGUUUCGGGGACAUAUCGGUAUUGUACCGGGGCCACCGUAAGGGUUCUGGGGGUCCACCGGGAGGGUCCACCCCUCUUGGUGGGCCACAUGGGCCGCGUGGGGCAGGUAAACAUCCCUUGGAGGGCUGGGCGCGCCCCCCCUUGGGCCCAUGCGCCUAGGGUUGGGGGGGAACCCUAGUGGGGGCGCACCCCCCUUGCUUGCGGGGCAAGCCCCCCUCCCUGGCCGCCGCCCCCCCUCUAGAUCUCAUCUAGAGGGGGCUGGCCCCUUCCCCCUUCCCCUAUAAAUAGAGGGGAGAGGGGAGGGCUGAACACCUGAUCUAAGGCGCAGCCCCUCCCCUCCCCAACACCUCUCCUCCUUCGUUGAGCGCUUGGCGAAGCCCUGUCGGAGUACUGCCUCUCCACCAUCAUCAUGCCAUCGUGCUGCUGCUGGAGCCUUCUUCCUCAACCUCUCCUUCCCCCUUGCUGGAUCAAGAAGGAGGAGACAUCGUCCGUACCGUACGUGUGUUGAACGCGGAGGUGCUGUCCGUUCAGCACUUGGUCAUCGGUGAUCUGAAUCACGGCGAGUACGAUUCCAUCAUCACCGUUCCCUCGAAUGCUUCCGUACGCGAUCUACAAAGUGGUAUGUAGAUGCAAUAUAUCUCUCAUGACUCGUUGCUUAGAUGAACUCAUAUAUGGAUCUUGGUGAAACCGUAGGAAAAUUUUUAAUUUUCUGCAACGUUCCCCAACAGUGGCAUCAUGAGCUAGGUCUAUGCGUAGUUCUCUAUUGCACGAGUGGAACACAAUUUUGUUGUGGGCGUAGAUCUUGUCAACUUGCUUGCCGCUACUAGUCUUUUCUUGCUUCAGUGGUAUUGUGGGAUGAAGCGGCCCGGACCGAGCUUACACGUACGCUUACGUGAGACAGGUUCCACCGACUGACAUGCACUAGUUGCAUAAGGUGGCUAGCGGGUGUCUGUCUCUCCUAAUUUAGUUGGAGCGGAUUAGAUGAAAAGGGUCCUUAUGAAGGGUAAAUAGAAGUUAACAAAAUCACGUUGUGGUUAUUCGUAGGUAAGAAAGCGUUCUUGCUAGAACCCAAUUGCAGCCACGUAAAAGAUGCAACAACAAUUAGAGGACGUCUAACUUGUUUUUGCAGCAAUUGUCAUGUGAUGUGAUAUGGCCAGAAGUUGUGAUGAAUGAUGAAUGAUAUAUUGUGAUGUAUGAGAUCAUGUUCUUGUAAUAGGAACCAGGACUUGCAUGUUGAUGAGUAUGACAACUGGCAGGAGCCAUAGGAGUUGUCUUUAUUUUUUGUAUGACCUGCGUGUCAUUGAAGAACACCAAGUAAAUUACUUUACUUUAUUGCUAAACGCGUUAGCCAUAGAAGUAGAAGUAGUCGUUGGCGUGACAACUUCAUGAAGACACAAUGAUGGAGAUCAUGAUGAUGGAGAUCAUGUGUCAUGCCGGUGACGAAGAUGAUCAUGGAGCCCCGAAGAUGGAGAUCAAAGGAGCUAUAUGAUAUUGGCCAUAUCAUGUCACUACUAUAUAAUUGCAUGUGAUGUUUAUUAUGUUUUAUGCAUCUUGUUUACUUAGAACGGCGGUAAUAAAUAAGAUGAUCCCUUAUAAUAAUUUCAAGAAAGUGUUCCCCCUAACUGUGCACUGUUGCUAAAGUUCGUCGUUUCGAAGCGCCACGUGAUGAUCGGGUGUGAUAGAUCCUUACAUUCACAUACAAUGGGUGUAAGACAUAUUUACACAUGCAGAACACUUAGGGUUAACUUGACGAGCCUAGCAUGUACAGACAUGGCCUCGGAACACAGAGACCGAAAGGUCGAACAUGAGUCGUAUGGAAGAUACGAUCAACAUGGAGAUGUUCACCGAUGAUGACUAGUCCGUCUCACGUGAUGAUCGGACACGGCCUAGUUGACUCAGAUCGUGUAACACUUAGAUGACUAGAGGGAUGUCUAACCUGAGUGGGAGUUCAUUAAAUAAUUUGAUUAGAUGAACUUAAUUAUCAUGAACUUAGUCUAAACUUUUGCAAAAUAUGUCUUGUAGAUCAAAUGGCCAACGCUCAUGUCAACAUGAACUUCAACGCGUUCCUAGAGAAAACCAAGCUGAAAGAUGAUGGCAGCAACUAUUCAGACUGGGUUCGGAACCUGAGGAUCAUCCUCAUAGCAGCCAAGAAAGACUAUGUCCUAGAUGCACCGCUAGGUGAAGCACCCAUCCCAGAGAACCAAGACGUUAUGAACACUUGGCAAUCACGUGCUGAUGAUUACUCCCUCGUUCAGUGCGGCAUGCUUUACAGCUUAGAACCGGGGCUCCAAAAGCGUUUUGAGAAGCACGGAGCAUAUGAGAUGUUCGAGGAGCUGAAAAUGGUUUUCCAAGCUCAUGCCCGGGUCGAGAGAUGUGAAGUCUCCGACAAGUUCUAUAGUUGUAAGAUGGAGGAAAACAGUUCUAUCAGUGAGCACAUACUCAAAAUGUCUGGGUUGCACAACCGCCUGUCCCAGUUGGAGAUCAACCUCCCGGAAGAGGCGGUCAUUGACAGAAUCCUUCAGUCGCUCCCACCGAGCUACAAGAGCUUUGUGUUGAACUACAAUAUGCAGGGGAUGGUGAAGACCAUUCCUGAAGUAUUCUCAAUGCUGAAGUCAGCAAAGGUUGAAAUCAAGAAAGAACAUCAAGUGUUGAUGGUCAAUAAGACCACUAAGUUCAAAAAGGGCAAGGGUAAGAAGAACUUCAAGAAUGACGGCAAAGAUGUUGCCGUGCCCGGUAAGCCAGUUGCCGGGAAGAAGUCAAAGAAUGGACACAAGCCUGAAACUGAGUGCUUUUAUUGCAAGGGGAAGGGUCACUGGAAGCGGAACUGCCCCAAAUACUUAGCGGACAAGAAGGCCAGCAACACUAAAGGUAUAUUUGAUAUACAUGUAAUUGAUGUGUACCUUACCAGUACUCGUAGUAACUCCUGGGUAUUUGAUACCGGUGCCGUUGCUCACAUUUGUAACUCACAGCAGGAGCUGCGGAAUAAGCGGAGACUGGCGAAGGACGAGGUGACGAUGCGCGUCGGGAAUGGUUCCAAGGUCGAUGUGAUCACCGUCGGCACGCUACCUCUACAUUUACCUAUGGGAUUAGUUUUAAACCUCAAUAAUUGUUAUUUAGUGCCAAGUUUGAGAAUGAACAUUGUAUCUGGAUCUCGUUUGAUACGAGAUGGCUACUCAUUUAAAUCCGAGAAUAAUGGUUGUUCUAUUUAUAUGAGAGAUAUGUUUUAUGGUCAUGCCCCGAUGGUCAAUGGUUUAUUCUUAAUGAAUCUCGAACGUAAUGUUACACAUAUUCAUAGUGUGAAUACCAAAAGAUGUAAAGUUGAUAACGAUAGUCCCACAUACUUGUGGCACUGCCGCCUUGGUCACAUUGGUAUCAAGCGCAUGAAGAAGCUCCAUGCUGAUGUACUUUUAGAGUCUCUAGAUUAUGAAUCAUUUGACACAUGCGAACCAUGCCUCAUGGGAAAAAUGACCAAGACCCCGUUCUCCGGAACAAUGGAGCGAGCAAGCAACUUGUUGGAAAUCAUACAUACCGAUGUGUGCGGUCCAAUGAGCGUUGAAGCUCGCGGAGGAUAUCGUUAUGUUCUCACUCUCACUGAUGACUUGAGUAGAUAUGGGUAUGUCUACUUGAUGAAACACAAGUCUGAGACCUUUGAAAAGUUCAAGGAAUUUCAGAAUGAAGUAGAGAAUCAACGUGACCAAAAGAUAAAGUUCUUACGAUCGGAUCGUGGAGGAGAAUAUUUAAGUCACGAAUUUGGUACACACUUAAGAAAAUGUGGAAUCGUUUCACAACUCACGCCGCCUGGAACACCUUAGCGUAACGGUGUGUCCGAACGUCAUAAUCGCACUCUAUUGGAUAUGGUUCGAUCUAUGAUGUCUCUUACCGAUUUACCACUAUCAUUUUGGGGAUACGCUCUAGAGACAGCUACAUUCACUUUAAAUAGGGCACCGUCUAAAUCCGUUGAGACGACACCGUAUGAAUUAUGGCUUGGGAAGAAACCUAAGCUGUCGUUUCUAAAAGUUUGGGGAUGCGAUGCUUAUGUCAAGAAACUUCAACCUGAAAAGCUCGAACCCAAGUCGGAAAAAUGCGUCUUCAUAGGAUACCCUAAGGAAACCAUUGGGUAUACCUUCUACUUAAGAUCCGAGGGCAAGAUCUUUGUUGCCAAGAACGGAUCCUUUCUGGAAAAAGAGUUUCUCUCGAAAGGAGUAAGUGGGAGGAAAGUAGAACUCGAUGAAGUACUACCUCUUGAACUGGAAAGUAGUGCAGCUCAGGAAAAUGUUCCUGUGGUGCCUACACCGACUGGAGAGGAAAUUAAUGAUGAUGAUCAAGGUACUUCUGAUCAAGUUGCUACUGAACUUCGUAGGUCCACAAGGACACGUUCCACACCAGAGUGGUAUGGCAACCCUGUCCUGGAAAUCAUGUUGUUGGACAACAGUGAACCUUCGAACUAUGAAGAAGCGAUGGCGGGCCCAGAUUCCAACAAAUGGCUAGAAGCCAUGAAAUCCGAGAUAGAAUCCAUGUAUGAAAACAAAGUAUGGACUUUGACUGACUUGCCCGAUGAUCGACGAGCGAUAGAAAACAAAUGGAUCUUUAAGAAGAAGACGAACGCGGAUGGUAAUGUCACCAUCUAUAAAGCUCGACUUGUCGCUAAGGGUUAUCGGCAAGUUCAAGGGAUUGACUACGAUGAGACUUUCUCUCCCGUAGCGAAGCUUAAGUCCGUCCAAAUCAUGUUAGCAAUUGCCGCAUACUAUGAUUAUGAGAUAUGGCAGAUGGACGUCAAAACGGCAUUCCUUAAUGGGCAUCUUAAGGAAGAACUGUAUAUGAUGCAGCCGGAGGGUUUUGUCGAUCCUAAGAAUGCUAACAAAGUGUGCAAGCUCUAGCGAUCCAUUUAUGGGCUGGUGCAAGCAUCUCGGAGUUGGAACAUUCGUUUUGAUGAGAUGAUCAAAGCGUUUGGGUUUAUGCAGACUUACGGAGAAGCCUGCGUUUACCAGAAAGUGAGUGGGAGCUCUGUAGCAUUUCUCAUAUUAUAUGUAGAUGACAUACUUUUGAUGGGAAAUGAUAUAGAGUUCUUGGAUAGCAUUAAGGCCUACUUGAAUAAGUGUUUUUCAAUGAAGGACCUUGGAGAAGCUGCUUACAUAUUAGGCAUCAAGAUCUAUAGGGAUAGAUCGAGACGCCUCAUAGGUCUUUCACAAAGCACAUACCUUGAUAAGAUUUUGAAGAAGUUCAAAAUGGAUCAGUCCAAGAAAGGGUUCUUGCCUGUACUGCAAGGUGUGAGAUUGAGCUCGACUCAAUGCCCGACCACGGCAAAAGAUAAAGAAGAGAUGAGCGUCAUCCCCUAUGCCUCAGCCAUAGGAUCUAUUAUGUAUGCCAUGCUGUGUACCAGACCUGAUGUAAACCUUGCCGUAAGUUUGGUAGGAAGGUACCAAAGUAAUCCCGGCAAGGAACACUGGACAGCGGUCAAGAAUAUCCUGAAGUACCUGAAAAGGACAAAGGACAUGUUUCUCGUUUAUGGAGGUGACGAAGAGCUCGUCGUAAAGGGUUACGUCGACGCUAGCUUCGACACAGAUCUGGAUGACUCUAAGUCACAAACCGGAUACGUGUAUAUGUUGAAUGGUGGAGCAGUAAGCUGGUGCAGCUGAAAGCAGAGCAUCGUGGCGGGAUCUACAUGUGAAGCGGAGUACAUGGCAGCCUCGGAGGCAGCGCAUGAAGCAAUUUGGGUGAAGGAGUUCAUCACCGACCUAGGUGUCAUACCCAAUGCGUCGGGGCUGAUCAAACUCUUCUGUGACAACACUGGAGCUAUUGCCCUUGCCAAGGAGCCCAGGUUUCACAAGAAUACUAGGCACAUCAAGCAUCGCUUCAACUCCAUCCGUGAAAAUGUACAAGAUGGAGACAUAGAUAUUUGCAAAGUACAUACGGAUCUGAAUGUCGCAGAUCCAUUGACUAAACCUCUCUCGCGAGCAAAACAUGAUCAACACCAGAACUCUAUGGGUGUUCGAUUCGUCACAAUGUAACUAGAUUAUUGACUCUAGUGCAAGUGGGAGACUUUUGGAAAUAUGCCCUAGAGGCAAUAAUAAAUGGAUUAUUAUUAUAUUUCAUUGUUCAUGAUAAUUGUCUUUUAUUCAUGCUAUAAUUGUAUUAUCCGGAAAUCGUAAUACACGUGUGAAUACAUAGACCACAAUACGUCCCUAGUAAGCCUCUAGUUGACUAGCUCGUUGGUCAACAGAUAGUCAUGGUUUCCUGACUAUGGACAUUAGAUGUCAUUGACAACGGGAUCACGUCAUUAGGAGAAUGACGUGAUGGCCAAGACCCAAUCCUAAGCAUAGCACAAGAUCGUGUAGUUCGUUUUGCUAGAGCUUUUCCAAUGUCAAGUAUCUCUUCCUUAGACCAUGAGAUCGUGUAACUCCCGGAUAUCGUAGAAGUGCUUUGGGUGUACCAAACGUCACAACGUAACUGGGUGACUAUAAAGGUGUACUACAGGUAUCUCCGAAAGUGUCUGUUGGGUUGACAUGGAUCGAGACUGGGAUUUGUCACUCCGGAUUACGGAGAGGUAUCACUGGGCCCACUCGGUAGUGCAUCAUCAUAAUGAGCUCAAAGUGACCAAGUGUCUGGUCACGGGAUCAUGCAUUACGGUACGAGUAAAGUGACUUGCCGGUAACGAGACUGAACGAGGUAUUGGGAUACCGACGAUCGAGUCUCGGGCAAGUAACAUACCGUCUGACAAAGGGAAUAGUAUACAGGGUUGUUUGAAUCCUCGACAUCGUGGUUCAUCCGACGAGAUCAUCGAGGAGCAUGUGGGAGCCAACAUGGGUAUCCAGAUCCCGCUAUUGGUUAUUGACCGGAGAACCGUCUCGGUCAUGUCUGCAUGUCUCCCGAACCCGUAGGGUCUACACACUUAAGGUUCGGUGAUGCUAGGGUUAUAAGGAAGACUUGUAUGUGAUUACCGAAUGUUGUUCGGAAUCCCGGAUGAGAUCCUGGACGUCACGAGGAGUUCCGGAAGGGUCCGGAGGUGAAGAUUUAUAUAUGGGAAGUUGUCAUACGGACACCGGAAAGUUUCGGGGACAUAUCGGUAUUGUACCGGGGCCACCGGAAGGGUUCCGGGGGUCCACCGGGAGGGGCCACCCCUCUUGGUGGGCCACAUGGGCUGCGUGGGGCAGGGCAACAGCCCCUGGAGGGCUGGGGCGCCCCCCCUUGGGCCCAUGCGCCUAGGGUUGGGGGGGGGGGAACCCUAGUGGGGGCGCACCCCCCUUGCUUGGGGGGCAAGCCCCCCUCCCUGGCCGCCGCCCCCCCUCUAGAUCUCAUCUAGAGGGGGCCGGCCCCUUCCCCCUUCUCCUAUAAAUAGAGGGGCGAGGGGAGGGCUGAACACCUGAUCCAAGGCGCAGCCCCUCCCCUCCCCAACACCUCUCCUCCUCCGGUGAGCGCUUGGCGAAGCCCUGUCGGAGUACUGCCUCUCCACCAUCAUCACGCCGUCGUGCUGCUGCUGGAGCCUUCUUCCUCAACCUCUCCUUCCCCCUUGCUGGAUCAAGAAGGAGGAGACAUCGUCUGUACCAUACGUGUGUUGAACGCGGAGGUGCUGUCCGUUCAGCACUUGGUCAUCGGUGAUCUGAAUCACGGCGAGUACAAUUCCAUCAUCACCGUUCCCUCGAACGCUUCCGUACGCGAUCUACAAAGUGGUAUGUAGAUGCAAUCUCUCUCCCAUGACUCGUUGCUUAGAUGAACUCAUAUAUGGAUCUUGGUGAAACCGUAGGAACAUUUUUAAUUUUCUGCAACGUUCCCUAAUACAUUAUUCUAGCCGUGUGCGGCGCCCCUCUCCAUAGUUUUGUUCCUCGAUCAUAUGUUUGUAGUGCUUAGGUGAAGCCCUGUGGAGAUCACUUCACCAUCAUCGUCACCAUGCCGUCGUGCUGCCAGAACUCAUCCACUACCUCUCCAUCUUGUUGGAUCGAGAAGGUGGAGGAUGUGACCGAGCUGAACGUGUGUAGAACUCAGAGGUGCCAUGCGUUCGACACUUGAUCGAUUGGAGCGCAAAGAAGUUCGACUACAUCAACCGCGUUACUAGACGCUUCCGCUUACGGUCUAUGAGGGUACAUAGACACACUCUCCCCCUCCCGUUGCUAUGCAUCUCCACAGAUAGAUCUUGCGUGUGCGUAGAUUUUUUUGUUUUCCAUGCAAAGUUUCCCAACAGCAAAACUUGUGAUAGACGCUGUGGAUCAGAGUAGGCUAGAGAUUUCCGGUAGUCUUACCUUUGCCUUGGCUCGAGGAGCCCGAUGGGGUGGCCAUGGUGGAUGGAAAUGGAGGCGAUGGCGAGUGGCCAGUGGUGUCGGCAGAGCUUCCCCUCGGCCUAGAGCAACCCUAGAUCGGAUUGGGGUGUCGGUGGGGUGUGUGAUGCUCGGUGAACCUCGUGUUGCAUGCGUUUGGUCCCCACCUCUCUUUUUAUAGCGUUGGCACCAGGGGCCCACCAACCAUAAGAGGGUCGGGUGCCCCCAAUUAGGACACGGGCCAAGGGGCCCGUCGAGCCAUUGGACUCGAUCGGGAGGAGAUCAGCCUAAUAUUCUCCCCCUUGAUCUCAACUUUACUUUUAACUUUAUACUUUACAAGUUUCAUCACAUAUCAAUACAUAGAGUAUGUUUCAUCGUCACAGCUCAAUUGCCGAUAGAAUCAGACAGCUACAACAUACCUCUCUAUUUUGAAACAAAAACUGUUCCUUUUCGGGCCUCUCAUGAUCCAGGAAUCAUAGGCCUUCCCUUAAACCCAUGCCGGCUAAGUGUUCCUUGAACACAUUGGGUGGUAAGCCUUUCGUAAGCGGAUCCGCAAGCGUAUCCUUUGUCCUUAUAUGCCCGAGACUUAUGUUGUGACCCUCGAAUUUAUCUUUCACAAUACAGUACCUUAUCUCUAUUGUUUUAGCAGCAUUACUUGACUUGUUGUUCUGAGCAUAGAAUACUCAGGGCUGGUUGUCAUGGUACAUCUUUACUGGUUUGCCAAUGCAAUCUACCACUUUCAAGUCGGGUAUAAAUUUCUUUAACCAUAUUGCCUGCCCCGUGGCCUCAUAACAUGCUAUAAACUCUGCAUCAUGGACGAUGCAACUAUUGACUGUUUGGAGCUUCUCCAUGGAAUAGUCCCUCCAGCUAGAGUGAACACGCAUCCAAACGUGGAUAUUCUAUCAUCUCUGUCUCCCACAAAAUAUGCGUCUGAAUACCCUCUUAUCUCUAGGGAAUCAAAUCUCCUGUAUGUUAGCAUGAGGACCUUCAUGCCUUGUGCAUAACGCAAUGCUUUCUUUACCAUCUUCCAGUGCUCUAUGCCUAGAUUGUUUUGAUAUCUACCAAGUAUCCCGGUGAUAAAAUCUAAGUCAGGGCGAGUGCACACUUGUGCACACUAUAAACUUCCAACAGCCGAAGCAUAUGGUACUGCUUUCAUUUGAUUGAUCUCGUACUGGUUCCUGGGACAUUGGAAUUUCCCAAAACUAUCAGCCUUGACUAUAGGAGCAGGUGUGGCUUUACUCGCAUGCAUAUUAUACGUUUUCAGAACCUUUUCUAAAUAUGCCUUCUGCGAUAGUCCUAAAACUCCAUUUUUCCUAUCUCGGUGAAUUUUUCUAUGUCCAAAACAUAGGAUGCUUCACUAAGAUCUAUUAUAUCAAAAUUUGACGACAAGAACUUCUUUGUUUCUUGUAGCAGACUAACAUCACUGCUAGCAAGCAAGAUAUCAUCCACAUACAAGAUUAGGAAAAUAUAUUCCAUUUUUAAACUUUGCAUAAAUGCAGUUGUCCUCAAUAUUCUCUUUAAAUCCAAAACCUUUUAUUGUUUCAUUAAACUUUAGAUACCACUGUCUAGAGGCUUGCCUUAAUCCAUAAAUGGAUUUCUUCAAGCGGCACCCCAUAUCUUCCUUGCCUUCCAUGAUAAAACCCUUGGGUUGUUUCAUGUAAACCUUUUCUUUUAAAUCCCUGUUCAAAAAUGUCGUCUUUACAUCCAUUUGAUGUAACUCUAAAUCAAAAUGUGCAAUUAAUGUCAUUAUGAUUCUGAAGGAAUCCUUACAUGAGACUGGGGAAAAUGUCUCAUUGUAAUCUAUCCAUUCUCUUUGUGUAAAUCCUUUUGCCACAAGUCGUCCUUUGUACUUUUCCACAUUCCCUUUAGAGUCAUACUUAGUUUUGUAGACCCAUUUACAACCUACUAUUUUGGCUCCUUUAGGAAUAUUCUCUAAGUCCCAAACAUCUUUGGAAAUCAUCGAUUUCAUCUUGUCUUCCAUUGCCUUCACCCACUUUGAUGAGUGAGGGCUUCUCAUGGCUUCUUCUUAUGAAGCGGGAUCACCGUUGUGGGAGUCCUGGACUAGGGGGUCCUCUGGUGUACGAUCUAUUGAUGUGGGCCGGACUGGUGGGCCGUCAAGAUACAAGACUGAAGAUUAUCUCUCAUGUCCGGUGGGGACUCCCGUAUGCGUGGAUGGCAAGUAUAGGUGUCCAGAUAUGUUAUUUCUUUUUGUAAAACCGACUUUGUACAACCCUAAGCCCCUCUGGUGUCUAUAUAAACCGGAGGGUAGAUCAGAGGCAGGAUCACAACAUUGCUAGGCUAGCUAUCUAGGGUUAGCCAAAUCGAUCUUGAGGUAGAUCAACUCAUGUAACCCCUAUAUCCUCGAAUAUAAUCAAGCAGGAGUAGGGUUUUACCUCCAUCAAGAGGGCCCGAACCUAGGUAAACACUGUGUCCUUUCUCCAUAGUUACCAUUGAUCCUUAGAUGUACAGCUUGGGCCUCCCUACCCGAGAUCUGCCGGUUUUGACACCGACAACCCUCCAUAUGAGCUAUUUUUGUGUUAUAAACAUUAUAAUUAGUACAAAUAGUUGAUUUUUUGGGUCUUGUAGACCUUCUAAGGGCCUCAACUUCCGGCACCUCUUCUAAAAGUGGUUGUUGCACCUCCCCUUCAUGCUCAAUGACGGGGUCAGUCGGAUCCUAACAGACAGGUUCCGGAUCUUCUCCCACAAUUGUCAUGGAUGGAGUUACAACAGGUGCUUGCACCGCAACCUAAGGGAUUGUUAGUGCAGGCACAAUAGGUAGUCAGAAAAAAUGGCUCCUGAAUCAUCGGAUUAGGUGCAUGCACCCUCUUCUCCUCAAGAUCAAUUUUCUGAGCUACCAUGCUCCCCUCAUCAUUUCGUCCUCUAAGAAGACUGCAUGUCUUGUUUCUACAAACUUUGUGUAUCUGUCUGAAUAGUAGAAACAAAAACCUUUUGAUCUAUCAGGAUGGCCAAUGAAGUGGCAACUUACUAUUUUGGGAUCUAACUUUGCAAUGAGGGUUCUGCUGUCUUGGAGAACAUUAACAACUCCUUUAUUACUCUGGUGCCCAAAAAGCUAUCACCUGAGGAAGUGGGGGAUUAUAGGCCUAUCUCUCUCACUAGUAUGGGGCUCAAAUUUCUGUCCAAAAUGGCUGCAAAUAGAUUCCAGGAGUUGAUUAUGCAGUGCAUUCACAAAAAUCAAUAUGGUUUCAUUAAAAGCAGAACAAUCCAGGAUUGUAUUGGUUGGACCUUUGAAUAAAUGUCAUCAGUCCAAGAGACCUAUAGUAAUUCUCAAACUGGACUUUGAGAAGGCCUUUGAUUCCAUUGAGCAUGAAGCUAUUUUUCAAAUUCUCACGCAUAAGGGUUUCAAUGAAAAGUGGAUCCUUUGGAUGAAGCAGCUUCUAGCUACUGGUACUUCUUCUGUCCUUCUCAAUGGUGUCCCUGGAAUUAAGUUUGUUUGCAAAAAAGGAGUUAGACAUGGUGACCCUGUAUCUCCUCUUAUUUUUGUCAUAGCUGCUGAUCUUCUGCAGACAGUGAUCAAUGAUAUGUUCAGGAAGGGAAUUAUUCAUCUCCCUAUUCCCUGCCAUGAUAGAGAUUACCCUGUGAUCCAGUAUGCUGAUGAUACAUUGAUUAUCCUACCUGCUGACAGGGUUCAACUUCUGGCCUUGAAGGAUAUGUUGCAGGUGUUCUCUCAGUCCACAGGUCUGGAUGUCAACUACCACAAGUCAUUUAUUAUUCCAAUCAAUGUUGACUCUGAUAUGAUGGAGGAUCUUGCUGCUGCUUUUUGUUGCCAAAUUGGUAAAAUGCCCUUCACUUAUCUUGGCUUACCAGUGGGGACCACCAGGCCUAAGAUGGUGGACUUCAUGCCUUUAGUUGACUGUAUGGAAAGAAGAAUGAGUGCUAGCUCCUCUUUUCUUAACCAAGGUGAAAGGCUACAGUUCCUAAACUCCGCUCUAUCCUCCAUGCCAAUCUUCUUUCUGUGUAGCCUAGCUGUUCCUGCUGGCAUUCUAAAACAGUUAGAAAGAAUACAAAGAUAGUGCCUCUGGAGAAAGCAUAGAGAUGAGCCAGCCCCAUCUCUUGCUGCUUGGGACCUCAUCUGCAGGCCAAAAAACAAAGGGGGUCUUGGUAUUCUCAACUUGGGAGUUCAAAAUGUGGCCCUGCUGCUCAAGCAUGCAAGUAAUUUCCUCAACAAAAGAGAUAUUCCUUGGGUGUCCCUAGUUUGGGAUUCAUAUUAUUAUGAAGGAAUGCCCCAGGGAACAAAUGAUUGUGGCUCUUUCUGGUGGAGGGAUAUUUGUAAAGUAAUGCAGAGUUUUAGAGAUUGCUCCUGGGUGCAGACUAAUGAAGGGGACACUGCUCUUUUUUGGUCAGAUAAUUGGAAUCUUGGCAGUGAAGUUUCUUGUUUGCAGACAAGAUUUCCAAGGUUAUUUUCUUUUGCAAAGGAUCCCUGGGCUUCAGUGAAGGAAAUUUUCAAUACUCAGGACAUGCACCAACUUUUCCACCUUCCUUUAUCUACUCAAGCUUUUGAUGAGUUCAACUUGAUUAAGGAUUUGAUGGACUCCCACAGUAGAGUGCCCAGGUCUAAGGACUUAUGGUUCUGGCAGGGCUCAUCCAAGGUCUUCAAGCCUAAGAUGUUCUACUCUCACACCUUUUUGUUUGAGUCCUUCAACCCUUUGCUUUGUUGGAUUUGGAAAUCCUCCUGUACAUUAAAGAUCAAGGUUUUUGCUUGGAUGCUUAUUAUGGACAGGCUGAACACCAAGGUUAUGGUGGAAAGAAGGCAUUGGCACAUGGAGGAUGGAGUUCAUUGUAGGCUCUGUCCUUUGCUGACUAGAGAAACCAGGGAUCAUCUGUUCUUCAACUACAAUUUCAGUAUUAGGAUCUGGAACUAUCUGCAGAUUGAUUGGUCGGCUAGCACUUCCAUGCUUGAUUUGGUUACUCAAGCAAGGAGAAGUUUCAAUAAGCCUUUCUUCAUUGAAGUGGUUAUCAUUGCCUGCUGGAAUAUUUGGAUCAUCAGAAAUGCCAAAGUGUUCAGAAGUGAGAGGGCAAGUUUCAAUAAAUGGAGUUGUGCUUUCAAGCAUGACAUUAGCCUAAUGCAGCACAGAGUUCAAUCUGCUUACAAGGAUGACUUGCUGAAAUGGAUCUCUUUCCUCCCCCCUUAAGUUACUUUUUGUAAGCUUUCAUUAUGUUCUUUUGUUUUCUGGUUACUCCUUGUAAUCAACCUGUUGUAACUAUUCUCUUUUUUAGUAAAGUUUUGAUCUGCUGUGGGGGUUUUGCCCCACAGUUCCCAGUCAAAAAAAAAUAUUUGGAUUAAACAGUUUUGCCUCAGCUGGGCUCCCCCAGACUCUCAAGUGCUAUAGAGAGGGUACUUCCUGUCCACCGCUCGUAUGGUGUUUUGGGCACCGACUUGCUUGGUACUCUAUUGAGAAUGUGAAUGGCGGUUUUAAGUGGCUCCAUCCAUAAUCCCAAUGGCAAAGUGGAAUAACUCAUCAUACUGUGCACCAAUCCAUAAGUGUACGGUUACACCUUUCAGCUACUCCAUUUUGCUGAGGCUCGUCCGACAUUGAAUACUGGGCCACUAUGCCAGUCUCCUGUAAGAACUUUGCAAAAGGUCCAGGGACUUGGCCAUAUGGAGUGUGCCAACCGCAUUACUCCCCCACUGUCAGAUCUUACUAUCUUUAUUCUUUUAUCACGCUGAUUUUCAACUUUAGCUUUGAAUAUUUUAAAUUUAUCCAACACAUCAGAUCUUGCUUUGAUUGGAUAAAUAUAACCAUAUCGGGAGUAAUCGUUUAUGAAUGUUAUGAGCGAGUCAUAGACAUCCACACUUUUCACCGAAAAUGGUCCACAAAUGUCAGUGUGAAUGGUUUCUAGUGUUCCUAUGCUAUGGUUUGCAUCCUUUUUGAUUUGUUUUACAUACUUUCCUUUAAUGCAACCCAUGCAUUGCUCUAUGUCUGAGAACUCUAAUGGAGGAAUAAUUUCGUUUUUAACUAGUCUUUAUAUUCUCCCUUUCGAAAUAUGGCCCAAGCGACAAUGCCAUAAUUUCGAUGAGCCAGGAGUUCUCUUUCUUUUCUUUUGUUCUUUAUUCGACACGGAAACAUGCUCAUUCAGAUUACACACAGAAUACACUUUUUCACGCAGUGAUAAAAAUAAAGCUCAUUGUGAAGUAAAGCAUCACCCACAUAAGCAUUAUUAAACCGUAUGGCACACUUGCCAUGUCCAAAAUAACAUUCAUAAUGAUCUUUGUCCAAACAGGAAACAACAAUCAAGUUUCUGUGACAUUAAGGAACAUAUAAACCAUCUCUAAGCAGAAGCUUGAAUCCAUCAGCUAACUCCAGGGAGAUGUCGCCGACAACUUCAAUUUCUGCUUGAACUCCAUUUGCAACUUCAAUGCAUCUUUCGCUUCUUUGCCUAGUCCGCGUCGAAUGGAAUCCCAGUAAUGAAUUUGCAACAUGAACGGUUGCACCUGAGUCAAUCCACCAAGUAGAUUUCAAAAACUGUGUAUACAAAGAUUCGUUUGCAAAGGAAACAAUGUUGUUACCUCUCUUUGCCAUUAUUGACUUUAGGCAAACAGGGCAAUCUUUCCUGUAGUGCCCAGUCUGCUUACAGUGGAGACAUGUGUCUUUGUCCACUGGAAAAGGCUUUUGCUCAUGCUGAUGGUGCGUGGGAGCUUUUCCAUGUGGCUUUAAAGGAGAACCUUUGCCACUUUGAUUGUAGUUCUUUUUUUAUUGUCCCUCACAUAGUUCAGAGAACCACUAUAUGAGGUUUUAAGUCUUUCCUCUUCUUGAACACACAUGGCUAUGGUGAUGCGGAGCAUCCUUCCAUCAUCCCCAUGGAAUCUACACCAAUGCAUCAAGCACCAAGUGGAUCUAUGACAAGAGCUCGAGCACGCGCCAUUGAAUCUGAGGUGAACUCACUCCUACUUGAGAUAGAUAUGGACAUGAAUGGAACUUGGUUGCUACCUCACCAAAAUAUGCAAUGUUCCAUUAGGUACGAGGAGGAACUCCGACAAGAGGUUAAGGAGUACCCCCAAGGCCUAAGAGAAGGACCCCAAGACCCAAGAGCUGACCGGAGGUGUCAAGAUGAAGAAAAAGAAGCAUGCAGAAAUUGCACUACCGGACAGUCCGGUCUCCACAGCGGACAGUCUGGUCGCACAGAAAUUGCACUACCAGACAGUAUAGUCCCCACAACAGAUAGUCCGGUGGCACCCGAAAAUGCGUCUGUACUCACCGGAUUAUCCGGUCCGUCACACUGGACUAUUCGGUAGGCCCAGUUUCGCUACGAAUUGGGCUAAGAAGCCCGUGUAACCUCCGAGGCCCAUACCCUUUCACUCCUAGACUAUAUGUUUUGUGCUCCUCUCAGUUUUUAGGGGUAGCAAAGUAUUAGAAACACAAAGAGAGAGCUUUGCUCCUUGUAUCCCCUCCUCUUGGAGAUCAAGCCCCCACCUAGGGAAGAAUCCUUUGGAUUGUCAAGGCCUCCUCUAGGAGAAGAUCAAUAUCAAGACCUCACCUAGUGGGAAGAACUUACCUAGUGCUAUUUUCCUUGAAUUGUUCAUGUAAACUUGUGGAUCUCAUGUAUGCUACUCUAGUGGAUGUGAUAUUUGGGUUUGUUUGAGUGAUUUGUCCCUUGUAUUCUUGAGUGUUCUUCCUCUUUCCCCCUCCAAGUGUGAAAAGAUCCCCUCUAGGGUUGCACCCUACAACAUCUUGGUAUCAUGAGCAAGGUUGAUUCACAUCUUGGAGUCCCUCCUCCCAUUUUCUAGCUUGAUUUUGUUGUUUUUCGUCCAAUUCGAAAAUCCCCACAAAAAUAGCCCCAAAAUUUUUUCUUGCAAUUUUUGGAUCUUGUGAGAUUUGGUUGUUUUGGUCCAUGGAUUUGAUGUUUGGCAAGUGGAUCUAGCCCCUAUCCAACAAUCCCCACCCUUCCCACCAUGAAAUCCGGCAAAUUUGACAUCUUUUCCAUCAAUUUCCGCCCAAAAAUUUCAAGUUCGACCUUUCUCAGCCGGCACUGGACUGUCCGCACUGAGGACCGGACUGUCCGCUUGCAUUAGGACCAAAAUUGCACUUGCACCGGACUGUCCGCUUGAAAGGACCAUGAUGUCGCCUAGAGGGGGGGUGAAUAGGCGUUUUAAAAUCUUAUACGGAUUUGGCUAUAUCCUAAUGCGGAAAUAAACUAAGAGGAUACUUUUCAAGCACAAAUCCUAAAUAUACCAGGCUAACUAAGUGCACCAACAACUUAGGAUAAACAAGAUGAGAACAACGAGGAUAUGAGUAAGCACAAGUAAGUUACACAAACUUACUCAAUGUAUAUCACAAGAUAUAUAAAUGAAUAAUACACACAACCACAAGUAAGCAAUACAGGCUUACACAAGUUAUGUCACAAGAUAUGGAAAUGAAUGUUACAAGCUAGCAAUUCACACUAAGCACACGAUAGAACAAUAGUAGCAAGUAUGAAUUGCGGACUAUAAAGUGUUGGCCUAGAUAAUCUCUACGAUAUGGUAACCAACACAAUAUAAUGAGGACAACAAGAUAUAGUGAAUGCAAGGUCAAGAGACCAAAGUAAACCACAAGUAGUGGCUAAGGUUAGAAUUAACCGAAGACACGGAGACGAGGAUGUAUCUCGAUGUUCACUUCCUUGGAGGGAAGCUAGUCACCGUUAGAGAGGUGGAUGUUACCACGAAGGCACACCAACGCCAUGAAGGCUCACCCUAUUCUCCUUGAGAUAUCACCACGAAGGCGAUUCUCAACCACUAGUGGUAGACCUUGAGGCAGCCUCCAAACCUUCACAAACUUUCCGGGGGACAAAUCACAAGUUGAUUCCUCACCGGAGCACUCCUACCGCCUAGGAGUCUCCAACCUCCAAGAGUAACAAGAUCAAGGGGGAAAUGCUCAAGACUUUCUCAAAUCACGAAUUGCUUUGGUCACAAGAGGGAGAGGGAGAGGAUCUAUAUUUUGAUUGGAACAACUCUCAAGAACACUCACUAAUCUCUCCGGGAUCUAAGAUUUGGUGUAGGAGAAGUGAGAGGGAGCCACGUGUGUUCUUGGGACGAUUUGGGAUGAAGUGCUCAACCCUCCCCCGGAGUGGGAGAGGGAUAUUUAUACCCCCAAAGAAAAUAGAGUUGUUUCCCGCAGUUGUUGACCUGCCCGGAUGAUCUGGACGCAUACCCGGAUGAUCCGGGCAAUGCCCGGAUGAUCCGGGAAGGUCAAUAUACAAUGUGGUGAAGUAGAUACCCGGAUGUCCGGGGACAUAGCCGGAUGAUCCGGGCAAUUCCCGGAUGAUCCGGGUGGGUAGCCGGAUGAUCCGGCUAGCGGAAUAAGCUUCUGUGAUGAAUUUUAUGACUAACCCGGAUGAUUCGGGCAGGAACCCGGAUGAUCCGAGCAAAGCCCGGAUGAUAUGGGAGAGGACCCGGAUGAUCCGGCCAAACCAAACUGCUGCAGCCUAGAAACUGAAACAGGCACAACUUUUACAUCCGGACUCCGAUUUUGAUGAUCUUGGGCUUGUUUGGAAGCUAUGAAAAAAACCCAGGUCCUCACAUAGAGAACCACCCAAGAUGAACCAAAAUGGAGGAUGCAAAAUAUGCAAAGGUUUUAUCAUGUAUUUGGGUAACCUAUUUGGCUUUGGAUUUUCUUUGGUAUAUAGGAUAUGAGUGGAAUUGUGUAGAGAAGAUGUUGACUUGAGCAAAUCUAUCACGAACCCCUUUGAUCCCCUCUUAAUAGUGCGGGAUCCCUAUAACUCAAGAAUCAUAAAAGGUCUACACUACAUAGCUAUCAAUAAUCCAUUCUUGAGUGUAUGUGUUCCUUCGGUGUUCAUCACUCCACAACACUAACGUCGAAGGAACUAAUACCUUUGACUCGAGCCUUUCACUUGAGCUUGAAGUUGAAGUUUCUUCUUGGAUCAAGUUGAAUGGCAAGACAUUGGUGAAGUCUUCAAGUAGCUCCCCCAUACACAACGUGGGAAGCUUUGCUUUGUAUUUAUCUUCAUGUGUCCAUCAUGUGAUCAUCCACAAGCUUCAAGCAUGUAAUCCUUCGGGAUAGUUAUCUUGAACUUGCCCUUGUCAACCAUGAUCAUCAACACUUGAUGUCAUCCUCUCAUAGACACUUGAAAUAUCUCUCUCGAUGCGAGCCCAUGAGAAUCUCCUCUCAAAAACAUAGGCAACACAUAGUAUGGGUUAGUACACAAAGCGCAAUUGACAAAUUCUUACCAUACCACAAGAUCUUAGUGGCACAUGAUUUGCGCUUGUGUGUUGACCAUCUUUGAAUUCAAUCUUCGAUCUUCAUCUUGGUCAACCUUAAUCUUUGCUCCAUGAUUAAUCUUGAUGCACAACUACAUGUAUAUGGCAUUCAUUCCGAAUCCAUUCAAUAUCCUUCUUGCAUCACCCAUGGAACAAACCUUCCUAUAUAACUUGAUGUCAUUGUUUCUUCAUAGGAAUUGUCAUUCAUUAUCAAGUCUCAAUGCAUAUAUAGAUGUUGAUGGAUUUCAUCCACCAAUUCAUCCAAUAUUCUUCAUGCAUUGCAAAUGGAACUUUCCUUCAAAUGUAUAUCUCAGUGCAAACAUUAGUCCAUUAGGAUUGUCAUUUAAUUACCAAAACCACACAUGGGGACUGCAUGUACUUUCAAUCUCCCCCAUUUUGGUAAUUGAUGACAAUCUCAACAAGAGGGUUUAUAUAAUGAAUUUUUAAACAAGCAUGAAAUUUAUCCAAGGAUAAAUUGUAUACUUGGGAUGGUUGUACUAUCAUCAAUACACUACACAAGCAUUUGAUGAUAGUACACCCAUAGUAUAUAGAGCAAACUCCCCGAUAAUAUAUGAAUUUGUGAAUGAACUUUGAAUGUCAUUGCAUAUAUUGGUUGACAUAACCUAGGAGAAGAUUUCUCUAUAUACAAGACUCAUCCAUGCAAUAAGAAUAUAUAACAAGGGUAGAUAUGCAUGAGUGACAACAAGAACUAGAAAAGAUAUUUAUCUUAAACCCUCUAAACUUCUCCCUCAUUGGCAACAAAUGCCAAAAUGGAAGACAAAACAUCUAGCAGACCAAUAUAGUAUGAGUUCCUCCUUGAUGUGUGCAUAUAACAAAAUGUGAGUGAAAACAAAUGCACAUAUUCAAUGAUGAACAAUUAAAGGAGAUCGAAAUCUAUAGAAUGCAACCAGAUACGAAGAUAUGAACUUUUUCAUGUAUAAAAAUUUCUAAGUGGCCUAUAGUAAUCAUGAUAUGUAUCCACAAAGAAACUCGUAUACACAAAUAGAAAGGUUGCAAUUGAUAAGAACAUGAUAUCCACAAGUGAAUCCACUAUUAUACAACUUGAGCCUAGUCAUAAUAGCAAGGCACAUGGCACAAAACACAUGGCACAAAUUGAUCUCAUUUGCAUAACACAAAGUGAAGCAAGCAAUCAAAAGAUCCGAUGAGCCAAAAGAAUAAAAGAAUAUUAUGAUUUGGGUAAAGGAGUGUUCUAAGGAAAAUAGAGAAGCUCCCCAUGAUUUGUGCACAAUUGAAUUUUUUUUAUUUGGAUACAAGUGCACAAAAUAGGAUCAUCACUCCCCCAAAAUCAAUAGGAACACACAACAAUUGCAAGCAAACAUAGAUAAGAAAAGAAGCCUAGCAUUUGCAACAAACAUAUGGUUGAGCAACAUGUACAUGAGGCAACCUAAGAAUAGGCACAACCAAAAUGAUGUGUGUGAGACACGUCAAAGCACUUGAGAAGACUAGUAUAAGGAUGAGAAUUAAGCAUCAACAUAGCCUUGAGUAAAUGAGAUACAAGGUGCAAGACAUGUCCUUCCCACACACAUGAAGUUAAGAAGGUCACACACACAUCAAGAAAAUGGGUUCACAAGCUCACUAAUAGCAAACUAAAAAUCAAAGCUUGUGACAACCCAUGAUGAAGAUAGGAAAUAAUAGGCUUGUCAAGACAAGCAUGAGAACAACAAUCUUCACCAAACAUGAGUGCACUAAGAUGGAAAGAGGUAAGACAUGCACUCAUUCAACAAAUGCUUCCAUGGAGCCACCAAAAAGAUAUAAGAAGUGAAUGAAAUGGUGGACAUGAAAGAAUAGGGAUAUCAACUAGAGAUGUAACUUCUCUCACGUGUAUAAGAUACUAGGUAGAUGAUAUCCACAAAGAAGGAUGUACACAUAAAAUAGUUACAAAAGGAAGGAAUAAGAUAUCAAAACGGGAGUCAUAAAAUAUACCAAUGAGAUCUUUGCUUGAAAGCAUGGCACAUGGCUUAAUAUAAUAUUAUUGUAUAUUAAUGAACUCCAAACACACAACCAUCAAAGACAUCACAACUAGCAACAAGAGAUCAUUGUUGGGAUGCUUUGAGAAAGGAAACAAGUAUCACAGGAACGAGUCAAGAAAUUCAUGCCAUGAUGGAACCUACACAAGGUUAACCCCAUUUCUAUAUAUAUGCAUGAAGUAAAUACUUGUUACCGAGAUAGCAUUGGUAUGAAGUUGUAGAUCAAAUGAAAUGUCCAAGCUUGGCUCUAAUUUCCUCAUAGUGCCACCACCUUCAUGAAUAAGCCAAGCACCCAAUGCUUCUCAAAUGUACCUAAAACAUUUUAAGUACAAUAUGGUCCCCAAACUUAUUGGGUCCGACGUAGUUAGCAUAACUACAACACAUAGGGUAAAACCACUUAAAUAUGUGCCUAUUGAUAUGAAUUUGAAUUUCAUGCACAUCAUAGCUAUUAAGAAUUUGAUGGAUUUACCAUAUAUAUAUUGGAUCAAAUAAGGCAAACAAGGCAUGUGAAUUUACACAUAGUAAAUAUGCAUGCAUAAGCCUACCAAAAUCCAGGGAGAUAUAAAUUGGACAAAUGACCACAUAACUGUUAAUACUUCCAAUAACAACACUAGUCAUUCAUGUUGUCCAAAAUGAAUCAAAGUGACAAAUCAACAUAUGAUAGCACACAAAGUUCAACAUAUGAACAAAAAAAACAAUGAGCAUAUAAGAUAUGCACUGCACACAUACUCAUAGGAAUACCCCACUCAAGUAGAUAUAGGACACUAUAAACAAUGAGAUAACAAACUCUCAUAUAGAGCAAUAAGAUGAAUUCGAACAAAAUGGUAUUUCGGGUUAUCAUUGGGUGUAGAAACCAAAUAAGUACAUGAUCAUCUAUACUAACACAAGCAUAACAUGGGAGUUUAGGAAUAACCACAAUGCUUGGAUAGCAUAAUAUUAACAUUCCGACUAGAUAGAUAAUCAUGAAAAGCAAUAAUUGGAAUAGCUUUAAUCAAAUGAUUUUCCAAAUAUGGUUUUAAAGAUAACCAUGGGCAAAACCGCACAAGAAUGCCAUACGUAAACAAGACAUUGCAUGCCACGGAGAUAUAAGAUAAUCUCAAAUAUACAUUCUAGGUGGCAUCCCUCAAUUGUUCAUAUUAACAAGGAUUGUGAUACGCACAAAGCAUAUCACUCCCCCAUAAUAUGAUGAUCCAUGUAUUAUCCACAAGAAGCAAAUGAAACCCAACUAAGGAUAAUUAAUGGAUGAGAAUUUGAGUUUCAAAUGAGCUUUACAUACCACAUAGUACCUUGAUAAUAUAGCACUAACAAUACUAGGUGGUAUCCCACAUACAUACACCUUUAAGGUUUGUGAUAUUCGUAAAACAUAGCACUCCCCCAUAAUGUGAUGAUCCAGCCAAGGAAGAUUCAACUAAUGAAGCAAUAAAGGCUUGAAACCACACACGCACAAAUAUAUGAAGUGCAUUGUGACCUACACAUGCUAGAUAACACAAAUCAAGCAUACUAGGAAGCACAACAAAAAAAAGCACAUGCUAGGUACAAAACUGAACAUGCAAGGGACACAGUAACUUUCAAUGUAAACAAUGCAAGUACAAGUUACCGCAAAGAGGAGCAUUGGAUUGAUAGAUAUGAUGAUAAUCCACUUGACUUGGCAUUAACCAUAACAUAUGGUGAAAAUAGUUUUUCUUCAUGAAGUAGCCAAGUCUCCAAUGCCCUCCACACACCUAUUGAUCAAGUUUGAGCUUGAUGGUCCCCAACCAAGUUGGGUCCUAAGAUUUUAGUAACAAUAGGCUUGGCAACCCAAAUGGUCUUGUCCACUUUCAAACUUCUCUGGGAACCCAAAAACUUGGCAAACACAUUGCCAACAAUAUCCUUCUUUAGCAAAUAAUGAUUAUUGACUAUAGGAGGCUUAGAUAUGUUACCGUUGGAACAAGAUGAAGCUAUGUGUCCCUUCUUACGGCAAAUAUAGCAACAUGUGCUCCCCUUUCUCUUCUUCUUUACCUUUUCAACUUGGAGAGCAUUAUCUUGGUUAGGCAUGGGAAGAGGCCUUUCAUUAUCUUGAUAUUGAACUUGAGGCCACUUCCCUUGAUGCUUCACACUUGAAGCCUUCUUCUUCAAUGGACAAGAUCUCACAUGGUGUCCAACAUUCUUGCACUUGAAGAAAAUAAUGUUGGCCGAAUUCUUGACUUGAUCUCGUCCCUUCUUCUUGUUCUUGGACUUCUUCUUGUUGGAGAUGAAAUCAAGUCCAAUUUUGUCUUGAGGGUCCUUUUGCACACUCAAGAUAUUAUCACAAUAUUUUUCCAAGUCUUUCUUCAAACUGGUGACUUGGGCCUUGAGCUCUUUAUUUUCCUCUACAAGGUUAGUAUUAACAAAAGAACUAGAGGAAGUAGAAACUUCAUUGUUAGAGCAACAAGGCAUGGUGAGCAAUUCAUCACAAGAUGUACCAAUAUCAUGUAGACAGGAAUUGCAAGGACUAGCACAUGGCAAUAAGGCAUUUCGAGUAGAAGAUGUGCUAAUAUCCACAUGAGACUUACACGAUUUUACCUUGGUCCACAUAACCUCAUGAGCUAACUUUAGCCCAUCGUGAGAGAUUAUAAGAUCCUCAUGAGUGCCCGAGAGCUUUUCAUAACUUUCUUCCAAUUUCCCAUAGUUGCUAGUUAGCAAAUCAAGUUGAGUCCUUAGGUCAACAUUUUCUUUUAAUAUCGAUGCUUCACACAAGAUAGAGUUAGUAGCACAAGCAUCAUUAUCAAUAUGAGAGGAGCAUGUAGAAGCUAGAGACUCCGCAUGAGUAGCUUGAAGUUCCUCAUGAGACUUAGAGAGUUUGAUGAGCUCUCCUUUGACCUUCUUGUAGUCAAGGUCAAGGGGCUCAAAAUCCUCUUUAAGUUUACAAUGCGUAACUUCAAUCUCUUCUUUUAAAGACCUCAAGUCACUAAGACAUUGAUGAGCCAUAGCAAGUUCAUGUUCAAGUUGUUCACUUUUUGCUUGCUCGUAAAGAAAUAAGUCAUUACGUUUUUGAAAGCAAGCAAGAACAUCUUGGAACCUUUUAUAAGUGUUAUUUUUAUCUCUACGAAGAGUUUUCCCAAUCUCAUAGAGAUUUUGAGUCAAGACUUCAUCACCUUCCUCAUUACAACUAUCAUCAUUGUCACUAAGAGAAGAUGAUACCUCGUCAUUACCUCUUGCCAUGAGGCACAUGUGAACGCAAGGGGUUGAUGAUGAUUCUUUUGGAGAAGAGGGUUCUUUAUCAACCAAGCAUGCCUCAUUUUUCUUGAUUUCCUCUACAUGGUUAGUUUCACAAAUAGAACUAGAGGGAAUCACGAUAUUUCUAUCAUGGCAAAAUGGGAGAUCAAGCAUAUCAUCACAAAUGAGCUUAACACCAUCAUCACAAGAUAUUUCUUCACUCACCAUGUCAUUACCUUGUGGCAUGCCACAUGUUGGUGAAGUGCAAGAUAUUGAAGUGUGCAAGUAAUCGGAGGUGGAAGUAAUAGAGAGCUCUUCAUGAUUUAAAAAUAUGGAGAACUCCUCCAUCAACUCCCCAAAUAGAAUAUUAUCUUCAUCAAGAUUGGACCCACCAUAUAUAUCUUCAAUUUUGGUCCAAGCAUCAUGAUCCAACAAACAAGAUGAGAUUGACUUGAACACCUCGAAGGUUAUAGCUUGGUGAAUGAAACUUAAAGCUUCACAAUCAAGAUGCAUAUCAUCAAGUGAUGGAUAUUGUCCAUCCUUUAGAUUUGAAUUCCCUACAACCACAAUCCGCAAAGCAUUUGGACCCAUGGCCCGAAAGUGACAAAGCAUGCGUAAUCUCCACAUAAUGUAAUUUGUGCCAUUAAAACAAAAUGUGUCAUCGUGCUAGUUCACUAGUCGACAUCGUUACUCUCUAGGCGGUUAAGCCUAAUAAGGAGAGACCUAGCUCUGAUACCAAUUGAAAGGACCAUGAUGUAGCCUAGAGGGGGGGUGAAUAGGUGUUUUAAAAUCUUAUAUGGAUUUGGCUAUAUCCUAAUGCGGAAAUAAACUAAGAGGAUACUUUUCAAGCACAAAUCCUAAAUAUAUCAGGCUAACUAAGUGCACCAACAACUUAGGAUAAACAAGAUGAGAACAACGAGGAUAUGAGUAAGCACAAGUAAGUUACACAAACUUACUCAAUGUAUAUCACAAGAUAUAUAAAUGAAUAAUACACACAACCACAAGUAAGCAAUACAGGCUUACACAAGUUAUGUCACAAGAUAUGGAAAUGAAUGUUACAAGCUGGCAAUUCACACUAAGCACACGAUAGAACAAUAGUAGCAAGUAUGAAUUGCGGACUAUAAAGUGUUGGCCUAGAUAAUCUCUACGAUAUGGUAACCAACACAAUAUAAUGAGGACAACAAGAUAUAGUGAAUGCAAGGUCAAGAGACCAAAGUAAACCACAAGUAGUGCCUAAGGUUAGAAUUAACGGAAGACACGGAGACGAGGAUGUAUCUCGAUGUUCACUUCCUUGGAGGGAAGCUAGUCACCAUUAGAGAGGUGGAUGUUACCACGAAGGCACACCAACGCCACGAAGGCUCACCCUAUUCUCCUUGAGAUAUCACCACGAAGGCGAUUCUCAACCACUAGUGGUAGACCUUGAGGCGGCCUCCAAACCUUCACAAACUUUCUGGUGGACAAAUCACAAGUUGAUUCCUCACCGGAGCACUCCUACCGCCUAGGAGUCUCCAACCUCCAAAGUAACCAGAUCAAGGGGGAAAUGCUCAAGACUUGCUCAAAUCACGAAUUGCUUUGGUCACAAGAGGGAGAGGGAGAGGAUCUAUCUUUUGAUUGGAACAACUCUCAAGAACACUCACUAAUCUCUCCAGGAUCUAAGAUUUGGUGUAGGAGAAGUGAGAGGGAGCCACUUCUGUUCUUGGGAAGAUUUGGGAUGAAGUGCUCAACCCUCCCCCGGAGUGGGAGAGGGAUAUUUAUACCCCCAAAGAAAAUAGAGCCGUUUCCCGCAGUUGUUGACCUGCCCGGAUGAUCUGGACGCAUACCUGGAUGAUCCGGGCAAUGCCCGGAUGAUCCAGGAAGGUCAAUAUACAAUGUGGUGAAGUAGAUACCCGGAUGUCCGGGGACAUAGCCGGAUAAUCCGGGCAAUUCCCGGAUGAUCCGGGUGGGUAGCCGGAUGAUCCGGCUAGCGGAAUAAGCUUCUGUGAUGAAUUUUACGACUAACCCGGAUGAUCCGGGCAGGAACCCGGAUGAUCCGAGCAAAGCCCGGAUGAUAUGGGAGAGGACCCGGAUGAUCCGGCCAAACCAAACUGCUGCAGCCUAGAAACUGAAACAGGCACAACUUUUACAUCCGGACUCCGAUUUUGAUGAUCUUGGGCUCGUUUGGAAGCUAUGAAAAAAACCCAGGUCCUCACAUAGAGAACCACCCAAGAUUAACCAAAAUGGAGGAUGCAAAAUAUGCAAAGGUUUUAUCAUGUAUUUGGGUAACCUAUUUGGCUUUGGAUAUUCUUUGGUAUAUAGGAUAUGAGUGGAAUUGUGUAGAGAAGAUGUUGACUUGAGCAAAUCUAUCACGAACCCCUUUGAUCCCCUCUUAAUAGUGCGGGAUCCCUAUAACUCAAGAAUCAUAAAAGGUCUACACUACAUAGCUAUCAAUAAUCCAUUCUUGAGUGUAUGUGUUCCUUCGGUGUUCAUCACUCCACAACACUAACGUCGAAGGAACUAAUACCUUUGACUCAAGCCUUUCACUUGAGCUUGAAGUUGAAGUUUCUUCUUGGAUCAAGUUGAAUGGCAAGACAUUGGUGAAGUCUUCAAGUAGCUCCCCCAUACACAAUGUGGGAAGCUUUGCUUUGUAUUUAUCUUCAUGUGUCCAUCAUGUGAUCAUCCACAAGCUUCAAGCAUGUAAUCCUUCGGGAUAGUUAUCUUGAACUUGCCCUUGUCAACCAUGAUCAUCAACACUUGAUGUCAUCCUCUCAUAGACACUUGAAAUAUCUCUCUCGAUGCGAGCCCAUGAGAAUCUCCUCUCAAAAACAUAGGCAACACAUAGUAUGGGUUAGUACACAAAGCGCAAUUGACAAAUUCUUACCAUACCACAAGAUCUCAGUGGCACAUGAUUUGCGCUUGUGUGUUGACCAUCUUUGAAUUCAAUCUUCGAUCUUCAUCUUGGUCAACCUUAAUCUUUGCUCCAUGAUUAAUCUUGAUGCACAACUACAUGUAUAUGGCAUUCAUUCCGAAUCCAUUCAAUAUCCUUCUUGCAUCACCCAUGGAACAAACCUUCCUAUAUAACUUGAUGUCAUUGUUUCUUCAUAGGAAUUGUCAUUCAUUAUCAAGUCUCAAUGCAUAUAUAGAUGUUGAUGGAUUUCAUCCACCAAUUCAUCCAAUAUUCUUCAUGCAUUGCAAAUGGAACUUUCCUUCAAAUGUAUAUCUCCGUGCAAACAUUAGUCCAUUAGGAUUGUCAUUUAAUUACCAAAACCACACAUGGGGACUACAUGUACUUUCACCGCUCCCCAAUACCAGACUGUCCGCUCAAAUCAGAAGGUUUUCUGAUGCAGACCGCACUGUCCGCUACACAGUACCAGACUGUCCGCUAGUUCAAAAACUGCUUCGGCUGAUUUCUUGUUUCGGCCAUAUCUUCCACAUUCGAAGUUCGUUUUUCACGUUCUUUAGCUCUUUUGGAAGCUAUUGACAUCCCCCAUCCACAUAUAUCAUUACCACCACCAUUAUCCUACAUCAAAAUUCAUCAUAAAAGCACCCACCUUCCGCAUUUGACCGAUUUUGAGUUGCGGUUUCCGUUAGCAAAGGUGUUUCGGCUACUUAGGAGCGUGUGACAUCGACAUCACCGCCAUUCAUCAUUAGCUCGGAGUCAUCUUCACCACUAACCGUAAGAAAGGACGGUAACCUCGACGACACUUACUUCUUACACUUGCUUUUGCAUUGAUAGCCCGAGCCAUUUUGCGUUGCUUACCCAUCGAGACUAGCAAGUUGAGAAUUACCGGGCCACGUUAUUGUGCAUCGUAGUGAUCUUGUUAUCGUCUUAGUGCCAUAAGUCUCUCCCGUGGAUAUCUUACAUACUUGUCUCAUAUCAUACUUGGCUCGAGCAUCAAGCAUAGAAAAUAGAAAAGAAAAGCUUUUAAGCAAAAGAGGAGAAACAAAGAGCUUGUAAGAAAUAACAUUGAGCCAUUUUACAUAGACAUAUCAUCUGGGUCACCACAUACAUAGCAUAGUUGGGAUUGAAGACGACACGUUUCUCGCAUAGGUUGGUGCACAAAUGUAUCUUGCCCAUUUGAGCAAUCGAGCUAGCGUCUCUCUAGCAUUCACGCAACAAGAGCAUUUUCCGUGGUUGCACAUUUUGAUCUCACUCCUUGGUUGUGCGGAUCCCAUCUAUCUUCCGUGCGUGUGUUCCUAGUGAUAUCUUUGGGUUUGAUCUAUUUGCUUUACUGGCAUUUUUGUGGACCUUCUCAACCUUAUCGAUAUCUUGACUAACAUUUGCUUGAAUUUUUUUUCCACCAUCCUAACCGAGCUACUCCAUAAGCCUUUUACUUGUAGGUGUGAGAAACAAACCCGGUUCCAAUUCUCCUAUUGUGGCAUGAAUUGAUUGCCACUUGUUACAUCCUUAAUCCUCGGAAAGGUAACUUCAGUAUUGUUCUCUCAUUUUCCUACUCACCUCACUUGGUUAUGAUGGAUAGGCCAAGUUCGUCGGCGAACCCGCUCUUCGAGGAGCAAGGUGAUGAUCACGGCUACGUCACAAAGAACCACUUCUUCAUCGUGCAACGAGCUCUACAUAAAGAAAGUGAAGCCUUGGGUGAACGCUUGGAACAACUCGGCUCCGACCUUCAUCAAUCGGAAACAAGGAACCACGACUACAUCAACGCCAAGUUCACCACACAAAUGGAAGACCUCCACAACAUGAUCAUGUGACGUCCGUCUUCCUCAUCCUCUUCAUCAAGACGGCGCCACUCAAGCCGCCGCUCAAGUCGGCAAUCUUCAGACUACUCCUCUUACGAUGCAAGUCCUCCACGAGCUCGCUUUCCUCGACAUGAUGAUCGCCAAGCUCAAGAAAAUCCAUUCCAUGGAAUGCCUUACAAGAUUGAUUUUGAGCAUGCGAUAGGGCGCGACAACAAACGCAAGAAGCAAUGGAGCAAGAGCAAAUACCUCCACAAGUGCCACGUCAAGAACAUCAAGAUGAUGACGCCAUCCGUCAAGCACAAGCACUCGAAGCACAAUGUGAACUCCUAGAGUCCACUAGAGCCGUCGAAGAGCGCAACCGCCAAGUGCGUGAACCAGAGGAAGCACUUCACCAAGCACGACAAGAAGAAGCCGCCCGAUGCAAAGAGCAACAAGAAAGGCGCAACCAAGCACAUAUUCCUCGUCCUCCUCCAUGACAAGAACGAAACCAAGUGAACAAGUGCUUCAAGACCCUCCCCCACGCCAAGAGCGACAUCUUGAGGAACGAGCAUUUGAGGAUAUUCCUCCACGGCAAGAGCGACAUCAAUACCGCCACUAUGAUGAAGAACUCCGUUACGGCAAGCUCAAGUUCACCAUGCCCAAGUUCUCCAGAAGCAAUGAUCCCAAAGAAUAUCUCUCAUGGGCCUUGAAGGUGGAUAAGAUAUUCCAUCUUCACAACUAUGACGAGGAAAAGAAGAUCACCAUGGCCUCCUUCGAGUUUCAAGACUACGUCCUCAUUUGGUGGGAACAAGUGAUCGAGCGACGACAUACAAGAGCGAACCACCAAUAAUAACUUGGACAGAAAUGAAGGAUGUCAUGAGAGCUCGCUUCGUGCCUACACAUGUCGGAUAUCGGGUUCCGGCAAAACCCUUAAGGUUCGAACUCUGGGGUGCGCACGAAGAUCUACUCCCUACCAAAACACGCCCGCAACCUCGCCACGAUUCUAAGCUAGCAAGAUGAACAACACAAGAGACACGAGAUUUAUACUAGUUCGGGCCACCGUUGUGGUGUAAUACCCUAAUCCAGUGUGUCAUGUGGUGGAUUUCCUCUUGGGCUGAUGAUGAACAGUACAGAGGAAGAACAGCCUCGCGAGAGGUGUUCUUGCGGUGGUGGAUGAGCAAGGUCUCGGUCAAAUUCCAGAUGGCGAUCCCUCUCUACUGUGGCGGCUAGCCCUAUAUAUAGAGGCCCUGGUCCUCUUCCCAAAUAUUGAGCAGGAAGGGAUACAACAAUGGCCAUUUCGAAAGGGGACAACUAGUACAAGCUAUCCUGACUAAAGGUGGUCUUCGAAUGCCAAAGGCACUGGUCAUGAUGCUGUCUUGGGCUCCACGAUGACCUCCGUCCUGCCGUCCUGCUGGUCUUGGUAUAGUUGCACCGAUAUGGAAACCUUUGCCUGAUGCCUCGGUACUCUGCGCCUGUGCUUGCCCCUUUGCACCAAAGAGGAAAUAAGGACACUGUGCAGGCUGGCGCCCGCCUGGUCUUGAUCUUCAUGGCUUGCGUCAUGAGAACCUCGCGAGGUACCCCUUGCCUUGAUCUCUCUGCCUCCUUGCGAGCCUGCCUGGUGAGGCCGCCCCUGAGGAGGCCUUGUGUCGUCCGCCCCAUGAGGCUUGGCCCCUCGUGAGGGUCUUGAGCAUUUGUUGAUGAAGACAGAUCAUACUGUGCCACCGCUGAGCCACGCUGUAGGCCAUAGACAGGCAAGUAUGGGGACCCCCAUUCCCAGAACGCUGACAGUAGCCCCCGGGACCAAGACGCGCUCAGACUUGGCUUAACAGCGAAGCCAAAGGGUAAGUGCGGAGCGUCGCGGGCCCCAACAACCUACGGUCUUGGUCGCCGCAUGGCGGUUGAUUGGACGUGGGCAUCUCCGCUUCCCCACGCUGCCUCGGCAACUGCCCGAUUUGAUGAGUCCCUGCUACAUGUAAAAAGAGUCAUCAUUACGUGUGAUCGUGGAGGCUGACGGUUGGCCUCCAUUGGGCUAUAAGUACGGAGGGGAGUGAGCCCCCGUUGUCCAUCUCUUCUUGCUCCGCCUGCUUCUUCCCCCUUGCUCCACCUCCAUUCUCGACGCCGAUGGCUCCGAUCCACCGGUUCUCAGCCGAAGAGAAAGGAAAGGCUCCCCGGGAGGGGCCUGACCCGCUCCCGCCGAAGAAACGACCGGUCCCUGGCUGCCACGAUGAGGUUGCAAGGCCGGAGAUGACGAGGCCUUGUGAUGAGGACAUGACUACCUUGAAUACGACCAAAAAUAUUGCAUACAUUUAUAUUUGUAAGGUGAUUUCUAAUGCAAACUAUGCAAUAAUUUAUUUAUGUCAUCCAAGACAAAAAUACUUCACAAACUUGUGUGCCAUGUCUAAUUGCAGGUGUAUGGGACAUUUGUACAAUCCACAUAUGAAGAUAAGGGACAAAGAGGAAUUUACAUGCUGUUCAAAAAGUUCUCUCACGUCACUUUUGGCCCAAGAGAAGAUAGAGUCCAAGUCUCUCACAUUCUGGACUUAGAUUCGGACUACACAGACAUACCUGAAUCAAAACGUCGAUAACUUUUUCAUCCGGACUCCAAAUUGGGUGAUUCUUUUUUUGUUAGAAAAUAGAUUUCGUGCAGUUUCCAACCCUAUUGGAUUCACCUUCAAAUUCGUCCCGAGUGUUGAGUUAUGGACGAAACAAUCUGAUGCUGCAGCAGAAUCCGAGUCAAACUACAAGUCCAAAGGUGUUACGUCACCUCCACUUGGGACCAUUGGCCUUGUACGACCUAGGGUUAGUUUUAGGCUGCCUCGGGACUUCCUCCCACCUCCUUGGCCGCCACCCCUUGCUUCUAUAUAAGUAGAUCCAUCUAGUAGCUUUUUCCUUGGGAUUUGUUUAGUUAAAAGUUAGCCAACGCAACUUCGUGUACUUCAUUUGUGUCCAACGACCAGACCAAGACCGCUUUCGGAUCCCCACCAUUAUCAAUUCUUCAUCCAUAUUCACAAUAUUCAGAUUGCUUUAUCAUAGUCUUACUUGUUCUUCGGUUGCUUGUAGGAAUAGACCUUCGUGGUCAGGUUGAUCGUGCUCCAGUGUGGUCAAUAUCCUCUCGAAGUUGGUUUAGCGAUUGCUAAGGCGCAACUCGUGCAUGUUUGUAGUCGUAUCGUCAAAGUCGUCUCCACCAAAUCGAUAGUUAUCAUCUCAUCGAAAGAUCGGGACACCCCGCCUCUAUCAAGUGAUAUCUGUUUUCAGGUUGCUCGGUGAGAAUUUCAUAUUUUCCCUAGAUUAGACUUAUUUUCUUACCUAUUAUCCAAGAAAAAACCAUAAAAAAAGUUAGAUCUAUUCAUCCUUUGUCCAAGCCAGUCCGAGCCUAUGCAAUUUUCUUUUCAUUGUUUGCAUUAUUGAAUUGUCGGUUGCAUCGUCGUGUCGAGUUGCUGGUCUUAGUGUCUAGUUCGUUUAGAGUUUCGAGUUCUGUUCACAUUAGUCACGCCGCCGCUACAUCGUUACCCCUUCCGCUGUCCACCACCCAUCCAUCAAUUUCCACACGUGCUACCCACCAUUCAUUGUCAUAAUCAUAGUUGAGAUCGUUCACAUCUUCGUUUGAUCCAAUCUGCAUCUUAUGUAGUUUGUUUUGGAAAUAGAGAGAAAAAGAGACGGAAAAAAAGAGAGAGAAAAAAGAAAAAAAGUCUGAGAAAAAGAAAGAAAGAAAAAGAUAAAAAAGUGUGAGGAAAAAAAAUAAAGAGAAAAUAAAAUAAAAUUUGGAUCUAUCUAAACUCAAUCUCGUAGUUGAAUUCGGAUUGGAAUCUGUUUUGUGCACUGUUCAGUAAAACAUGCGUAACUUCCUCAUACGAAGUCCGCUUUGGCUCCGCGAGUACUCAAAUUAAAGCUAGCGACGAGCCGCAUCUAAAUAGUUUUAGAAGGUUAUUCAAUAUUUGGCACGUCAAAAUCGGCUUCUAAGUAGGUCUUUUUGCCCUCCGAAGUUUGCGAACACAGCUUGUUCCAGUUUUCCAGGCCAGUUUUAGAAUUUUUUGACUCCUCAUAUCAACUCGGAAUUGAGUGAUUCUUUUUGCAUUUGAAAGCUUCAGUUAGUAGCAUUCUUUGAAAAAAGUUAUCAGAAAAUUGGCUCAAACUUUUCAAGAGGAAAGUUGGAGAGAGAGAGUUGUUGUAUAUCCUGCUUGGAAGUUGUUUUUCAUCAUUAUCUUUAUUGCCGUUGUGAUCUUCACUUAUAUCUUGUUGUCCAGAGCUACUUAGUAUCCUUCAUUGAUGCUAGUUGUGCUAUGUCAUGACCUCAUUAGUGUUCUAGGCUCGCGUCUCUAGUCCGGUCUAGCCUAGGACCAGCACAGUACCGUCGUUGAGCGUUUAUUCAACAUUGCACUUUGAAUUGAUUAUAGAUAAUAUUUUGCUACCAUAUAUAGCCAACCCAGCUCCAUAUAUUUCUACACCGUGUAUAUGUACGUUCCCCCUGGCAAUUGCUUUACACAAUCUUCAGUGUUACUUGACACCACUGGUUGCUUGUCACCACUUGCCGCAUGAUAAGAACUUGUAAGAUAUUGAUAUUUGCUUUACCGUGAGCACUUUACAACCACAUCCUAGUAGUUCAUAGGGACAUUAUUCUCGAAUUUUGUUUCUUGUUUCUAUUAAUCAUGACAUGUUCCGGAGAUAGAAGUUCUUGGACGACGAACACAUCUUCACCAUCACGAGAGUUGGGACAACACACACAAGCAUAUGGUCAGGUUAUGUCUUUACCAUCAUUUGAGGGUAGAUUUAAUCCUGCUAUUUAUCUAUAUUGGGAGCUUGAAUUAGAAGAAGUUUUUAGUCACCAUGAUUUUUCUGAACUUGAGAGAGUACGAGCUACCACUAGAGCAUUUACUGGUUUUGCUUCUGUUUGGUGGAGUGUACAUUAUAAUAAAAACAUUGAUAACCAACCCACAACUUAGAAAGUUUUGAAAGCUGUAAUGAGACAACAAUUUUUUCCUCCUUACUAUCGUCGUGAAUUGCUUCGCAAAUUGGAACAAUUAAAACAAGGCAGUAACACUGUUCAUGCUUACUACCAAGAGUUCAAAUCUUAUAUGCAUCAUUGUGACAUAGAAGAAUCUGAGGGUGAUACAAUGAAUAGAUUUUUUGGUGGUUUGAACCAUGAUAUCCAUGCAAGAUUUCACUAUAUUCCUCGUUGCAUUACUGGUAUGUAUGUUCGCGCCUGUACCUUUGAAAGACAGAUACAGGAGGAUGCAUUGGGUGACUACAACAACUACUAUUCCAGUUCAUGCUCACCACCGCCGGUUGGUUCCUCCACCAUUGCACCUACUAGAGCAGCCCCACCUUAGAUUGUGAGCCCGACAUCAUCUCAAGUGUAUGGUGCAUUGUCAACGCCCGUACCUACAUCAGCUACGUCUUUGCGACAAGGUAACAGUAAAGGUAUUGAUGAUAUAACUUCACAUGAGAAUGAUGCAUCCCUAGUUAACUUGAAUGCAUCAUGUGUUGAGUUACCUGGUGAUUUGAGCACAUGACCUAUUUUAGAGAAUCUUGAUAUUGUCAUGACUGUGUCAUGUGAUCAAACAACUGAAAUACCAACAAUUUUGAGUGCACCCAUUGAAUCAACUGUUGAUGCAAAAGAAUCAAUGUUUAAUCCUUUUGAUAUGACCUCUAAUCUUGGUGAUGAUUCUGUGUCGAAUGACUUAUUGCAUGUUUGCUUAUUUAAGCAUGUUGUAGCAUGUAAAUGUGAUGCAAGUAAGGUUUAUUCACCAAUGUUUGGAUGGUUUAAUGAUGAACAUUGUCAAUCUUUUGAAAUUAAUAAGAGCUUCACUUAUAUGUGCAAACUGAGUUGCAAUAUUUUCAUGCCUUCUACUUCUUGGGAUAAUGUUUUGGCUUUAGAUUUUAUGAACUAUGCAAGUUACUCAUCUAUUCAUGUGUGCAAAAAUCAAGGGAAGUAAAAAUGGAUGACAUACAUAUACAACAUGUACACCUUGUCUCUUUUGUUAGCCACAUUUCAUAUUAAGCAACGCCGAGGACGGCUUUGUUUUCAAGAAUGGGAGGAUGAUGAGGACAUGGCUACCUUGAAUACGACCAAAAAUAUUGCAUACAUGUAUAUUUGUGAGGUGAUUUCUAAUGCAAACUAUGCAAUAAUUUAUUUAUGUCAUCCAGGACAAAAAUACUUCACAAACUUGUGUGCCAUGUCUAAUUGCAGGUGUAUGGGACAUUUGUACAAUCACAUAUGAAGAUAAGGGACAAAGAGGAAUUUACUUGCUGUUCAAAAAGUUCUCUCACGUCAGUUUUGGCCCAAGAGAAGAUAGAGUCCAAGUCUCUCACGUUCUGAACUCAGAUUCGGACUGCACAGACAUACCUGACUCAAAACGUCAAUAACUUUUUCAUCCGGACUCCAAAUUGGGUGAUUCCUUUUUUGUUGGAAAAUAGAUUUUGUGCAGUUUCCAACCCAAUUAGAUUCACCUUCAAAUUCAUCCGGAGUGUUGAGUUAUGGACAAAACAAUCUGAUGCUGCAGCAGAAUCCGAGUCAAACUACAAGUCCAAAGGUGUUACGUCACCUCCACUUGGGCCCAUUAGCCUUGUACGACCUAGGAUUAGUUUUAGGCUGCCUCGGGACUUCCUCCCACCUCCUUGGCCACCAUCCCUUGCUCCUAUAUAAGUAGACCCAUCUAGUAGCUUUUCCCUUGGGAUUUGUUUAGUUAAAAGUUAGCCAACGCAACUUCGUGUACUUUGUUUGUGUCCAACGACCAGACCAAGACCGCUUUCGGAUCCCCACCAUUAUCAAUUCUUCAUCCAUAUUCGCAAUAUUCAGAUUGCUUGCAGGUAUAGACCUUUGUGGUUAGGUUGAUCGUGCUCCGGCGUGGUCAAUAACCUCUCGGAGUUGGUUUAGCGAUUGCUAAGGCGCAACUCGUGCAUGUUUGUAGUCGGAUCGUCAAAGUCAUCUCCACCAAAUCGAUAGUUAUCAUCUCAUUGAAAGAUCAGGACACCCCGCCUCUAUCACCUUGGUGCGAGCGACCACCUCCUGGGUUCCCGCUACCCCUGUACGCCCGGGCCGAGGGAUAAGGAGGCGACAAGCAACACCGUCCAUGCCACAGGCGAGGUCAACGAGCCAUGGCAGCGCACGCCAUCGCUCCUGGAGUCCACGCCGCAGUCUCCUUUCGUGAACUCAUGCUCCACGCCGCGAUGCCUCCAAGCACCUGGAUCCGCUUCUCUCCAUUCUUUGCCUUCGAGAUGCUACCAAGGGGGCCUCUCGAGCUUUGGCUGCAGCACGCCGAUUGUGGUGCUCUGGCGACCGAAGCGGAGGUUGAAGUCGUUGCUCCAGGCAAGAUCUUCAUGACCCGAGGCUGGGGCGACAUUGCCCGGGUCUGCCAAACUGGGUUGCCCUCAUGAUUCAUUUUGAAUACGAUGGCGCCUCCUUGAUGCUCUUCAAGGUUUUCGAUGCAGAAGGCCGCCGACUGGAAUGCUGCCCAGAGGAGGCAGCCCGGACAUUGACGUGGCAAGGGCUAGGCCUACCGCUCGCUUCCCCACCGGCUCCUCCGACAGCGGCAGCGACGCGUGGGAGUCAAGCGACUCUCCCGAGCUCUUCGCGACUCCGGAGACGAGCGACGGCAGCUAUGUGCCCCCGAGCUCGCGUCGCGCCCGGAGCAAGGCGGCUGCAUCAGGCCAUGGGCGCAGCUGAUCUGGAUGGGGUCGGCGCCGGCCUCCUGUGGCCCACUGUUGAUGAUGGCGUCGGCCAUGAAGGCAUGUGUAGUUAGGGCUCCUUAGGAUCCGCGUCUUUUGUUCCCUGUGAGGAAUCGAGUAAAUACCCCGUGGGGGCAUAUAAAGGGUCUGCGAUGUUUUUUGUUGAUAGUAUCCUCAUUAUGAAGCAGUGCAAAUGCUUGUCCUAUCCCGGCAUGGUUCCCCCUUUCUAACCCCGCGACGACUUAAUGAUCUACAUUGAUAGGCCCCGGUCCCCAGGCAGGCUUCAGUCAUCGCUGGUAUGCCAGCUCGCGAUGCCGUGGUCGAGGCCAGGAGGUGAGCGGCCCGAGGUCCAGUAAGAGCCCAUGAGACACGAUGCUUAGGAGGUCCCCUUUAGCACACAAGCAGCCGUCAAAAGGUGAGAAAGGAAGGCAACGUUGCGUCACACAGCCGCAUUAGGUGGAGAUUCUGUGUCGCACCAACUAGCUAUUACGGGCAAGAAACUUAUCUCGAAAACAUGGAGUCGUUCCUUCGCGCCGCGCCGGACUUGGGUGUCGGCAGCUGGGAGUAGCUGGGUCAGGCCCUCGCGAGCUUCCCUUCUCUUCCCCACACUUUCCUUGGUGCUCUGCGUCCUCAGGUUCCGGCCCUCGAGCGAGCUCAGCCGCCGCUGGUAUGCCAGGUCGCGAUGCCGUGGACAAGGCCAGGGGGUGAGGGCUGGAGAGACAGUAAGAGCUCCCGAGUCGCGAUGCUCAGGAGCCCUCCUUUUAAUGCGCAAGCGGAUCGCGCGCGUGCGAGAGAGAGGGAGAUCGUGGUGCCACCCGCUUUAAACCUCAGGGGGUUCCUGUAAACCAACACGAGAAGAGCGGGGGUUGCCAUUAUGAUCGCCGACCGACCAUUGAUUGCUCCGAGAGAGUGGUGAGGGAACUGAGGGCCUGGUGAGGUGACACUUGCGGGGCUGCCGCGGGCCAGAGCUCGACCUCUCAGAUUUGUCGACGUUGCAGGGACGGAACCAUGCGCAAGCGCCGUGCCAGCGCGAGUGGCUCCAAAGGUAGGUGUCAAUCGAGCAGGCGAUAAUCACAAGCAGGUUAGGCAUGAAGGGAAAAUCAACUUAGAUAAAAGCAGGAGGGAUACGUGCCACUGGGUCAGGCCCGAGCGGCUUGGGAAUGAUGCAGCCCGAGGGGCGCCCCCAGCAAGGUAAACUAACGACAUAAGCAAAAAGGGAUACAUGCCUGUAACACCCACGAUGUGGCUAUAUCUCCCACGUGUCGAAGCACGACUUAGAGGCAUAACCGCAUGGUGGUUUUGUCGUAAGAAGGGUCAUCUUCACACAAUCCCAUGUAAUGAACAAGAAUGGGAUAAAGAGUUGGCUUACAAUCGCCACUUCACACAAUGAACAUAUAAUUCAUACAUCAUUCAGAGUACACACAUAGUACGAAUAUGGACGAAGCCAAAAGAAAAGAAGAUAACCCAACUGCUAGAUCCCCAAUCGUCCCAACUGGGCUCCACUACUAAUCAACAUGAAAUGAAACAUAGCAACGACCAAGAUCUUCAUUGAGCUCCCAUCUGAGCUCGGUUGCAUCACCUGCACUGGUAUCAUUGGCACCUACAACUGUUGUGAUAGUAUCUGGUGAGUCACGAGGACUCAACAAUCUCAAAACCCGCGAGAUCAAGACUAUUUAAGCUUAUGGGUAGGAAGUGGUAAUGAGGUGGAGUUGCAGCAAGAACUAAGCAAAUAUGGUGGCUAACAUACGCAAGUAAGAGCGAGAAGAGAAGCAACGGAACGAUCGAGAAGCUAGAAGUGAUCAAGAAGUGAUCCGGAAACUGCUUACGCACAAUCAUAACACCAAGACCGUGUUCACUUCUCGGACUCCCCGCCAAAAAGAGACCAUCACGGCUACACACGCGGUUGAUGCAUUUUAAUUAAGUCAAGUGUCAAGUUCUCUACAACCGGAUAUUAACAAAUUCCCAUCUGCCACAUAACCACGGGCACGACUCUCGAAAGUUUAUACCCUGUAGGGGUGUCCCAACUUAGCCCAUCACAAGCUCUCACGGUCAACGAAGGAUAUUCCUUCUCCUAGGAAGACCCGAUCAGUCUCAGAAUCCCGGUUUACAAGACAUUUCGACAAUGGUAAAACAAGACCAGCAAAGCCGCCCGAUGUGCCGACAAAUCCCGAUAGGAGCUGCACAUAUCUCAUUCUCAGGGCACAACGGAUAGGUCAGCCUACGAGUAAAACUAGCCCUCGAGUUGCCCCAUGGUGGCCUCGCAGUCUACCCGGUUCGGACCAACACUCGGAGGAGCACUGGCCCGGGGGAGGGGGGGUUAAAUAAAGAUGACCCUUGAGUCUGCAGAACCCAAGGGAAAAGGCUUAGCUGGAAAAUGUUAAAACCGAAGGUUGGGCCUUAAUGGAGGAUUUUUAUUCAAAGCGAACUGUCAAGGGGGUCCCAUAAAUCACCCAACCGUGUAAGGAACUCAAAAUCAAGGAACAUAACACUGGUAUGACGGAAACUAGGGCGGCAAGAGUGGAACAAAACACCAAGCAUAAGGCCGAGCCUUCCACCCUUUACCAAGUAUAUAGAUGCAUUAAUUAAAUAAGAGAUAUUGUGAUAUCCCAAUAUAAUCAUGUCCAUCAUGGAGCAAUCUUCAACUUCACCUGCAACUAGCAACGCUAUAAGAGGGGCUGGGCAAAAGCGGUAACAUAGCCAAACAACGGUUUGCUAGGAUGGGUGAAAAGGUUAGAGGCUGACAUGGCAAUAUGGGAGGCAUGGCAAACAAUUGAUAGGUAGCGCAGCAUAGCGAUAGAACAAAGCAACUAGCAAGCAAAGUAGAAGUGAUAUCAAGGGUAAUGGUCAUCUUGCCUGAAAUCCAGAUAGGAAGAAGAACGAGUCCAUGAAGAAGACAAAUGGACGUAGUCGAACGAAUCCUCACAACUCCGGAACAAAACCAAAGCUAACGAGAGAAGCAAACCAGAAUCAAGCAACAUGGUAAACACCCAAGAAUAAACAUGUCAUGAUGCACAAACAAGUAUGAUGCAUGUCCGAUUUAAAGAGGCAUGGCAUGGCAAUAUGCACAAACAACACUACAAGUUAAGUGGAGCUCAAUAUGCAACGAGUUGCAUAUUGACGAAACACCACAUCAAUUAUUUAGUUCUCUCUCGUUUAGGAACACAACAAUAUUACAUGUUGUUAUAAACAUGGCAAGAGUUGAAACAUAAUUAAACUACCUAUCUAGGCAAGUUUAAAUGAGGCCGGAAACAACAAACAACAAUUCCGGUAGAUCCUCAUGUCCAUAUUUUGAAUUAGCUACUGUUCUGCCCUAAACACAAUUUAAAUGUUGUUAAACAGCAAAAUAAAGUACACCAUGUUAAACUAGGCAUUUUUCUACCCCAUUUACAUAUAAAGUUUAUUAAAUUCGGAGCUACGGUUAAUUAGUUAUGAAAUAAAGCAUUUUAGGAUGGCAUUUAAACAAAUUAAAUGCAAACAGCAUUUUAAACAUUUUUAACAUGGAUGAAAGUGGCAUAUUAUGAAACUAGAGUAAAUUCUAAGCACUUUACAUAUAUAAUUCAUUUUAAUAUGAUGCACCAUUUGUGAGUUAUUAAAUGUAUGAAGCAUGAGGGUCUUUCUGCAAUUCUGCCAAUUCCUUGGAAAUUAGGAAAUACACAGAACAGGAAAAAAAAACAUAGCAGGCCGAAACUGAUUUGAACUGGGCUGGGGAGCUGCUCACAUUGGGCCUAGGCUGAAGCAGGCCGACUGGGCUGGCGCGGUCAACACUGGGAGGACCCGGUCGAGCGAGGCGACCGCUGCUGGGCUCGAUGUAGGGAAACAGAGGACGCAGCUGCAGAGGACUUGGCGAAGGGUGGCGCCACAGGCAACAACGGCGGACCAAGGCGAAGCAAGGGAGGUCCGCCAAGGGCGCGGGUCUCCAGGACGGCGGACCUGGCCGAGAAUGGGCUUGGAUGGUGGCUUGACUCCUGCUGGGGCUGAAGAAACAGGGAGUUGAGAGAGGGAGAGGAAAGCAAAGAGAAAAGUAGAAGGAUGGCAGGGAAAGGAGGGCGGCAACGCUGCUCACUGGCGAAGUCCGGAAGCCACGGCGAGGCCUUGAGGUGGAGUAGAGGCGAGGUCUUAGUGUGGGCGAGCAAGGCAGCAGGGACGCUGGAUACGUCAGAUCCGGGCGUGGAGGCCCUGCUGGAUGGCGGGCGACGAACUUGAGGCGCUCAUGUGCCAUGGCUGCUCCAACUCCCGGCAGCAACCAGAGAGAGAUGAGAGACCGGAGGGAGAGAGAGAGAUAGAAGGAGAAGUGGUGGGGGAAGGGCGCGGUGGUGCUCAUCUUGCUAGUUGAAGGUUCGGGCGCCGGCGGCAGAUGGGAACGGCGACUUGGCGGCGCAAGAAGACGAUGCCGAGCGCUCCUGCUCAGGCACGAGCGUGGAGGGGGGCCGCGAGCAGAGGAGCUGUGGAUCUCAUGGAUCAAGGGAAGGAGGCUGGUUCGGAUCCAUCAGUGCUUGGGGACGAUUCCCUCGAUCUGAAUCAAGCAAGGCUGUGGGUGAUUGGGUUGGCACGGAAAUCAAAGAAGACAAGAUUUGAUUUGGGUGGAUGCGGUUGGACUGGUGGAAGAAACGAGGGAGGGAGAAGCUGGUUGCGGGUUGGAUCCCGAUGAAGAGUGUGGCGGCGGCGGGUGAGGGGAUUUGGUGGAUGGGACAAGCCCCUAGGAUCUAGGGUUAGACUGAUAUUUAUAUCAGAAGAAUUUAGGUUAGGGAUAUCUCGUCCCUACGAUCGUAAUCAGACGGUCCGGGAAAAAUAGGCUAGGGAGUCUAAUAAAUAAAAAGAAGAUAUUUUACGGAUGUUAGGGAAUGAUUCGAAUCCAACGAAGAUGACUGUGCGGGUCAGGUUCGGGGCAGGUUUUGGGCUCACACGAGGGGUCUGAGAGAGGUCGACGAAGACAAGGGUCUAACAAUUGGUCAACAGAGACAAAGAGAGAAUCGGCAACUAUGAACGGUAACGAGUUUCAUAAAAACAUGCGGGUGCAAUAUGCAUGAUGACAUGAUGAAAUGCAACAACAACAAAAUAAAACACACGACGACAACGAAAAACAUGGAAGGCGUCUGAAGCGUCGGUCUUGGGGCGUUACAACAGUCCACCACUACAAGAGGAUCUUGUCCCGAGAUCUAGGAUGGCACCGGUGAGAAACGGAAGAGGAAGAGAAGAGGUAAAACUAAGUUGCUUCUUGUACAAACGAGUGAAACCAAUGAACCUUGAGAGCUUAAAAAGUUGAAAGAAAGAACACAAUGGAGUUGAACACAAUUGAGAGCAGAGCGGUAGAAAAUAGAAACAAGGAACACCAUGUGAACCUUGGAGGUUGCAAAGGUAUGAAUGACGAGUACAAUGGACAAGAAGGAAUUGGAACCACUCUGGUUGAAACGAGAUAAACAAGGAACAAGGAAGAUCAAAUUCGGAUAACACUCCGGUUGAAAAGAAAUGCAAGACUUGAUAAGAUGAAAAGAACUUGAAGAGAUGACACAACACUUUAGUUAAAUGGAUAAGCACGAAAAGAACACGAUCCUCACAAUUCGAGAUGAUGAGUGAAAAGAGCAACAUCACAAUGCCUCCGGAAGAAAGAAUAGAAGAUAGAUCAUUGGAAUAACGGAAUGGAGAAGAAAAUGCCAACUUCUGCCACAACUGAGCUUGGAAAGCAUACUUGCAAAGAAGGAUUGAACGGAGUUGUUGGAAAAUCAACAACGAAAUGAAUAAGCUUGUAGUGGGAUUAUGGAGAACUUCUCAAAAUUAUGAGGUGACAACCGGCCACUAACAGAAACAACUGAUUGGUUGAGAUCAAUGAAGAUAAGAGAAACUUCUUUCACCAAGAGGAUAACUAGAGAACUUGGGUCAUUGAUAAGAACCACAAUUAACAACAUUCCUUCGGGAAGGCUUUUAGGUGAAAUCUUUACCAAGUUAACUCCAAGGAAGAAAAUGAUGGGUUUAAAAUACCUCAUUCCUGACAACAUGUGAAUCACGAAACAUGAAUGGAAAUUAUCCAGAAUGAUAUAAUGCCAUCUCCAAAGAUAAGGUAGAAGAAAUUGCACAUUGGAAUGCAAGAUGAAGAAUACUUGGACUCUUCAGAAAAAACAUGUGUUGGGCACCAUGUUUAUUUUUGAGUAUAGCUUGGCGGUUCAUAACUUCGAGAGAAAUCUUGAAGAACAAUUGAAGAAUGAAAAUAAUUCUUGACGAACCACCAUGUAAAGCCUCCAUGAAGAACUCCGGUAAUAAAAUGAUGAUAAAAAGAAAGAGAACUUGAAAAAACAAGGUGAAGCCUUGCGAUGAUUUAGAAGGAGCUUCGCGAUGAGAUACUGCGGAAAACUUGGAACUCCGGAAAAGAAAAGAUGAAACACUAGAACCGAGAAUUACUUCAUCAUGAACAAUCUCCAGAAGAGAAGAAUUAAUCACUUGGAUGAAACAAGAAUAAGAAUUAUGGCAUGCCUAUCCUUCAUCAAUUUAAAUUGAUGAUAAGCAAUAGAUUUGGCAUGCCACUUAUUCUUCUUGAAAAGAUUGACAAGAGAAAUAGCGCAACUUGGAAAGGUCUUCCACGAACCACCGGUGGGGUUUGGAAACAACAAAUGAAUUGAUAUGAUAAUAGAGGAAGAGAAAUCUUGAAUGAACCACCGUAAGAAUUCAAAAUGAACAAAGGAAAAGAUAACGAAACACCGAGAAGAAUUAGAAAACGAACGAACGUACUUGAGAGAUUUUAGAUACAAGAGAACGAAGAGAUCACAAGCUGAUUAGAGAAUACUCGAAUGAUGCACCGGUAAGAUUUGGAGAACGGGAGCUGAAAGCUGGAAUGAAUAAUUCUGAGAUGAUGGCCUCCGGAGAAUCAAACUGAAAAGACUUCUGAAUUGCUCCGGAUGGGUGAAAGGAAUUCUCACAAUCGAAAAUAAUUAUGAGAGGAUGGCAUAAACUAGAACUAUGAAUCUUUGGAAGAACGGGUAAGGAUUUAAGAGGAACUCUUCUUCGGUCUUCAAAAUCCAAGAAUGACGACGAGAAAUACCACCAAAAUUAUUGAGACACUCCGGAACAAUGGAUAAUAUAAAUGAUGAACCAACGAUGAAGAAUUUGAAAGAUCUUGGAGAAAGACAUAUGACUGAUGGAAUCCAUUCUUACGUCACACUUUGUAAAGAAUUUGAGAAUCGCUCCAGAUAAAUUCGAAGAGUCAGGUAAGAUCCUGGGAAAGACAUGUGGGUUAGGGCCCACUCAAAAGAAACACCGUUGAAAGGACUACUUGAAAGGGUGAUUGCACCGGUUGAAUUAAAUGGCUUGAAUGAGAUAACAACCUCAAAAUAACUUGAACGAUGAACGGAUAGAGAAUGGAAACACGAAUCUUCUGAGAUAACUUCAACACUCCGGAUAUGAACUGGGAGAGGUGAAUAAGAGCCUUGGAUAACAAAUUCACAUGGAAAGAUAUGUGAAACAAAAGGAAGAGAUAUGAUCAACACCGAAACUUGAAAUUAAUCCCCCAGAGAAGAAAAGAGAACGAAGAAUAAUAAACUUGUAGCUCCUUUAGUAUCUUCUUGAGAAUCACCGGAUAAGAACAUUGAAAGAAACGAAUGAAGAGACUUCACACGAUAAAAUGGAUAGUUGACUUGAUAUCUCUGAGUCCCUGAAGAAAAAGGGGUGGGAAGGCGGGUAAAUGAAGACAACUUGCGGUAGAUGGAAUGAAUACCAUUGAGAAAACUUAGAAUUGAUCUUGCGGAUGUUGAAAUGAUCGGAUCCACUUGAAGAAAAGCACACCGGUAGGAAAAGAAUUAACAUGACAACCUCGAUGAUCAAGAAGGAUAAAUAUUCACAUAGCAAUAUGAGAACACCAUUUAUGAAAGGUAUGGAUUCAACAUUUGACUUCGAAGCAACUCGAAUACCACAAAUAAAACAAAACAAAGGAUUUGGCUUGCAGAAUAAGCAGGAAACAAACAUAUGAUAGAGAUUUCGUCCGAAGUUUUCAUGGUGGGGCCCACACGGGCUCGAUCAUACAACACCAUCAUGUACAAGGCUGUGCACAUGACAUAUGAAGUGUCCCCGAACCAGCAUAGCCAAGGGCUCUUUAAGACACAACGAGACCAUUGUAAAAACGAACGUGGAUAGGCGGACCACUAGACGUCGAACCCCAAUCUCAUAUCAUGCAUCUGUCGGAAAGAAAAAAAAGCUAGAGCUACUUGAAUUCCCACCUAUAAAACUCCCGAAACUUUCUGGUUAUGCAAUUAGGUGUUGGGGAUACAGGGGAAGCAAUAUAUAUCUCACCCAAAACUAACAAUUCCUACAUCCAAGUUGUAUCCAUCCGUCAACACAUAACCAAGAAACCUUCGGAAAUCGUGUACCUCAACCUUCGAAAAGCAUCCAUUAUAUGAGCUAUGGCAAUACUCCCGAACUCCCCAGUACUGGGUGGCGUCGAGGUUAUCUCACCAACAACUGCAUAAAAGAGAUUUUUGAUAUCGGCGAAACUCAAGUAUUCCAGAACUGCAACAAUAAAAUUAUGACGACAACACCUCGGAGCUCAACUCCCCGGGACACUGCCACAACCCCUAAAUGUCAGCAGGCACCAAGAACAAUGUUCUCAUCAUAAGAAUAUCAGAACGAUCCCAAGAUACCCGCGUGAUCCUAAAUUUUUUUUAAUGAAAUUUGAGGCGAGGAAAGACAAAACCACUACGUCAGGAGGCCUCACCACAGCGACGAAGGGACUGAGGAGUAAAAAGAAUCCUACUCUCCGAUAUAUAUAAUCCUAAGACUCAAAACAUUUUUGUUCUAGACUCAACAACACCAGCGAUUCNNNNNNNNNNAUCAAGCAGGGGGCUCCUAAGUCGGGGAUGGCUCUGAUUACCAACUUGUAACACCCACGAUGCGGCUAUAUCUCCCAUGUGUCAAAGCACGACUUAGAGGCAUAACCGCAUGGUGGUUUUGUCGCAACAAGGGUCAUCUUCACACAAUCCCAUGUAAUGAACAAGAAUGGGAUAAAGAGUUGGCUUACAAUCGCCACUUCACACAAUGAACAUAUAAUUCAUACAUCAUCCAGAGUACACACAUAGUUCGACUACGGACGAAGCCAAAAGAAAAGAAGAUAACCCAACUGCUAGAUCCCCGAUCAUCCCAACUGGGCUCCACUACUGAUCAACAUGAAACGAAACAUAGCAAUGACCAAGAUCUUCGUUGAGCUCCCAUCUGAGCUCGGUUGCAUCACUUGCACUGGUAUCAUCGGCUCCUGCAACUGUUGUGAUAGUAUCAGGUGAGUCACGAGGACUCAGCAAUCUCAAAACCCGUGAGAUCAAGACUAUUUAAGCUUAUGGGUAGGAAGUGGUAAUGAGGUGGAGUUGCAGCAAGAACUAAGCAAAUAUGGUGGCUAACGUACGCAAGUAAGAGCGAGAAGAGAAGCAACAGAACGGUCGAGAAGCUAGAAGUGAUCAAGAAGUGAUCCUGAAACUGCUUACGCACAAUCAUAACACCAAGACCAUGUUCACUUCCCGGACUCCGCCGAACUAAGACCAUCACAGCUACAUACGCGGUUGAUGCAUUUUAAUUAAGUCAAGUGUCAAGUUCUCUACAACCGGAUAUUAACAAAUUCCCAUCUGCCACAUAACCGCGGGCACGGCUCUCGAAAGUUUAUACCAUGCAGGGGUGUCCCAACUUAGCCCAUCACAAGCUCUCACGGUCAACGAAGGAUAUUCCUUCUCCUAGGAAGACCCGAUCAAUCUCAGAAUCCCGGUUUACAAGACAUUUUAACAAUGGUAAAACAAGACUAGCAAAGCCGCCCGAUGUGCCGACAAAUCCCGAUAGGAGCUGCACAUAUCUCGUUCUCAGGGCACAACGGAUAGGUCAGCCUGCGAGUAAAACCAGCCCUCGAGUUGCCCCGUGGUGGCCCCCGUAGUCUGCCCGGUUCGGACCAACACUCAAAGGAGCACUUGCCCGGGGGGGUUAAAUAAAGAUGACCCUUGAGUCUGCAGAACCCAAGGGAAAAAGGCUUAGGUGGCAAAUGUUAAAACCAAGGUUGGGCCUUGCUGGAGGAGUUUUAUUCAAAGCGAACUGUCAAUGGGGUCCCAUAAAUCACCUAACCGCGUAAGGAACGCAAAAUCAAGGAACAUAACACCGAUAUGAUGGAAACUAGGGCGACAAGAGUGGAACAAAACACCAGGCAUUAGGCCGAGCCUUCCACCCUUUACCAAGUAUAUAGAUGCAUUAAUUAAAUAAGAGAUAUUNNNNNNNNNNNNNNNNNNNNNNNNNNNNNNNNNNNNNNNNNNNNNNNNNNNNNNNNNNNNNNNNNNNNNNNNNNNNNNNNNNNNNNNNNNNNNNNNNNNNNNNNNNNNNNNNNNNNNNNNNNNNNNNNNNNNNNNNNNNNNNNNNNNNNNNNNNNNNNNNNNNNNNNNNNNNNNNNNNNNNNNNNNNNNNNNNNNNNNNNNNNNNNNNNNNNNNNNNNNNNNNNNNNNNNNNNNNNNNNNNNNNNNNNNNNNNNNNNNNNNNNNNNNNNNNNNNNNNNNNNNNNNNNNNNNNNNNNNNNNNNNNNNNNNNNNNNNNNNNNNNNNNNNNNNNNNNNNNNNNNNNNNNNNNNNNNNNNNNNNNNNNNNNNNNNNNNNNNNNNNNNNNNNNNNNNNNNNNNNNNNNNNNNNNNNNNNNNNNNNNNNNNNNNNNNNNNNNNNNNNNNNNNNNNNNNNNNNNNNNNNNNNNNNNNNNNNNNNNNNNNNNNNNNNNNNNNNNNNNNNNNNNNNNNNNNNNNNNNNNNNNNNNNNNNNNNNNNNNNNNNNNNNNNNNNNNNNNNNNNNNNNNNNNNNNNNNNNNNNNNNNNNNNNNNNNNNNNNNNNNNNNNNNNNNNNNNNNNNNNNNNNNNNNNNNNNNNNNNNNNNNNNNNNNNNNNNNNNNNNNNNNNNNNNNNNNNNNNNNNNNNNNNNNNNNNNNNNNNNNNNNNNNNNNNNNNNNNNNNNNNNNNNNNNNNNNNNNNNNNNNNNNNNNNNNNNNNNNNNNNNNNNNNNNNNNNNNNNNNNNNNNNNNNNNNNNNNNNNNNNNNNNNNNNNNNNNNNNNNNNNNNNNNNNNNNNNNNNNNNNNNNNNNNNNNNNNNNNNNNNNNNNNNNNNNNNNNNNNNNNNNNNNNNNNNNNNNNNNNNNNNNNNNNNNNNNNNNNNNNNNNNNNNNNNNNNNNNNNNNNNNNNNNNNNNNNNNNNNNNNNNNNNNNNNNNNNNGCAUGGCAAUAUGCACAAACAACACUACAAGUUAAGUGGAGCUCAAUAUGCAACGAGUUGCAUAUUGACGAAACACCACAUCAAUUAUUUAGUUCUCUCUCGUUUAGGAACACAACAAUAUUACAUGUUGUUAUAAACAUGGCAAGAGUUGAAACAUAAUUAAACUACCUAUCUAGGCAAGUUUAAAUGAGGCCGGAAACAACAAACAACAAUUCCGGUAGAUCCUCAUGUCCAUAUUUUGAAUUAGCUACUGUUCUGCCCUAAACACAAUUUAAAUGUUGUUAAACAGCAAAAUAAAGUACACCAUGUUAAACUAGGCAUUUUUCUACCCCAUUUACAUAUAAAGUUUAUUAAAUUCGGAGCUACGGUUAAUUAGUUAUGAAAUAAAGCAUUUUAGGAUGGCAUUUAAACAAAUUAAAUGCAAACAGCAUUUUAAACAUUUUUAACAUGGAUGAAAGUGGCAUAUUAUGAAACUAGAGUAAAUUCUAAGCACUUUACAUAUAUAAUUCAUUUUAAUAUGAUGCACCAUUUGUGAGUUAUUAAAUGUAUGAAGCAUGAGGGUCUUUCUGCAAUUCUGCCAAUUCCUUGGAAAUUAGGAAAUACACAGAACAGGAAAAAAAACAUAGCAGGCCGAAACUGAUUUGAACUGGGCUGGGGAGCUGCUCACAUUGGGCCUAGGCUGAAGCAGGCCGGCUGGGCUGGCGCGGUAAACGCGGGGAGGACCCGGUCGAGCAAGGCGCCCGCUGCUGGGCUCGAUGUAGGGAAACAGAGGACGCAGCGGCAGAGGACUUGGCGAAGGGUGGUGCGACAGGCAACGACAGCGGACCAAGGCAAAGCAAGGGAGGUCCUCCAGGGGCGCGGGUCUCCAGGACGGCAGACCUGGCCGAGAACGGGCUUGGACGGUGGCUUGACUCCUGCUGGGGCAGAAGAAACAGGGAGUUGAGAGAGGGAGAGCAAAGCAAAGAAAAAAGGAGAGGGAUGGCAAGGAAAGGAGGGCGGCAACGCUGCUCACUGGCGAAGUCCGGCAGCGACGGCGAGGCCUUGAGGUGGAGAAGAGGCGAGGUCUUAGCGCGGGCGAGCAAGGCAGCAUGGAGGCUGGAUACGUCGGAUCCGGGCAUGGAGGCCCUGCUGGAUGGCGGGCGACGAACUUGAGGCGCUCAUGUGCCAUGGCUGCUCCAACUCCCGGCAGCAACCAGAGAGAGAUGAGAGACCGGAGGGAGAGAGAGAGAUAGAAGGAGAAGUGGUGGGGGAAGGGCGCGGUGGUGCUCAUCUUGCUAGUUGAAGGUUCGGGCGCCGACGGCAGAUGGGAACGGCGACUUGGCGGCGCAAGAAGACGAUGCCGAGCGCUCCUGCUCAGGCACGAGCGUGGAGGGGGGCCGCGAGCAGAGGAGCUGUGGAUCUCAUGGAUCAAGGGAAGGAGGCUGGUUCGGAUCCAUCAGUGCUUGGGGACGAUUCCCUCGAUCUGGAUCAAGCAAGGCUGUGGGUGAUUGGGUUGGCACGGAAAUCAAAGAAGACAAGAUUUGAUUUGGGUGGAUGCGGUUGGACUGGUGGAAGAAACGAGGGAGGGAGAAGCUGGUUGCGGGUUGGAUCCCGAUGAAGAGUGUGGCGGCGGCGGGUGAGGGGAUUUGGUGGAUGGGACAAGCCCCUAGGAUCUAGGGUUAGACUGAUAUUUAUAUCAGAAGAAUUUAGGUUAGGGAUAUCUCGUCCCUACGAUCGUAAUCAGACGGUCCGGGAAAAAUAGGCUAGGGAGUCUAAUAAAUAAAAAGAAGAUAUUUUACGGAUGUUAGGGAAUGAUUCGAAUCCAACGAAGAUGACUGUGCGGGUCAGGUUCGGGGCAGGUUUUGGGCUCACACGAGGGGUCUGAGAGAGGUCGACGAAGACAAGGGUCUAACAAUUGGUCAACAGAGACAAAGAGAGAAUCGGCAACUAUGAACGGUAACGAGUUUUAUAAAAACAUGCGGGUGCAAUAUGCAUGAUGACAUGAUGAAAUGCAACAACAACAAAAUAAAACACACGACGACAACGAAAAACAUGGAAGGCGUCUAAAGCGUCGGUCUUGGGGCGUUACAACACUCCACCACUACAAGAGGAUCUUGUCCCGAGAUCUAGGAUGGCACCGGUGAGAAACGGAAGAGGAAGAGAAGAGGUAAAACUAAGUUGCUUCUUGUACAAACGAGUGAAACCAAUGAACCUUGAGAGCUUAAAAAGUUGAAAGAAAGAACACAAUGGAGUUGAACACAAUUGAGAGCAGAGCGGUAGAAAAUAGAAACAAGGAACACCAUGUGAACCUUGGAGGUUGCAAAGCUAUGAAUGACGAGUACAAUGGACAAGAAGGAAUUGGAACCACUCUGGUUGAAACGAGAUAAACAAGGAACAAGGAAGAUCAAAUUCGGAUAACACUCCGGUUGAAAAGAAAUGCAAGACUUGAUAAGAUGAAAAGAACUUGAAGAGAUGACACAACACUUUAGUUAAAUGGAUAAGCACGAAAAGAACACGAUCCUCACAAUUCGAGAUAAUGAGUGAAAAGAGCAACAUCACAAUGCCUCCGGAAGAAAGAAUAGAAGAUAGAUCAUUGGAAUAACGGAAUGGAGAAGAAAAUGCCAACUUCUGCCACAACUGAGCUUGGAAAGCAUACUUGCAAAGAAGGAUUGAACGGAGUUGUUGGAAAAUCAACAACGAAAUGAAUAAGCUUGUAGUGGGAUUAUGGAGAACUUCUCAAAAUUAUGAGGUGACAACCGGCCACUAACAGAAACAACUGAUUGGUUGAGAUCAAUGAAGAUAAGAGAAACUUCUUUCACCAAGAGGAUAACUAGAGAACUUGGGUCAUUGAUAAGAACCACAAUUAACAACAUUCCUUCGGGAAGGCUUUUAGGUGAAAUCUUUACCAAGUUAACUCCAAGGAAGAAAAUGAUGGGUUUAAAAUACCUCAUUCCUGACAACAUGUGAAUCACGAAACAUGAAUGGAAAUUAUCCAGAAUGAUAUAAUGCCAUCUCCAAAGAUAAGGUAGAAGAAAUUGCACAUUGGAAUGCAAGAUGAAGAAUACUUGGACUCUUCAGAAAAAACAUGUGUUGGGCACCAUGUUUAUUUUUGAGUAUAGCUUGGCGGUUCAUAACUUCGAGAGAAAUCUUGAAGAACAAUUGAAGAAUGAAAAUAAUUCUUGACGAACCACCAUGUAAAGCCUCCAUGAAGAACUCCGGUAAUAAAAUGAUGAUAAAAAGAAAGAGAACUUGAAAAAACAAGGUGAAGCCUUGCGAUGAUUUAGAAGGAGCUUCGCGAUGAGAUACUGCGGAAAACUUGGAACUCCGGAAAAGAAAAGAUGAAACACUAGAACCGAGAAUUACUUCAUCAUGAACAAUCUCCAGAAGAGAAGAAUUAAUCACUUGGAUGAAACAAGAAUAAGAAUUAUGGCAUGCCUAUCCUUCAUCAAUUUAAAUUGAUGAUAAGCAAUAGAUUUGGCAUGCCACUUAUUCUUCUUGAAAAGAUUGACAAGAGAAAUAGCGCAACUUGGAAAGGUCUUCCACGAACCACCGGUGGGGUUUGGAAACAACAAAUGAAUUGAUAUGAUAAUAGAGGAAGAGAAAUCUUGAAUGAACCACCGUAAGAAUUCAAAAUGAACAAAGGAAAAGAUAACGAAACACCGAGAAGAAUUAGAAAACGAACGAACGUACUUGAGAGAUUUUAGAUACAAGAGAACGAAGAGAUCACAAGCUGAUUAGAGAAUACUCGAAUGAUGCACCGGUAAGAUUUGGAGAACGGGAGCUGAAAGCUGGAAUGAAUAAUUCUGAGAUGAUGGCCUCCGGAGAAUCAAACUGAAAAGACUUCUGAAUUGCUCCGGAUGGGUGAAAGGAAUUCUCACAAUCGAAAAUAAUUAUGAGAGGAUGGCAUAAACUAGAACUAUGAAUCUUUGGAAGAACGGGUAAGGAUUUAAGAGGAACUCUUCUUCGGUCUUCAAAAUCCAAGAAUGACGACGAGAAAUACCACCAAAAUUAUUGAGACACUCCGGAACAAUGGAUAAUAUAAAUGAUGAACCAACGAUGAAGAAUUUGAAAGAUCUUGGAGAAAGACAUAUGACUGAUGGAAUCCAUUCUUACGUCACACUUUGUAAAGAAUUUGAGAAUCGCUCCAGAUAAAUUCGAAGAGUCAGGUAAGAUCCUGGGAAAGACAUGUGGGUUAGGGCCCACUCAAAAGAAACACCGUUGAAAGGACUACUUGAAAGGGUGAUUGCACCGGUUGAAUUAAAUGGCUUGAAUGAGAUAACAACCUCAAAAUAACUUGAACGAUGAACGGAUAGAGAAUGGAAACACGAAUCUUCUGAGAUAACUUCAACACUCCGGAUAUGAACUGGGAGAGGUGAAUAAGAGCCUUGGAUAACAAAUUCACAUGGAAAGAUAUGUGAAACAAAAGGAAGAGAUAUGAUCAACACCGAAACUUGAAAUUAAUCCCCCAGAGAAGAAAAGAGAACGAAGAAUAAUAAACUUGUAGCUCCUUUAGUAUCUUCUUGAGAAUCACCGGAUAAGAACAUUGAAAGAAACGAAUGAAGAGACUUCACACGAUAAAAUGGAUAGUUGACUUGAUAUCUCUGAGUCCCUGAAGAAAAAGGGGUGGGAAGGCGGGUAAAUGAAGACAACUUGCGGUAGAUGGAAUGAAUACCAUUGAGAAAACUUAGAAUUGAUCUUGCGGAUGUUGAAAUGAUCGGAUCCACUUGAAGAAAAGCACACCGGUAGGAAAAGAAUUAACAUGACAACCUCGAUGAUCAAGAAGGAUAAAUAUUCACAUAGCAAUAUGAGAACACCAUUUAUGAAAGGUAUGGAUUCAACAUUUGACUUCGAAGCAACUCGAAUACCACAAAUAAAACAAAACAAAGGAUUUGGCUUGCAGAAUAAGCAGGAAACAAACAUAUGAUAGAGAUUUCGUCCGAAGUUUUCAUGGUGGGGCCCACACGGGCUCGAUCAUACAACACCAUCAUGUACAAGGCUGUGCACAUGACAUAUGAAGUGUCCCCGAACCAGCAUAGCCAAGGGCUCUUUAAGACACAACGAGACCAUUGUAAAAACGAACGUGGAUAGGCGGACCACUAGACGUCGAACCCCAAUCUCAUAUCAUGCAUCUGUCGGAAAGAAAAAAAAGCUAGAGCUACUUGAAUUCCCACCUAUAAAACUCCCGAAACUUUCUGGUUAUGCAAUUAGGUGUUGGGGAUACAGGGGAAGCAAUAUAUAUCUCACCCAAAACUAACAAUUCCUACAUCCAAGUUGUAUCCAUCCGUCAACACAUAACCAAGAAACCUUCGGAAAUCGUGUACCUCAACCUUCGAAAAGCAUCCAUUAUAUGAGCUAUGGCAAUACUCCCGAACUCCCCAGUACUGGGUGGCGUCGAGGUUAUCUCACCAACAACUGCAUAAAAGAGAUUUUUGAUAUCGGCGAAACUCAAGUAUUCCAGAACUGCAACAAUAAAAUUAUGACGACAACACCUCGGAGCUCAACUCCCCGGGACACUGCCACAACCCCUAAAUGUCAGCAGGCACCAAGAACAAUGUUCUCAUCAUAAGAAUAUCAGAACGAUCCCAAGAUACCCGCGUGAUCCUAAAUUUUUUUUAAUGAAAUUUGAGGCGAGGAAAGACAAAACCACUACGUCAGGAGGCCUCACCACAGCGACGAAGGGACUGAGGAGUAAAAAGAAUCCUACUCUCCGAUAUAUAUAAUCCUAAGACUCAAAACAUUUUUGUUCUAGACUCAACAACACCAGCGAUUCAAUCAAGCAGGGGGCUCCUAAGUCGGGGAUGGCUCUGAUUACCAACUUGUAACACCCACGAUGCGGCUAUAUCUCCCAUGUGUCAAAGCACGACUUAGAGGCAUAACCGCAUGGUGGUUUUGUCGCAACAAGGGUCAUCUUCACACAAUCCCAUGUAAUGAACAAGAAUGGGAUAAAGAGUUGGCUUACAAUCGCCACUUCACACAAUGAACAUAUAAUUCAUACAUCAUCCAGAGUACACACAUAGUUCGACUACGGACGAAGCCAAAAGAAAAGAAGAUAACCCAACUGCUAGAUCCCCGAUCAUCCCAACUGGGCUCCACUACUGAUCAACAUGAAACGAAACAUAGCAAUGACCAAGAUCUUCGUUGAGCUCCCAUCUGAGCUCGGUUGCAUCACUUGCACUGGUAUCAUCGGCUCCUGCAACUGUUGUGAUAGUAUCAGGUGAGUCACGAGGACUCAGCAAUCUCAAAACCCGUGAGAUCAAGACUAUUUAAGCUUAUGGGUAGGAAGUGGUAAUGAGGUGGAGUUGCAGCAAGAACUAAGCAAAUAUGGUGGCUAACGUACGCAAGUAAGAGCGAGAAGAGAAGCAACAGAACGGUCGAGAAGCUAGAAGUGAUCAAGAAGUGAUCCUGAAACUGCUUACGCACAAUCAUAACACCAAGACCAUGUUCACUUCCCGGACUCCGCCGAACUAAGACCAUCACAGCUACAUACGCGGUUGAUGCAUUUUAAUUAAGUCAAGUGUCAAGUUCUCUACAACCGGAUAUUAACAAAUUCCCAUCUGCCACAUAACCGCGGGCACGGCUCUCGAAAGUUUAUACCAUGCAGGGGUGUCCCAACUUAGCCCAUCACAAGCUCUCACGGUCAACGAAGGAUAUUCCUUCUCCUAGGAAGACCCGAUCAAUCUCAGAAUCCCGGUUUACAAGACAUUUUAACAAUGGUAAAACAAGACUAGCAAAGCCGCCCGAUGUGCCGACAAAUCCCGAUAGGAGCUGCACAUAUCUCGUUCUCAGGGCACAACGGAUAGGUCAGCCUGCGAGUAAAACCAGCCCUCGAGUUGCCCCGUGGUGGCCCCCGUAGUCUGCCCGGUUCGGACCAACACUCAAAGGAGCACUUGCCCGGGGGGGUUAAAUAAAGAUGACCCUUGAGUCUGCAGAACCCAAGGGAAAAAGGCUUAGGUGGCAAAUGUUAAAACCAAGGUUGGGCCUUGCUGGAGGAGUUUUAUUCAAAGCGAACUGUCAAUGGGGUCCCAUAAAUCACCUAACCGCGUAAGGAACGCAAAAUCAAGGAACAUAACACCGAUAUGAUGGAAACUAGGGCGACAAGAGUGGAACAAAACACCAGGCAUUAGGCCGAGCCUUCCACCCUUUACCAAGUAUAUAGAUGCAUUAAUUAAAUAAGAGAUAUUGUGAUAUCCCAACAUAAUCAUGUCCAUCAUGGAGCAAUCUUCAACUUCACCUGCAACUAGCAACGCUAUAAGAGGGGCUGGGCAAAAGCGGUAACAUAGCCAAACAACGGUUUGCUAGGAAGGGUGAAAAGGUUAGAGGCUGACAUGGCAAUAUGGGAGGCAUGGUAAACAAGUGAUAGGUAGCGCAGCAUAGCGAUAGAACGAAGCAACUAGCAAGCAAAGAUAGAAGUGAUAUCGAGGGUAAUGGUCAUCUUGCCUGAAAUCCCGAUAGGAAGAAGAACGAUUCCAUGAAGAAGACAAACGGACGUAGUCGAACGAAUCCUCACAACCCCGGAACAAAACCGAAGCUAAUGAGAGAAGCAAACCAGAAAGAAGCAAGCAACAUGGUAAACACCCAAGCAUAAACAUGUCAUGAUGCACAAACAAGUAUGAUGCAUGUCCGGUUUAAAGAGGCAUCGCAUGGCAAUAUGCACAAACAACACUACAAGUUAAGUGGAGCUCAAUAUGCAACGAGUUGCAUAUUGACGAAACACCACAUCAAUUAUUUAGUUCUCUCUCGUUUAGGAACACAACAAUAUUACAUGUUGUUAUAAACAUGGCAAGAGUUGAAACAUAAUUAAACUACCUAUCUAGGCAAGUUUAAAUGAGGCCGGAAACAACAAACAACAAUUCCGGUAGAUCCUCAUGUCCAUAUUUUGAAUUAGCUACUGUUCUGCCCUAAACACAAUUUAAAUGUUGUUAAACAGCAAAAUAAAGUACACCAUGUUAAACUAGGCAUUUUUCUACCCCAUUUACAUAUAAAGUUUAUUAAAUUCGGAGCUACGGUUAAUUAGUUAUGAAAUAAAGCAUUUUAGGAUGGCAUUUAAACAAAUUAAAUGCAAACAGCAUUUUAAACAUUUUUAACAUGGAUGAAAGUGGCAUAUUAUGAAACUAGAGUAAAUUCUAAGCACUUUACAUAUAUAAUUCAUUUUAAUAUGAUGCACCAUUUGUGAGUUAUUAAAUGUAUGAAGCAUGAGGGUCUUUCUGCAAUUCUGCCAAUUCCUUGGAAAUUAGGAAAUACACAGAACAGGAAAAAAAACAUAGCAGGCCGAAACUGAUUUGAACUGGGCUGGGGAGCUGCUCACAUUGGGCCUAGGCUGAAGCAGGCCGGCUGGGCUGGCGCGGUAAACGCGGGGAGGACCCGGUCGAGCAAGGCGCCCGCUGCUGGGCUCGAUGUAGGGAAACAGAGGACGCAGCAGCAGAGGACUUGGCGAAGGGUGGUGCGACAGGCAACGACAGCGGACCAAGGCAAAGCAAGGGAGGUCCUCCAGGGGCGCGGGUCUCCAGGACGGCAGACCUGGCCGAGAACGGGCUUGGACGGUGGCUUGACUCCUGCUGGGGCAGAAGAAACAGGGAGUUGAGAGAGGGAGAGCAAAGCAAAGAAAAAAGGAGAGGGAUGGCAAGGAAAGGAGGGCGGCAACGCUGCUCACUGGCGAAGUCCGGCAGCGACGGCGAGGCCUUGAGGUGGAGAAGAGGCGAGGUCUUAGCGCGGGCGAGCAAGGCAGCAUGGAGGCUGGAUACGUCGGAUCCGGGCAUGGAGGCCCUGCUGGAUGGCGGGUGACGAACUUGAGGCGCUCAUGUGCCAUGGCUGCUCCAACUCCCUGCAACAACCAGAGAGAGAUGAGAGACCGGAGGGAGAGAGAGAGAUAGAAGGAGAAGUGGUGGGGGAAGGGCGCGAUGGUGCUCAUCUUGCUAGUUGAAGGUUCGGACGCCGGCGGCAGAUGGGAACGGCGAAUUGGCGGCGCGAGGAGAUGAUGCCGAGCGCUCCUGCUCGGGCAUGAGGGUGGAGGGGGGCCGCGGGCAGAGGAGCUGUGGAUCUCGUGGAUCAAGGGAAGGAGGCUGGUUCGGAUCCAUCGGUGCUUGGGGACGAUUCCCUCAAUCUCGAUCGAGCAAGGCUGUGGGUGAUUGGGUUGGCACGUAAAUCAAAGAAGACAAGAUUUGAUUUGGGUGGAUGCGGUUGGACUGGUGGAAGAAACGAGGGAGGGAGAAGCUGGUUGCGGGUUGGAUCCCGAUGAAGAGAGUGGCGGCGGCGGGCGAGGGGAUUUGGUGGAUGGGACAAGCCCCUAGGAUCAAGGGUUAGACUGAUAUUUAUAUCAGAAGAAUUUAGGUUAGGGGUAUCUCGUCCCUACGAUCGUAAUCAGACGGUCCGGGAAAAAUAGGCUAGGGAGUCUAAUAAAUAAAACAAAGAUAUUUUACGGAUGUUAGGGGAUGAUUCGAAUCCAACGAAUAUGACUGUGCGGGUCAGGUUCGGGGCAGGUUUUGGGCGCACACGAGGGGUUUGAGAGAGGUCGACGAAGACAAGGGUCUAACAAUUGGUCAACAAAGACAAAGAGAGAAUCGGCAACUACAAACGGUAAUGAGUUUUAUAAAAACAUGCGGAUGCAAUAUGCAUGAUGACAUGAUGAAAUGCAACAACAACAAAAUAAAACACACGACGACAACGAAAAACAUGGAAGGCGUCUGAAGCGUCGGUCUUGGGGCGUUACAACACUCCACCACUACAAGAGGAUCUUGUCCCGAGAUCUAGGAUGGCACCGGAGAGAAACAGAAGAGGAAGAGAAGAGGUAAAACUAAGUUGCUUCUUGUACAAACGAGUGAAACCAAUGAACCUUGAGAGCUUAAAAAGUUGAAAGGAAGAACACAACGGAGUUGAACACAAUUGAGAGCAGAGCGGUAGAAAAUAGAAACAAGGAACACCAUGUGAACCUUGGAGGUUGCAAAGCUAUGAAUGACGAGUACAAUGGACAAGAAGGAAUUGGAACCACUCUGGUUGAAACGAGGUAAACAAGGAACAAGGAAGAUCAAAUUCGGACAACACUCCGGUUGAAAAGAAAUGCAAGACUUGAUAAGAUGAAAAGAACUUGAAAGAUGACACAACACUUCAGUUAAAUGGAUAAGCACGAAAAGAACACGAUCCUCACAAUUCGAGAUGAUGAGUGAAAAGAGCAACAUCACAAUGCCUCCGGAAGAAAGAAUAGAAGAUAGAUCAUUGGAAUAACAGAAUGGAGAAGGAAAUGCCAACUUCUGCCGCAACUGAGCUUGGAAAGCAUACUUGCAAAGAAGGAUUGAACGGAGUUGUUGGAAAAUCAACAACGAAACGAAUAAGCUUGUAGUGGGCUUAUGGAAAACUUCUCAAACUUAUGAGGUGACAACCGGCCACUAACAGAAACAACUGAUUGGUUGAGAUCAAUGAAGAUAAGAGAAACUUCUUUCACCAAGAGGAUAACUAGAGAACUUGGGUCAUUGAUAAGAACCACAAUUAACAACAUUCCUUCGGGAAGGCUUUUAGGUGAAAUCUUUACCAAGUUAACUCCAAGGAAGAAAAUGAUGGGUUUAAAAUACCUCAUUCCUGACAACAUGUGAAUCGCGAAACAUGAAUGAAAAUUAUCCAGAAUGAUAUAAUGCCAUCUCCAAAGAUAAGGUAGAAGGAAUUGCACUUUGGAAUGCAAGAUGAAGAAUACUUGAACUCUUCAGAAAAAACAUGUGUUGGGCACCAUGUUUAUUUUUGAGUAUAGCUUGGCGGUUCAUAACUUCGAGAGAAAUCUUGAAGAACAAUUGAUGACUGAAAAUACUUCUUGAUGAACCACCAUGUAAAGCCUCCAUGAAGAACUCCAGUAAUAAAAUGAUGAUAAAAAGAAAGAGAGCUUGAAAAAACAAGGUGAAGGCUUGCGAUGAUUUAGAAGGAGCUUCGCGACGAGAUACUGCGGAAAACUUGGAACUCAGGAAAAGAAAAGAUGAAACACUAGAACCGAGAAUUACUUCAUCAUGAACAAUCUCCAGAAGAGAAGACGGGCUGGGGAGCUGCUCACAUUCGGCCUAGGCUGAAGUAGACCGGCUGGGCUGGCGCGGCCAACGCGGGGAGGACCCGGUCGAGCGAGGCGCCCGCUGCUGGGCACGAUGCAGGGAAACAGAGGACGCAGCGGCAGAGGACUUGGCGAAGGGUGUCACGACAGGCAACAGCGGUGGACCAAGGCGAAGCAAGGGAGGUCCGGCAGGGGCGCGGGUCUCCAGGACGGCGGACCUGGACGAGAACGGGCUUGGACGGUGGCUUGACUCCUGCUGGGGCAGAAGAAACAGGGAGUUGAGAGAGGGAGAGCAAAGCAAAGAGAAAAGGAGAGGGAUGGCAGGGAAAGGAGGGCGGCAACGCUGCUCACCGGCGAAGUCCGGCAGCGACGGCGAGGCCGUGAGGUGGAGCAGAGGCGAGGUCUUGGCGUGGGCGAGCAAGGCAGCAGGGAGGCUGGAGACGCCGGAUCCGAGCGUGGAGGCCCUGCUGGAUGGCGGGUGACGAACUUGAGGCGCUCAUGCGCCAUGGCUGCUCCAACUCCCUGCGGCAACCAGUGAGAGAUGAGAGACCGGAGGGAGAGAGAGACAAAAGGAGAAGUGGUGGGGGAAGGGCGCCACUGCUCAUCUUGCUAGUUGAAGGUUUGGAUGCCGGCGGCAGAUGGGAACGGUGACUUGGCGGCGCAAGGAGACGAUGCCGAGCGCUCCUGCUCGGGCACGAGCGUGGAGGGGGGCCGCGGGGCCACGGGCAGAGGAGCUAUGGAUCUCGUGGAUCAAGGGAAGGAGGCUGGUUCGGAUCCAUCGGUGCUUGGGGACGAUUCCCUCGAUCUGGAUCGAGCAAGGCUGUGGGUGAUUUGGUUGGCACGGAAAUCAAAGAAGACAAGAUUUGAUUUGGGUGGAUACAGUUGGACUGGUGGAAGAAACGAGGGAGGGAGAAGCUGGUUGCGGGUUGGAUCCCGAUGAAGAGUGUGGCGGCGGCGGGUGAGGGGAUUUGGUGGAUGGGACAAGCCCCUAGGAUCUAGGGUUAGACUGAUAUUUAUAUCAGAAGAAUUUAGGUUAAGGAUAUCUCGUCCCUACGAUCGUAAUCGGAUGGUCCGGGAAAAAUAGGAUAGGGAGUCUAAUAAAUAAAACGAAGAUAUUUUACGGAUGUUAUGGGAUGAUUCGAUUCCAACGGAGAUGACUGUGCGGGUCAGGUUCGGGGCAGGUUUCGGGCGCACACAAGGGGUCUGAGAGAGGUCGACAAAGACAAGGGUCUAACAAUUGGUCAACAGAGACAGAGAGAAUCGGCAACUACGAAUGGUAACGAGUUUUAUAAAAAAAUGCGGAUGCAAUAUGCAUGAUGACAUGAUGAAAUGCAACAUCAAUAAAAUAAAACGCACGACGACAAUGAAAAACAUGGAAGGAGUCUGAAGCGUCGGUCUUGGGGCGUUACAAUGCCGCAGUGACAGACCCACGAGGCCUGGGAAUGAUGCUGCCCUAAGGGUGCUCCCAGCUGAAAUGAACUCGAAAGAUGUCACCUGGUACUAUUAUAGAGGGGGUGUUGGAGUAGCUGAAGGCGCGCGGUGAAGAGACCGACCCUCACGAGCCACCGGAAACCUGAGCCUCGGGAGGCAUUGGGGGUCCAGGCGGUUCCUCGUGGACUAUCUCCAUAUCUGCCAGGACCACAUGAUGCCUGGCCUCCUAAGCCGCCAGAAUGCUCCGCAGAUGGCGCUGGUGAGUAGCAGCCGCAUUCGGCAGGCCGAAAGGCGUGCGAACGUAGCUAUGUGGUGGACCCUCGCAACGUCCCACGCACGAAGGCCAGAGGCGCUCCUGAGACGCGGCUCGGUUGAGCCCUGGGAAGUCGAUGCAGACGCGCCCGCCAUCCUCGCCCAGAUGGGGAGCUACGCCAGGCAGGCGGCGUUCGCCGCGUAUGACUCUUGAUUCCUGAAGCUCCCGGGUGGUCUUGGUGAUGAACUCCUGAGGGUUGGGCCUUCUUUGCCCCAUGCCUUCCUGAGGGAAACGUGCUGCGAAGCAUGCCUCCAAGUGGUGCCCGAGCGCCUCCCUCGUGAUCUUGGCAAAGUCUGAGGCCCUCUAGAAGAGAGCCCCCGAGCCCUGCCCAAGGAGGGCUCUGGGCGCGCCUUCCUAUGCAAUGGAGGGAGGCGCCCCUUGCAUAGGCGCGGAUCCUGAUGCGACACUUCCUGAGAUGCCAACCUCCUGAGGCCUUGAGCUGGGCGAUGUCUUCUUCUUCUUGGGAAGUGCCUCAGGAGGGUUCUCGCCCCUUCUGUCCGGGUCCUCGAUUGAUGCAGCUUGGAAGGCGUGCUCGAGGGAGCACACCACAUCCUUCUCUUCGCAGGGGACUGUGAUGAUUCCGCCACUUCCUGGCAUCUCGAGGACAUUGUAACCAUGGUGGGUCACCGCCAUGAACUUGGCCAGGGCCGGAUACCCAAGGAUGGCAUUGUAUGGCAGGCGAAUGUGGGCGAUGUCAAAGCCGAUGAGCUCGGUAUGGUAGUUGUUGCGCUGUCCGAAAGUGACAGGGAGGCGGACUUGCCCCAUCGGGGUGGUGGAGCCAUUAGUGACUCCUGAGAAAGGCUUGGUAGGCUGAAGUUGAUCAUAUGGCACUUCAAGGCCCCAGGACAUAACGUUGAGUCCUGCAUCGCCAUCGAUGAGGGUCCUGGUAACUUGCACGUUACUGAUGACUGGGAAACAAAGCAUUGGGAGGAUGCCAGUUGUAGACGCACACUUGAUCUGAUCUACUGAGCUGAAAGUGAUGGCACACGUGGACCAUCUGAGCGGGCGCGUGGCCUCGAGCUUGGGGGAGGACUGCAUUCACCUCGCGAGCAAACUGCUUGAAGAUGCGCUGAGAGGCUGGGGCCUGGGGACCACCCAAGAUGCAAGUGCUUGCACGCGGCUCUUGGAAGCCCCCAGCCCCCUCGUCCUACUGGUGGUCAUCAUUCCUUCUUGGCGGUGGCGGCAGAGGAGGAAGGCCUACGUGGCUCUGCGGGCGAUCUUCGCGAGGCUGAUCCCUCCAAGCCCCCUCGCGAGGCUGGUCCUGCCAAUGAUCCUCACGAGGUCGGUCACGCCACUCCUGGCGAGGGCCUUAGUCGUCCCAUCGUCCUCCACCUCUGCCUCCUCCUCGGCUGUAGCCGCGGUCGUUGCGCUCGGGGCGUCGACCGAUGCGUCCUUCUUGAAAGGCCAUGAGCUCCUGGCAUUCGUUGGUGUUGUGGGUGUAUAGGUUGUGUUGGGCGCAGAAUCGACUACCCUUGGAUGACUCCGGAUGGUCCCUGCCGUGCUUCGUGUCUAGUUUUGCUACAAGUACGGCUUCUUCUUUGCGCUUCACGUCCUUUGCCUUGGCCUUCUUCUCUUCUGGGUCAGCAGCUGGAAGCUCGAGGAGGGAAAGGCGUCCUUCCUCAGCUCUCGCGCACUUGGUCGCCAGGUUGAACAGCUCCUGUGAUGUGCACGGAUCCUCGUGGAUGGAGAGCUCCUCCUUCAUCUUGACAUCGCGGACGCCAUCAGUAAGCGCUGAGAUGAUGGCCUCCUCAGUCACCUUGGGGAUCUUGAGGCGACCAUUGUUGAAGCAUUGGAUGUACUUCUGCAGGGUCUCUCCAGGCUGCUGCUUGAUGCGGUGCAGGUCACCCACGGCGGGAUGGCGGUCACGAGUGCCCUGGAAGUUGGCGAUGAAGCGGCUACGCAUCUCGUCCCAGGAGGAGAUCGAGCCGGGAGGCAGGUUUAGGAGCCAGGUGUAGGCACCAUCCUUGAGCGCCAUGGGAAACCAUUUCGCCAUGACCUUUUCGUCUCCGUUGGUCGCCUCGAUGCCCAGCUCGUAGAGCUGCAGGAACUCCACGGGGUCGGCAGUGCCGUCGUAGCGACGAGGCAGGUCCGGCUUGAACUUGCUGGGCC
rnacentral:lncRNA from 1 species